AAACGUGGGCGUUCCACUUCCCGGACCAAAAAAUACUACCUCAAAAGUCGUAUUCACAACCCGUUUCAUCGAUGUUUGUGGUAGCAUGGAAGUUGACAGGAAGUUUCAAGUAGCAUGCUUAUCAGAAAAGGAUGCUUGGGAACUGUUUCGAGAAAAAGUUGGGGAAGAAACUCUUGAGAGUCAUCAUGAUAUCGAUGAGCUAGCCCAAAUUGUGGUCAAAGAGUGUGGUGGUUUGCCACUCGCACUUAUUACUAUUGGUCGAGCUAUGGCCUACAGAAAGAAAGCGGAGCAGUGGAGACGUGCAAUUGAAGAGUUAAGGAGAUCAGCUUCAGAGUUUGCAGGUUUGGGAAAAGAGGUGUAUCCUCUUUUAAAAUUCAGCUACGAUAGUUUGCAGAAUGAUAGUUUGCAGAAUGAUACGGUUAGAUCUUGUUUCUUGUACUGUUGUUUAUAUCCUGAAGAUUAUGUCAUUCCUAAAUGGGACUUGAUUGAUUGUUGGAUUGGUGAGGGAUUUUUUGGGGAAUCUGACAGGUCUGGUGCAGAAAACCAAGGAUAUGACAUUUUGGACACUCUUGUUCGUGCAUGUUUAUUAGAAGAGGUGGAAGAUGAUAAAGUAAAAAUGCAUGACGUUAUUCGUGAUAUGGCUAUAUGGAUAACUUGUGAAAUUGAGAAGGAGAAUAGAAAAUUUUUGGUUUGUGCAGGUGCUGGAUUAAAAGAGGCACCGGGUGUUAAAGGAUGGGAAAAUGUGAGAAGAUUGUCAUUGAUGCAAAACCAAAUUGAAACUCUGUCAGAGGUUCCCACAUGCCCUCAUCUCCUCACUUUAUUUCUUGACUUUAAUUAUAAUUUGAGGAUGAUCGCGGAUGGCUUCUUCCAACUUAUGCCUUCUCUCAAAGUUUUGAAGAUGUCACUCUGCCGGAAUUUAACUUUGAAAUUACCUUUGGGGAUGUCAAAGUUAGGUUCACUGGAACUUCUCGAUAUUUCAUAUACCUACAUACAAGAGUUACCACAAGAGUUAAAGUUGUUGGUAAAUCUGAAAUGUUUGAAUUUGAGGUGUACACACAGGUUAAAUAAAAUUCCACGGCAACUAAUAUCAAAUUAUUCAAGGUUACGUGUGUUGAGAAUGUUCGCUAGUGGCUGGUUCAAUUUUCAUGAAGCAUCAGAAGAAAGCGUUUUAUUUGGUGGGGGUAAAGUUUUGAUACAGGAAUUGCUCGGUUUGAAAUAUUUAGAGGUAUUGGAGUUGACCUUGGGAAGUUAUCAUGCUCUCCAAAUUCUUUUGAGCUCAAAUAAGUUAAAAAGUUGUAUUCGAUCUCUUUACCUCCAUUUGACCGGAGAUACAGCGUCAAUUAUUGAUGCUACGGCUUUCGCAGAUCUAAACCACCUCAAUGAAUUAUGGAUUGAUAAUGGUAUUGAGUUGGAAGAAUUGAAGAUUGAUUAUACGGAGAUAGUACGAAAAAGGCGGGAACCUUUUGUUUUCCGCAGCCUUCACCGUGUUACCAUAUAUAGUUGCAGUAAAUUGAAAGAUGUGACAUUCCUCGUUUUCGCUCCAAACCUCAAGUCUCUUACGCUAUUCAAUUGCGGUGCUAUGGAAGAAAUAAUCAGCGUCGGAAAAAUUGCUGAGACUCCUGAGAUGAUGGGACAUAUAAGCCCUUUUGAAAAUCUCCAAAGGCUUAAUUUAAAAGAUUUGCCAAAUUUGAAGAGCAUCUACUGGAAGCCAUUGCCUUUUACUCGUCUGAAAGAAAUGGCGGUACUUGGGUGCGAUCAGCUUGAAAAGCUUCCGGUCGAUUCCAACAGUGCAAAAGAGCGUAAAUUUGUAAUUCGUGGAGAAGAAGACUGGUGGAACCGACUUCAAUGGGAGGAUGAAGCCACUCAAAUUGCUUUUCGUUCCUGUUUCCAACCUUAUUCCUGAGCGGUGGUCGCAAAAUUUGAUUUCUGGUGAGUGCGUUUUUCUUUGAACUCUUGUACAUAUUCUUGUCGUUUGCUUCACGCAAAACACUAGGUCUUUUCUUCAGUCCGUUACCUACACGCAAAACACUGGUUCUUUUCUCUGUUUUUAUUUCAGUUAGUUUCUCUCUCUCUCUCUCUCUCUGUGUCUUCUGUAAAUCACAAUUAAAUGUUGAAUUAAUGGAAUUAAUGCUUCAUAAAUUUGCCGGCACUGCCGUUACUUUAUUUUAGGGGGGUCGAAUUGGUGCUCUGGUUUUUUACUUUUUGCUGUCAAAUUUUGGCCUUUUUUUUUUUUUUAACAAGUUGAUACUUUAUUUAUAUCUUCUUAGCGAUUUAAUUUCCUGUCAAAAGAGGAACGAGAAGAACAUAUGACUUAAACCAAUGCUCGCAUAAACUUGCUGUAAAAAGAUGUAAUCUCACUGAAAUGCACACGUCUAGAAUGAAUAGAAUUAAAACAGGGAAAAUAUUAAGUAUAUUAGCCCUCUUUACCGAAAAUCAAAUGACAAUAAAUUUUUGGAAGUUUUGAUUUUCUACGGUCAAUUCGACCUUUUGCAAUUUCUUCUGUUCUAACAAAAACCAAAUUCUUUGUUCAAGUAUUUUCGUUUGGGUAUCAAGGAUCUCUAAUCAAUAGCUGGAAGCAAUUCAGAGGGCGCCGAGACCCGAUCCGACCUAGGCCCAAGUUUGGUCUUAAAGCCUGGGCUUGAGCCUGACAAUUAAAUUAAAACAUUAAUUGAUUUAUUGAUUGAAUUGUCGUGCAAUUGAUUUAUGGGGGAUGAAAAUUCAACAUACUUGAAAAUACACUAAUCUUAGCAUCAUCGGUUAAUAACUUUUAGAUUUAUGGGUAAUCAAUAGUUAAGAUCAGUUGUCAUUUAUUUUUUGAAAUGUCCAUAUUCAGUGUACAUUUGAAAAAGACCCAAUAAUUUCUCAUAAAUUUCAAUUAAAAAUAUUCAAUUUGUUAUUUCAGUUCUUUUAUUUUUUAUUUUUUCCAACAUGAAAGCGACUUAAUGUUACUAAAUUGAAGCCGCUGCCCCGCCUGUGGUUCCAAACUUUUAUCUUCCUCCUCCUUUAAAUUAAUGCGAGCAGCCUCCGUCCUUGACUAGUUGACUUCUUUUCUUCUUUUUUAAUUAAUUAAUUAAUUAAUUCAGCCGCCCACCUUUCUUUUCCCAAUGUCUUCUACUUUCGAUUUCCUUUUAUUUUCUCUUUAUUUUUAAAAUAUGCUUAUAGUAAUAAUAAAAAAUAAAAAUAAAAAUAAAAAUAAAAAUGAACAUAUUAAAAUAUAAUUUAUCAGAAAACCAAGAUAAAGAAAUAUUAUAAGCACAUCAAUCAAAAAGUGAAAAAAAAAACAAUUUUAAUUUACAUUAAAUAUAAACUUUCAGUGUUAAUCAACUUUUCUAAAUAACUGAAAUUAUUUAAAAUAAAAAUAAAUUAUUCUUCCCAAAAAAACAAAAAUUACACCCACUCUUGGCUGUAUGUCAAGAUUCGCUUUAAGGACUGAAGUUGGUAACUUUUGCAAGCAGUCUUAAAUUGAAUGGCAGCAACCCACGCUUUCAGAUUUAUGGUUAAUCAAUAGCUGAGAGUUGUUAUCGCUAAUGCCGUGUAUUUUUUUUAAUGUUUUUUCUCUCUCCUACAGCAUCUUCUAGGAAAGUGCAUCCGUUGCUAAAAUUUAGUAUUGUAAAUAAUAAACCAAGAAUAAAUAUUAAAUUUAAGAAACUGUAUUGCAUUUAAUAUUUAAGGGAGAAAAAUAAUUGUAGUGUCUUUAUUAAUCAGUAAAAAGAAAAGAUUAGAAUCAUAAUAAAUUGUAUUGUUAUUGAUGUAUUUAUUUUAUUUUAUACUCAAAAUAAAUUAUUUUAAAUUAUUAAAAUAUUAUUAUUGUUAUUCUAAUAAUAAUUAUUAUUUAAUAUUUAUUAAAAUAUUUGUCAUAUUACUAAAAAAGCAAUAAUAAUAAUGAUAAUAUUGGAAUUGUUGUUUUUUAUCUUAUUAUUAAUCAAAACACUUCUGGUUAGCCCAUUCAUACGUGAAGACCAAAACCAAAUCUCUUCUUCUCCUUCUUUUCUUAAAAUACGGGAUGUGUGUGCUCGGACUGCUCUCUCAUUCUUAAAACAAGACUUUUUGAAUUAUCCAAUUAAGUUAAAUUCUGUGGCAUCUGGUAUUUUCAUUUCUUGUUUAUUUCGCAAGUUAUUAUUGCCUAAUGCUAUGUCAACUCUAACAUUAGCAUAUAUAUUUUUUUUUUGGUCGUCUUUUAACACCAAACAUUAGUGUAGGUUAAGUAACAUAAUCAGUACUGGGACAAUUUGAAAUCCCUUUGUGUUUUAUUCACAGUAUCUAUGAGGGUUUAUCCUUUUGCUAGAACAAACUCUAGCAAAUUGUCAAAUGUACUUAUCCUUUCGCUUGAUGACUCAUUUUAAAAUUGUCUUUCAAUGUACACACACAGAGAUAACCACCGACAUCAAGCACCAAGUUUGGAAUUUAAUUGAUAAGCAUACAUUUGAUAAAUUAAUGAAAAGUUUGGGAGAAUAGUUUUGAUCACCCUCGAUUAGGAUGGUAUCACGAAAAAGAUCAAAAAGAAAACAUCGUCUCUUCUUCAACAAAAAUAAAUAUUUUCCGUUAGAAUUUAAAUAAAAUAAUUAUUUUUUUAUUUUUUGAAUUAAAAUUUAAUUAAAUACACAAAUAAAUUAUAUAUUUUUAAAAAAAAAUUUACACCCAGUCACAAGGCUGGCUAUUAAACUUAAAGGGAAGCUUCGGAGACUAAAGUUGGUAACAUCUCCAAGUGGUCUUAAGUUGACCGGAACUACCCCGACUUUAUGUUUGGUAGCCUAGACCUGAUCGGACCUAGGCCCAAGUUUGGUCUUAAAGUCCACAAUUAAAUUGAUUUGUUAAUUUAAUUGUUGUGUAAUUGAUUUAUGGGGAAUGAAUCAGCAUCCCUAAAAUUACACUAAUCUUGACAUAAUGACAUCAUCGGUUAAAAACGUUCAGAUUUAUGGCUAAUCAAUGGUUUGAGAUUUGUUAUCAUUAAUGCUAAAUAUUUUUUAACAUUUUUUCUAUCUCUCUCUCCUGAAGGAAUUUUCUAAGAAAAUGCAUCCACAACACAAAUUUUAAGGAUCACACUAUGUUACGUUAAACGUAACGUACACACACUCACAGCAACAGUAACAGGUCACGUCUUGUUACUGUUGCUGUGAGUGUGUGUAUAUUACGUUUAACAUAACAUAGCAUAGGCCAAAUUUUAAAUUGUAAACAAUAAACAAAAUAUAAACGUUAAAUUUAAGGAACUGCGUUGCAUUUCAGCUGAAGCUAACUUUAAUAUUUUACGAAAAAAAAUAAUUAAAUCUUUAAUGUGAUUUAUUUAUUAAUAUAUAUGACUAAUUUUUUAAAAUAAGAUGCAGGAUGAAACUUAAAAAUAUAAAUUAUAGAAUUAAUUUCUCUCUUCAAUAAAUCUAAAGUUUAUUUUUUUUAUUACAUGCUUCUAUUUUAUUUUUAUUCCAUGUUAAUGAUUGGAGAUUUAAAUCCAUUUCGGAUUUAUAAAUAUGUUUAGAUAUCUAAAUCCACGUGUGAUUCCAAACUAUAACCUUUUUUUUUUUCUAAUUAAUGCAAACAGCCGCCUCUUUGGACUGCUUUUCUUCUUUGAUUAUUAAUUAAUUAAUUCAGCUGCCCACCUUUCUUUUCCUAAUGUUUUCUACUCUCAAAUUUUUUUAAGGACAAGGCUACGUUGCAGACGCUGUACCUAACAGCUGCACCUUAGCCAGCUUCACAAAGGGUGCAUUUGGUAAGCAAUUUUUCUUUCCUGUGCAUAUGUGUCCUUCCACCAUUGGGUGUACGUAACAGAUAAUGUACCGUAACAAGCUCCUAUUUUUAAAUAUGUUUAUAAUGAUAAAAUAUAAAAAUUAAGAUUAAAAUGUAAUGUAAUAUAAAAUUAAAGGUGGAAGAGUAUUAAAAUAAUGUAUAAGAUAUGAAUAAACAAGUCAAUAAGAAAACAAACAAACGGCAAGAGAAAAGGAAUGGUCAUGCAGAUUUUAAGGUGGCAGUGACAAUGAGAUCUCAUUUUAACCGAUAAAGUCUUUUGAAUUUGUCAACUCAAAAAAAUAGAUUCAAAUGUUUUGUAAUAAAUGAAAAUAUAAUAUUAAAAUAAAUGUGAUAAUAUAUAUUUUAAAUAAUUUCAAUACAAAAAACAUUUGAAUGUUUUAUAAUUUAUUAGACAUAUUUUAUUAUAUUAAUAUAAAUUUUCUAAGAAAUAUGGACAUAAUAUUAAAAUAAAUUUAUGAAAAAUUUAAAUUAUUUUGAAUGUAAAAACAUUUGAAUGUUUUAUAAUUUAUUAGACAUAUUUUAUUAUAUUAAUAUAAAUUUUUCUAAAAAAUAUGGACAUAAUAUUAAAAUAAAUUUAUGAAAAAUUUAAGUUAUUUUGAAUGUAAAAACAUUUUAAUGUUUUAUAAUUUAUUAGAAAUAUUUUAUUAUAUUAAUAUAAAUUUUCUAAGAAAUAUGGACAUAAUAUUAAAAUAAAUUUAUGAAAAAUUAAAUUAUUUUGAAUGUAAAAUAAUUUUAAUAUUAUUAAUCCAUUAAGUAUUAAUUAUAAAAAUUAUUUAACCCAAAGAUUAUUUAUAUCCUUACAAUAAAUAUAAAUAUAUUAUUUGCAUUUAAAAAUUUAAAAAUAUUUAAAUAAUAUUAAUCUACAAUUAUAUUUUCAUUUAUUAUAAAUAUUUAAAGUCAAAUCUUUUGCACUUGUAUUUUAUUACAAUUAUGGCGCACAAAGAAAGAGCCAUAUAUGCUUUAUAGCGUUAGAAAUUGGUUUCUUUUAAAGCUGGAAACAGAGAGGAUGAUUAUUAUAAGGAGAAAAGAAAAAGGGAUAAAGAAUAUUAAUGAUUAACAAAAUCUCUCUGCAAAUUGAUUGCAGUAGAAAAAAAGUGAGCUGAGCAAUCUAAUUUAGUGGUAGAGUGAUAUUUCAUUUGUAGCAAAUUACAUCUCAAGGUUAAAGGAAAGACUUAAGAUCUCAGCUUUUGAUCAUAAUACUUUUUUUAAAGAAAAAAAUUAAUUUUAAUAUUUUAUAAUAAAUAAAAAUAUAAUCUUAAAAUAAAUACAAACACACUAUUAAUAGUACAUAUUUUAAAAUAAUCUCAUUAUUUAAAAUUGUUUUAAUAUUUUGUAAUUUGCCAGACAAAUUUUAUUAUUUUCAAGUAAAUUUUAUAAUAAAUACAAACACACUAUUAAGAUAAAUAUAUGAAAAAUUUAAAGUAAUUUGAAUCUUAUACAAAAUAAUUUUAAUAUUGUUAAUAGUGAGAUAAUUCUAUUAAUUUAAAAUGCUACUUAACCUUAAGAUUUAUUUAAGAUAAAUUAAUAAUUACAUUUUUAAAUUAUUUCAAAUAUUAAAAAUAUUUUAAUAUUAUUUAUCUAUUAGAUAGACUAAAUUAUUUAAAUUAUUUUGUAUAAAUUAAUUCUAUUUAAAGGAUAUUAUGAUAAAAAGAUCUUAGUGUUUUUAUUAAAAAUUUAAAAUUUAUAUGACUAUUUCUUUAAAUAUUUAGGGUAUAUAUGAACCACCGAGGAGAAAAGCUUUAUUUAAUAUUUUUGAAUAGUUUUUGAUCAGUACAAUUGCGUCCUUAUUCAGAAUUAUUGUUCUCUUCCGCAACAGUUUUUGUUUAUCAAAGUCAUCAAUUAAAAUUUUAGAAUUCUUAUCAUCAGAAGUAGUCGUUUUAGAAGUUGGGUCUUGGAUCAAAUUUCUACGAGUGCAUGAAUUAACAAUAAAAAAAAUUUCAUUACACACGGUUUAAGCUACAAAACUACUAUUUGCACAGUUGACUAUAAAACUUACCUCCAAUUACACUAAACCUCUCUAUUUGGUAACGUUGAGACUAAAUUAAUUUUAUUAGCAUGAAAAGAUAAUAGAAAUAUUAUCAUAAAUAUAAUUGUUGUUAAUCAAUUAGUACAUGUGAUAUAAAGGUUAAAUGUGCACUAUAUUUAAUAAAUAAUUAAUGGAACAUGUUAAACAAAAUGUUAAUGUAUAUUUAUAUAGUGUUAGGAAUAUGCAAAGUCAAGUCCUCAAUUUGCAUUAUCCUGUAUAGAAUAUUACUCUAAAAAUGUUUUACUAUAAUUGGCUUAGAACAUUUGUAAAGAAAAUAAUAAUCGUAAUAAUAAAUAACAUACACCGUCACAUAGCAUCUAGACAAUGAUAGAAAAUUAUUAAAGGGAGUGCAAACAAUUAAUUAGAAAUUUUUAUGAUAACUUUUAAUAUUCAUGAUAAUAACAAAUAAAUACAUGUACCACUUUUUAAAAAUAUUAAAUUUGACGUGCUCCAUUAAUAAAUUAUUAUUGUAAUUCAGACUCUAUCUAUAUAUCCUUGCAUUAAGAAUAAUUAAGUCAUAAUAAAAAUUUUCGUAACUACAUCUCAUUUCUUCCUCAUAAUAAUAAUUAGAUUGGUUCGAAUAUUAUAACUAUAUAGAUUUAGGGCGUGUUUGGUGCAUGGGAUUAUGUGGUAUUACACUACUAUUCACAUUAGCUUAUUUCCAAGAAGAUGUUUGGCAAACUUUGACACCUCAUUAUGCUGCAUUAUAAUGCAGCAUAAUGAGGCAUGGGGCCGCAUUACGCAAACCCGAGGGAACCUCGGGUUUGCGUAAUGCAGAAGCUUUUUGCCUCAAUUGAGGCAACAGUUAAUGCCUCAAUUGAGGCAAAUUUAUUUUAUUAAAAUAUUAUAAAAAUAAAUUAUUUUAUUAUUAAAUACUAAUAUAAUGAAUAAAAUAUAAAAAUAAAUUAUAUGAUAAUAUUAUUUUAUUUAUUAAUGAUUCAUAUAAAAAUAAUAUAUUAAUAUUAUAAUAUUAUUUACAUUAAUAUUAAUUUUAAAAUUAAUAUUAUUUAAAUUUAUAAUUAUUUAUGUUAAAUUAUAAAUUUAUUAAUAUAUUAAAAUGUAAAAAUAAUAAUAUAUUGUAAAUUAAAAUAUAAUUGAAUAUUAUUGAAUAAUAAUUUAUUAAUUUAUAUUAACAAUUAUAAUAUUAAUUAUAAUCUAAAUUUAUUAUUUACAUAUAAUAUUAAAUUUUAUAAAUUUAUUUUAUCAUAAUUAUAAUACAAAUUUUAGAAAUUUAAUCAUUAAUUUUUAAUAUUUACUAAAAAAAUUGUUAAAUUUCUACAAUUAAGAUUUCUAUAUUUAUUAUUUUUCUAAGUAUUAAUAAAUAUUAAUUUUUAAUUAUUUAAUUUAAUUAAUUAUAAAAAUUAAUACAAUACAAUGUAACACCAAAUAUAGUUUAAUUAAAAAUUAAUACAGUACAGUGUAGCACCAAACAUUGUACAGCAUUAUUAUAAUACAAUACUAACGCAAUACAGCAUAAUACAAUACACCAGCAUUAAAAUAAUGCAAUACAACAUAAUACAAUACAAUGUACCAAACGCACCCUUAGUGUAUAGCCACAUCCAAUUUAAAUAUUGACCCAAUUGGGAUGGUCCCCAAAAAAAAAAUUCGUUAAAGGAUAAUUCUAAUUAUUUUUACUUCUCAAACGUUAGUGGGACGUUUCUAUUAGCGCACUCGUAAGCCAAGUUGUCAAAUAUUUAUAUUAAACUACAAUUGCUGACAAGAAAAAUCAAGAUCGUGUUGCGCAAGUGGGUCCCGAAUAGGACGUGCCUAAAUCUCUCGUAAGCCAAGUUGUCAAAUGUUUAUAUUAAACUAACAAUUGCUGACUAGAAAAAUCAAGAUCGUAUUACAAGUGGGUCCCGAAUUGGACGUGCCUAAAUCUUUUUAUAAUUUUCCCAGUGUAGCGGACAGAGGUCAUUACUAAAUUUCUCUUCCACACGCCACAGCAGCUUCGGUUAAUCAAACUCAAUCAAUUUUCUUGGCUUCUCCGCUUAUCAAUAUUACAAGGUAUGGGUAGCAUUUUUCAAAUCACAUGCGAUGGUACUAUUUUCAAUCGUUGCUUAGAUUGCUUUCUUGGAAAAGCAGCAUACAUAAGUAACCUCCAAGAUAAUCUCGUUGCCUUGGAGACUGAACUAAGGAAACUAAUCGCAGCAAAGAACGAUGUGAUGACGGCGGUUGUCAAUGCUGAACGGCAACAAAUGAGAAGGCUGGACCAAGUGCAAGUGUGGGUUUCGAGGGCGGAAGCUGUUAAAACUGAAGCUGAUGAACUUAUCAGAGGCGGCUCUCAAGAAAUUGAAAAAUUAUGUCUUAGAGGGUUCUGUUCCAGGAACUGCACGUCAAGCUACAAGUUCGGAAAACAAGUGGCUAAAAAGCUACGAGCUGUGGAGACUUUAAUCGCCGAAGGAGUUUUUGAGGCGGUGGCUGCCGAGGUGGUGCCUGAGAGAGCUCCAGAGCCUGUAGCAGAUGAAAGACCUACCGAGCGAACAGUAGUAGGCUUGCAAUCACAACUUGAACAAGUCUGGAGAUGUCUUGCAGAAGAAUCAGCGGGAAUCAUUGGCCUAUAUGGUAUGGGCGGUGUUGGUAAAACUACACUAUUGACCCAUAUCAACAAUAAAUUUCUCGAGAGUCCAACCAACUUUGAUUGUGUGAUUUGGGUAGUAGUUUCAAAAGACCUGCGACUUGAAAAAGUUCAAGAAAAUAUUGGGAAAAAGAUAGGUUUGGUUGAUGAUUCAUGGAAGAGUAAAAGUGUAGAGGAGAAAGCUCUCGACAUCUUCCGGAGUUUAAGAGAGAAGAGAAUUGUAUUGCUGUUAGAUGAUAUAUGGGAGCGGGUUGAUUUAACAAAAGUGGGCGUUCCACUUCCAGGACCACAAAAUACUACCUCAAAAGUCGUAUUCACAACCCGUUUCAUCGAUGUUUGUGGUAGCAUGGAAGCUGACAGGAAGUUCCAAGUAGCAUGCUUAUCAGAAAAGGAUGCUUGGGAACUGUUUCGAGAAAAAGUUGGGGAAGAAACUCUUCAGAGUCAUCAUGAUAUCGUUGAGCUAGCCCAAAUUGUGGUCAAAGAGUGUGGUGGUUUGCCACUCGCACUUAUUACUAUUGGUCGAGCUAUGGCCUACAGAAAGAAAGCGGAGCAGUGGAGACGUGCAAUUGAAGAGUUAAGGAGAUCAGCCUCAGAGUUUGCAGGUUUGGGAAAAGAGGUGUAUACUCUUUUGAAAUUCAGCUAUGAUAGUUUGCAGAAUGAUACGGUUAGAUCUUGUUUCUUGUAUUGUUGUUUAUAUCCUGAAGAUUAUGGCAUUCUUAAAUGGGACUUGAUUGAUUGUUGGAUUGGCGAGGGAUUUUUUGGGGAAUCUGACAGGUCUGGUGCAGAAAACCAAGGAUAUGACAUUUUGGACACUCUUGUUCGUGCAUGUUUAUUAGAAGAGGUGGAAGAUGAUAAAGUAAAAAUGCAUGACGUUGUUCGUGAUAUGGCUGUAUGGAUAACCAGUGAAAUUGAGAAAGGGAAGAGAAACUUUUUGGUUCGUGCAGGUGCUGGAUUAAAAGAGGCACCGGAUGUUAAAGGAUGGGAAAAUGUGAGAAGAUUGUCAUUGAUGCAAAACCAAAUUGAAACUCUGUCCGAGGUUCCUACAUGCCCUCAUCUCCUCACUUUAUUUCUUGACUUUAAUGAGAAGUUGAAGAUGAUCACGGAUGGCUUCUUCCAAUUUAUGCCUUCUCUCAAAGUUUUGAAGAUUUCACACUGUGGUAGGAAUUGGAAAGAUUUGAAAUUACCUGUUGGGAUGUCAAAGUUGGGUUCACUAGAACUUCUUGAUAUUUCACAUACGCUGAUAACAGAGUUACCAGAAGAGUUAAAGUUGUUGGUAAAUCUGAAAUGUUUGAAUUUGAGGUCGACAGAAUUGUUAAUUAGAAUUCCACGGCAACUGGUAUCAAAUUCUUCAAGGUUACGUGUGUUGAGAAUGUUCGCUACUGGCUGGUUAAAUUUUCAUGAAGCACCAGAAGACAGCGUUUUAUUUGGUGGGGGUGAAGUUUUGAUACAGGAAUUGCUCGGUUUGAAAUAUUUAGAGGUAUUGGAGUUGACCUUGCGAAGUUAUCAUGCUCUCCAAAUUCUUUUGAGCUCAAAUAAGUUAAAAAGUUGUAUUCCAUCUCUUUUCCUCCAGUUGGCCGGAGAUACAACGUCGAUUAUUGAUGCUGCGGCUUUCGCAGAUCUAAACCACCUCAACGAUUUAUUUAUUUAUAAAGGCAUUCAGUUGGAAGAAUUGAAGAUUGAUUAUACAGAGAUAGUACAAAAAAGGCGGGAACCUUUUGUUUUCCGCAGCCUUCACCGUGUUUCUAUUGGGGGGUGCGAUAAAUUGAAAGAUGUGACAUUCCUCGUUUUUGCUCCAAACCUCAAGUCUCUUUGGCUAUUCGAUUGCGGUGCUAUGGAAGAAAUAAUCAGCGUCGGAAAAUUUGCUGAGACUCCUGAGAUGAUGGGACAUAUAAGCCCUUUUGAAAAUCUCCAAAGGCUUGAAUUAUGGGAUUUGCCAGCUUUGAAGAGCUUCUACUGGAAGCCAUUGCCUUUCACUCAUCUGAAAGAAAUGGUGGUACAUGGGUGUCAUCAGCUUAGAAAGCUUCCACUCGAUUCCAACAGAGCAAAAGAGCGUAAAUUUGUUAUUCGUGGAAAAGCAGACUGGUGGAACCGACUUCAAUGGGAGGAUGAAGCCACUCAAAUUGCUUUUCGUUCCUGUUUCCAACCUCGUUCCUGAGCGGUGGUCGCAAAAUUUGAUUUCUGGUGAGUGCAUUCGUCUUUUAAAAGAAGAAUUUAAAAGAAAUUUAUUCUUGUCGUUUUCUUCUCUGUUUUUAUUUCAGUUUCUUUCUCUCUCUCUCUCAAGGAUCUCUAAUCAAUAGCUGGAAGCAAUUGAGAGGCGCCGAGACCCGAUCGGAUCUAGGCCCAAGUUUGGUCUUAAAGCCUGGGCUUGAGCCUGACAAUUAAAUUAAAACAUUAAUUGAUUUAUUGAUUGAAUUGUUGUGUAAUUGAUUUAUGGGGGAUGAAACAUCAACAUACUUGAAAAUACACUAAUCUUAGCAUCAUCGGUUAAUAACUGUUAGAUUUAUGGGUAAUCGUAAUCAAUAGUUAAGAUUAGUUGUCAUUAAUACUAAAUAUUUUUUACUAUUUUUGUCUCUACUAGAGGAUCUUCUAGAAAAAUGCAUCCACAACAAAAUUUAAUAUUUUACAUAAUAAACAAAAUAUAAAUGUUAAAUUUAAGAAACUGCAUUGCAUUUCAGCUGAAGCUGACUUUAAUAUUUAGGGUAGAAAAACAAUUAAAUCCUUAAUGUGUUUAAUUUCUAUCACUUGUGUCAUUAAAAUUUUCUAGCCACCUUAACCAAUUACAUCUCAACCCACUUUUUUUGGAUGAUUUUAUUUUUACACAAUUAUUUUCAACAUAUCAUGAUGUAUUCGUCAAAAGCUGGAAAUGACUGUUGCCCGUCAAAAUUCACAUUUUUUCCUUAACGAUAAAGUUUUAAUAUAAUUUUGAAGUUAUAACGUCAUAAAUAUAUUGCAUAAUAAUAAGAAAAAGGACCUAAAUGGUAAAAGUGAUAAAUAAUAAGAUCGAAGUAUCAUUUUCCAAUGUUAAAUGAGGCAAUGCCAUUCUCCGGUUCUCUUCUUUAAAUGCGUGAUGUGUGUGCUCUGUUUUCUCUAUUAUUCUUUUUCUCUUUUAGAUUUUGAGAACGUAAAGGGUGCAGGAGUCUUUAUCUUGUUAAAACAAGUCUUUUCGAAGUAUUCAACUAAAUUAAAUCAUGGCCUAAUGCUGUGUCAAUUCCAUCAUCAGCAUUUUUUUUUUCCUUUUUAACACCAACAUCAGUGUAUGUUUGGAUAAUUUGAAAUCUGUUUGUGUUUUAUCUCAAAGUAGAGCUUCAAUCAAUUUGUACCUCACAAAUUCACAAUAUCUAUUAAGGAUAAUAAGACCGAACUCUGGCAUAUUGUCAAAUGUGCUUAUCCAAUUCCAAAUUAAAAUGUUGACAGUGUUUCAUCAACCAAGAACUUGUCUUCGAUAGUUAAUCGGAUUAAAGGGAAUAAUUAAUGAGAGCAAUUAAUUAAUAUUAGCCGGCAUCGUCUGUUUCAUAGGUACUCGUGGUUCACUAACAUAAGCGUUGAAUUUGUAUAGUAGCUUGUUCCUUUCCUUCGGUUUUACUUAAUGAAAACCUUGGCUAGAUCGUACACCAAUGUAAAAUCGAAAACCCUUAUGCCACGAAGAGUUCUUAGUGCAAUUGAGAUCAAUGAUAAUCAGCUGAUAGGGAAAACAUUGUCUGAUUGUCAUAAACAAACUUCUUGAAAAUGCCAUCAGUAACAUGGAAGAUUUGGAGGUUAUUCAAAUGCUGACUUCAGGAAUGCAGAUUAAUAUAUUAUGGAGACAGAUUGAGUGCAAUGGCUAAUUGUAACAGGGAAUUUUUAUUGUACAAACAGACCAGCCAGCAAAGAAUAUUCCAAAUCUAGGACUAAACAAGUCAAUAAUAAAAUAAACAAACGGCAAGAGAGAGUGAUUAUAUCUACAACACCAUCGGCUACUACAAAUUCAACUUUUCAACAGUUGUUACUCACCAUGAACAGAAAAAAGAAAAUUACAACAAAAAAUUGGUUGCUAAAAGACGUCUAUUCAUGGUAAUGCCUCUCAAAUGGGUUCAAAACAUGGAAGAAAAGCAUUUAGUGUGGCUUCAUCGUCCCAUUUCAGCUCACUCCACCAGUGUUGCAGGGGCUUAGUCAAAGUGGCUUUCAAGAAGUUUUAUUACCACCUCAGUUCAAAUCCUAAGAGAGGUAGGAGGAUAAAAGAAUUAAUUUGGACUUUACCUAGCCCUCUACCUUUGUUAAAUUUAUGUUAAAAAAAAAAAUAGAUUUGAGAUUGGUAAUAUCCUUAUUUUUUGUUUUCAAAGGAAACUGAUUUAGGACCAAUGAGACUUUGAUCCAAUGGGAGAAGCCUUUCACUUAUAAUGUUAAGUAUAAGGGUUCGAUCCUCCAUAAGAGCUUUAUGAAGGUUAAUUUCAGUACUUCCUUAGUUAUCAGUUAAUUGAGUGGAGACAGUCUCUCCCUUACGAAAUGUGAGUGGAGUAGGCACCCCUCGAAUAUUAGAGAAGGUUUAAAGUAUCUGAGCAAGUGCUUUAGUGGGUUAAUAUAUGGCGGUAGUUCCAGUUGUUUAGUAUGAUUGUAGUACGAUUGUAUAUAUUAAUUGUAAUAUCUAAUGUAAUAUCAAUAACAAUCUGUGCAUAACAGAAUUCAAAAAAAGAAAAGAAAAAAGAAAACUGAUUUAGGUGGUUUCUUGGUUAAGACUUUUUCUUUAGCAUACUUAGUUCCACGUGCUAUUUAGAUAUUUUUCGACAUACUUAUUACUUAGUUCCACAUGCUAUUUAGAUAUAUUUCGACCAAAUGAACAAGCGCAAGCCAUUGACACUUAGCUUAAUUUCAGGGUCAAGCUAUAUUUGAAACUCAAAUAUUAACCUAUUAAUAUUUUCAAUUCAUUCAAUUAUAAAUUAGAGAUGAUAGAAAUUCUCAUAGGAACAGGGGCCCUAGGGGAUUUUAGAGGAUUUUUCCCAUUCGGGAAGGGUAGGAGACAAUUUUAUAUCAAGUUUCUUAUUCCCAGAGACUAUAAUAUUUUUUUACCUAAUUUCUUAUUCAGGGAAGAUAUGGAGAUGAUGUGGACUUUCCAUCCCCUCCCAAUUCUCCAUUUUUAUUUUUAAUUUUUAUAUUAUUUUUCUAGAAUUAUUAGUGAAAAUAAUAAAAUUUAAAUUGUAAAAAUUUUAUUAAUGAAUAAAUAAAAAUAAAAAUUUUAGACACCUUUUUCCCAAACUUGUAGCUUGACUUGCAGUUCUUGGAGCAGUAGCCUCCAAGACAGUUUUUCAAUUUCUCGAGAGCCGUCCCUUGUCAAUUCACCAACUUCAGCUUCCACAGCCGCCACCCUUGAGGUGAUGUUUGGUUGGGAGGAGAGAAUGGGGGAGAGGAAAGUAAUUUAAAUUCUACUUUUAUUUUUAUUGUUUGGUUGCACGAAAUAUAUAAGAAUUUAAUUUCCAUUAGAAUUUAAUAUCCUUUAUAAUCUAGAAUUUGAAUUCCACACCAAAGAGUGAAGAAUUCAAAUUCCUCUUAGGUUGAAAACCCAAGUUUCCAAAUUUGUCCUUCAACAUUUUAACUUGUUUAAUGCUAUUAAUAAUUAUUAUUUAUAAUUUUAUUUUAUCAAUUUAAUAUUAUAAAUAAUUUAAUAUUAAUUAAAUUUAAUGAAUGAUUUAAGACAUUUAAUAAAAUAAAUAAACUUAUUUAUUUAUUUAAUAUGCAAAUAUAUAAAUAUAAAUUAACUAUCGCCGGAACUUCGCUGGACCGUCGCCGGAAGCUGUCGAAAUUUCACCGAAAAGUCACCAACCACUGUUGAUCGGCGUUGGCUUAUGUUGACCGCUACUGUUGACCGGCUUUUAUUUAUAUUAAAUUAUAUUAAAUAGUUUAGUAUAUUAAAUUAUUUUAUAUUUUAUAUUAAAUAUAAAUCAUGAAUUGUUUCAUAACUUUUUGAAAUUAAAAAAAAUUGGUAUUAAUAUUAAAUUAUAUUUUAUUACUAAUAUAGAUAAUUUAGUAUUUAAGGUAAAGGAUAAAUUUGUCCAAAGAAAAAAAUUAUAAUUUCUUUCCUUAUCAAAUUUGAUGUCAAACCAAACAUUGAAAUUUAAUUUUAUUAAUCUCUUCCACUCAUUUCUCCUCCAUUCCACUUUUUUCUUCUCCUCUCCUUUUUUAAAACCAAACACCACCUGAAAGCCAACCUUGCACUUUGUUCAGCCGUCUCAGUUGUUGCUGCUCAGGAUUGGCGACCCUCAUCAUCACAUCGUUCUUUGGUUCAAUUAAUUUCUGCAAUUCGGUCUGGAUGGCAACCAGGUUAUCUUCAAGCUGGCUUAAAUAUCAUGCUUUUCUGCGGGUACAAUUUAUGAAGCCAGUGAAAAUUACGCAUACAAUAGGAGUGCAACACAGUGUGUAUUCGGUUGUGGUGUCUAUGAUUUUGCAGUCGCAGAAGCUUAUUCACCUUAUGAAGACUGAUCAGGUGGGCACCGUCGCUCUCCUUACAUUCUUAUGGAGAGCGAUAGUCCAUGUAGUCAGAUCUCACUGAGAGAACUAGCCGAGUGGGCAAUCGCUCCGCCUGAUCAAAAUUUGUCAUCUUAUAAUAAUAUCUUGAGUAGGUCUUGAAUUUUUUUUCCAAUUUUAAUCUUUAAAAGGUAGAAGAGGUGAAAAAAACCUAAAUAGUAUUUGUGUCCUCCUAAAUAACAUUUCUUGAACAUCAAUGGAUCUUAAAACUUAAUUAAGAAAAUAUUAUAGAUUUAUAAAUUAGUGGCCCUUAAAAUUUAUUUGCAAGUAACAAUUAGAGAAAAGUCGUCAGGCCCAAAAGACUUAGAGCAUCACCAAAAGACUCUUCAAAUAAGAUUUUAUUAAUUAUUUGAAGAGCCAUCUCAAUAUUUAAGACUCCAAAAGACACUCCAAUUAAGAUUCUUCAAAUAAGAAAUAAUUCUCUCUCUUCAAAUUUGGAGAGUUGAUUUCUCCCUCUUCAAUUUAUACUUUAUUACUUUCCAUUGGAGAAAAAGAGAGAAGUGCUUUAAUUGCUAUUGACUUUUUCUUUAAAAAAAUAAUUAUUUGAUUAAAAUAAUAUUAAGUUAUUUCUAUUUGAAGAGUCUUUUGGAGAAUAUUAUUUUUUUUUACUCUUCUAUUUGCCACAUAGAUAAGCAAAUAGAUAUUUGAAGAGUAAAAUUUAUAGAGUCUUUUGGAGAUGCUCUUACUAAAAGUCGGCAACUCGUCAUGACCAAAAUUCUUCCGAGUGUGAAAUACGGCAUGCGCAGAUGCAUUAAAAACAAAAGCCAGCUAAGAUAUUCUUUGUAUACUUGCAUUCCCUAUCAUCUUAUUAAUAAUUUCAGACACGUCGUUCGUUCCCUGUGACUUUUCAUAUGCAACAGCACAGUCAGUGUUACAAUUUACAUUUCGAAUUGGGUGUCAUCUAUAUACUCUACCUAGAUCUAACAUGAUAUUGCAGUAUUGCACUGAUUUUUUUGUCGCAGCGUUUCUCUAUGAAUUCCUUAAACUUUAAACACAUCAUGGAAUAAUUAUUUUCUUAAAGACCAAAUUAACAUAAUUCUUAAAUCAUUUAUAAAACAACAUUUAUCAUAUAACAGAUCGUACACGAAUCAAUUUUCCUUGAACAGUAGCAAACAAACAAGAAUCUCAACCACAUCACGAGAUCGCCCACGUCAAACCAAGUAUUCUUAAUGAGUGGACCAGCUAAUAUAUUCAAAAUUGGAAUUAAUUGAGGAUAAUGAUUAGUGCUAAUACAUUUGCAAAGAAAAAUCAUGCCUAUUGAAAAACUCAUCUUAUUAGCAGCAGCGUUAUAAGUAGCAUCCAAUCAUAGUUUCACGCAAGAUUUUGAGAUUAUUCAAAUGCUGAUCCCGGGAAUGGAGAUUAAUAGAUAAUGGAGACAGGUUGACUGCAAUGGCUAAUUGUAAGAGGGAUUUUUAGCCGUAAAAACAGAUCAACUAGCAAAGCAAAUUCCAAAUCUUGGAAUGCAGUAGCAAAAAAACGAAACAAACAAAUGGCAAGAGGAAGUGACUAUACAACAAUAACAUCGACUUGCAAUUCAACAUUUAUACAGUUUUACACACCAAGAAAAGAAAAAAUUACAAUAGAAAUUUGGCCACUAAAAGAUGCUCGUUCAUGCUUAUGCCUGUCAUAUGGAUUUGAAACAUGGAGUAAAAGCAUUUAGAGUGGCCUCAUCCUUCCACUGCAGCUCAUUCCACCAGUAUUGCUCUCCCCUAAUAACAAGUUUUCGUUCCUUGGCGCUGUUGUAAUCGAGUGGAAGCUUCUUGAGAUUCGGGCAGCCAGAUACAAACAAUUCCAAGAGAUUUGGAAAGGGCAAUGCAUUCAAACAGAUCUUCUUCAGAUUUCUUACAACUUGCAACCGAAGAUAUUGGAGUUUCGAAAAAGUUUUUUGCACUGGAACUUCUGGAACUUCUUCCAAUUUCCAAACACUGAUUAUUUCUUCCAUCUCAUAACAACGUUCUACAUGGACCAUCUUGAGAUUUGGGGCAAAAACAAGCCAUGUCAUCUCCCUCAAUUUACUGCAAUAGUCUAUGGUAACACUUUGAAGGCUGUUGAAACCAUAAAGUUCUCUUGUUGUUUGAAUUUCUGCAUAGUCAACCUUUAGCUCUUCCAAACUUGUACAAUACACAAAAUCUAGUUUGUCAAGAUACUUGAGAUCUGCUAUGGACAAAAUAUUCCAUGACCUUGAAUCCUCACAGCGGCGAAGCUCUAAAGCAUAUUUACAACUCUUGUACUGUUGGCAGCUCAAAAGUCUUCGUAGAGCAUAAAAACUUCUUAACGUGACGCUUAAUACAUUUAAAUGUUCCAAAGUAAUCAACUCCUCUACCAAAAUUUCACUACCACCAAAUAGAACGCUAUCUUCUGGUACUGUAUUAGCAGAGCCACAAUCUAGCAUCCUCAACACCUUUAACCCAGAAAAAUUACAAAGCAGUUGCCGUGGAAUCGUAUGGAGAUAACGCAUGUACUCCAAGUUCAAACACUUUAGAUUUUUCAAGGCUUUUAAUUCAUGUGGCAACUCUUUGAUGAAAGUUUCUGAAAGAUUAAGAUAUUGUAGUGAAACCAAUUUUGAAAUUCCUGAAGGCAAUUGACUCAAGGAGCGAUUCUUUGAUAGGUUUAAAACUUUAAGAGAAGGCAUAAAAUCGAAGAAAUCACUAGGGAUAGUAUCUAACAUAUUAAUGCCGAGGAACAAAGUUAUAAGAUGAGGGCAUAUUGGAGUUAUUGGUAAAAUCACAAUUUUAUUUCUCAUCAACGAUAUCCUUCUCUUAUCUUCCCAUUGUUUAACUUCGGGUGGUUCAGUUAAUUCAAUACCGGCAGAAACCAAAAAGUUUUCAUUCUCCACUUCACAGGCUAUCCACAAGGUCAUAUCACGAAUCACAUCAUGCAGUUUUACAUAAUCUGAUCCUGCUUCUUCCAAUAGGCAUGCAUGAACAAGAACACCAAUAAUGUAGUAUCCUUGGUUAUGUACUCCAUUAAUUCCUUCAUAUUCCUUCAGAAAACCCUCACCAAUCCAACACCCUAUCAAUUCAAUUUUGCUAAUUUGAUAAUCCUCAGGAAAUAAACUACAGUAUAACAGACAAGAUCUAAGGACGUCACUAGACAAACUAUCAUAACUGAAUUUUAAAAGACGAAACACCUCUUUCUCCAUACCUGGAAAUUCAUAAGCUGAUCUCCUUAACAUCUGAAUUGCAUAGCUCCAUUCUUCGGGUGUCUUCUUGCUGCUCAUGGCACGACCGGUGGUAAUAAGUGCAAGUGGCAAACCACUACACUCCUUUGCCACAGUUUGGGCUAACUCCGGAAUAUCGGGAUGACUUUCAAGAGUCUCUUCUCCGACCUUCUUUAGGAACAAUUCCCAAGCAUCUUGAUCUGCCAAACACUCCACCUUGAACUUUUUUUGAGCUUCCAUGAGGCCACAGACGUCCACAAGACGAGUUGUAAAGACUAUCUUUGAUGCAUUUCUUGAACUCGCAGGAAAAGGGACACCCACUUUGGCUAAAUCAAUUCUUUCCCAUAUAUCAUCUAACAAUAGCAGAAAUUUCAUUUUGCUCAAUAAAUUGAAUAUGCCUGAUGCUUUCUCUUCAAAGCUUCUAUUCUGAAGCCAUCCUAUUCUUUCUCCGAUUUUCUGUUGUAUUCUCUCAAGUUGCAUGUCUUUUGACACCACCACCCAAAUCACAAUAUCAAAAUAAUUUGGUGUAUUAAGGAACCUGUUGUUGAUUUGGGUUAAUAGUGUAGUCUUGCCGACUCCCCCCAUGCCAUAAAGUCCGAUGAUUCCAAAUUGUCCUUCUACAAGACAUCUCCAAACUUUAUCAAAUGUUGAUUCUAGGCCGAUUAUUGUUGGCUGAAGAGGCCUUUCAUCCACUGCUGGUUGUGGUACCUUUUCAGCUACCACUGCAAAAGCUCCAUCAUCUAUUAAAGUAGCCACAAGCUGCAGCUUUUUAGACACCUUUUUCCCAAACUUGUAGCUUGACUUGCAGUUCUUGGAGCAGUAGCCUCCAAGACAUAGUUUUUCAAUUUCUUGAGAGCUGUCCCUUGUCAAUUCACCUACUUCAGCUUCCACAGCCUCCACCCUUGAAAGCCAACCUUGCACUCUGUUCAGCCGUCUUAGUUGUUGUUGCUCAGCAUUAGCGACCCUCAUCAUCGCAUCGUUCUUUGUUUCGAUUAGUUUCUGCAAUUCGGUCUGGACGGCAACCAGGUUAUUUUCAAGCUGGCUUAGAUAUGCUGCUUUUCUGCGGGUACAAUUUAUGAAGCCAGCGGAAAGGGCAUCACAUAUAAGUUGGAUUCCCAAAAUAUUACCCAUAGUUUGUAUGAGAUUCAGAGUACAAUAGAAGGAAUGCAACACAGUAUGUAUUCGGUUGUGGUGUUUAUGAUUUUACAGUCGCAGAAGCUUAUUCACCUUGUGAGGGCUGGUCAGGUGGGCACCAUCACUCUCCUUACGCUUUAUAGAGAGCGAUAGUCCAUGUGGUCAGAUCUCAUUCAGAUAACUAGCCAAGUGGGCAAUCGCUCCACCUUAUCAAAAUUCUUCAUCUUAUAAUAAUAUCAUGAGUAGGCCUUGAAUUUUUCUUUUAAUUUUAACAUUUAAAAGGUGGUGGUGAAAAAGUCUAAAUAGUAUUUUUGUCCUCGUACUUUAAUAACAUUUCUUGAAAGUCACUCGAUCUCAAAAUUUAAUUAAGAAGAUAUUAUAGAUUUAUAAGCCCUUAAAAUUUAUUUGCAAGUAAGCCCAUAAGACUUACUAAAAGUCGUCAACUCGUCAUGACCAAAAUUGAAAAUUCUUCCGCGUGUGAAAUACGGCAUGCACAGACGUAUUAAAAGCAAAGGCCAGCUAUGAUAUUCUUCGUAUACUUGCAUUCCCUAUCAUCUUAUUAAUAAUUUCAGACACGUAGUUCGUUGCUUGUGAUUUUUCAUAUGCAAAAGCACAGUCAGUGUUACAAUUUACAAUUACAAUUGGGUGCCAUCUAUAUACUCCUUCCUUGUUUUCAAAAUAUGUUGUAGGAUGGGUAAUUGUAACAAAAGUGAUUUUUAAAAAGAUUUAUUAUAAUAUUAAAAUUAACUUUUAAUUUUUUUAAAUUAUUUUUGAGCUUUCUGAAAAAAAAAUCCUAAACCGGUCUCAGAAGUAUAAUUAGAACCACGAAUUUAUAAAAUGAUCAAAGGAAUCCAUCGCCUAAUAUUAUAGUACGCAAUGGAUUGCUAUAAACUAAAUUGCUAUGAUCUCACUUCAUAAUAAUUUAUUUUCAAUCUCCAUCAUGGUAGAAAAAUUUCAUCAAUCAACAUACCCUACCACCACCCAAUAGUCGACCAUUUAUCAUCUUCUAUCCGUAAAAAAACGAAAAAAAAAAAAGAGAAAAGGAAAAAUUUAGUCCACAAAAGAAAAUAUCGCAAGACCAAACAGAGAGAGAAAAUAGAAAAAGCAAAGAGCUGUACUGAAUACCGGCGGUGAUGGCUCGGUACUUGACCAUUUAGGUUUGAUUCUGCAUUAACAUAAUAUUUUUUCUGCACUGCAUUCACAUCACAACCAUUGAAUAGUCGUGAUCUAUUUUUCUAAAGCGAAUAAUAUUAUCUUCUCGUGUCGGUGGCUUGAUCAUAUAACAAAAUAGACUAAUAAUGUUUCAAUAGACAUUUUGGUAAAUGGAAGAAGUUAUGAUCUGUCCAUUUUUAUGUUACUUUAUUUUAAUUUGUUAAUUACUAUUAAUAUCUUUGAGUGGGGCAGAAUCUUGACCUAAGAUAUAGGGAUGGCAAUGGGGCAUAUAUGGGUUGGAUUUACUCUGCUCCAUAUCCAAAUCCAUAAUAAAAAUUAAGAUCCGUAUCUGCUCCAGAUCCGUCAUGAAUCCAUAUUUUUCGGUCCAUAUUCAGAUCCAAAAAAGAAAUAAAUAUCUAUAUCUACUCCAAAUCUGAAAAAAAUUAAAAUCCAAAUCUGCUCUAAAUCUGUCAUGAAUUCUAAAAUUCAGUAAUAAAAAAUUAAUAAUUUUUUAGAUUGAAAAUUGAAGGCUAAAAUGUAUUGAUAACAAAUAAAUUAUAUAAUUUUUCUCAAAAAUAUAAUAAAUAUUGUAUCUUAUACUUUUUCACCAAAACAACAAAUAAGAAAGAUAAUAAAAUAUCAUUUAGAAGUAAUUGCAGGAGUAAGAUCAAUCUAAUAUUAUAUUGUCUCCUUCAUCAUUCUAAUAUCCACGAUACACCUACCCUCAUUCCUACAACAUUAGAUAAUGACAUAUAAAUUAAAUAUGAUUUAUAUUCAGUCCUUUAUUAUUUUUAUUAUGACCAUAUUUGACUAAAUAUAUGAAUAACUAUAUUUCUUAAAAAUUAUUUGGCCAAUAUAAUAAAAUAAAUUGCCAAGUUAUAUUACUUGGCUUACAAUUUAAAUAUUGCAUGUACAUGCUUUGGGGUUGGCUGGCCUUUAAAUUUACAAAACUAACUUUUAAGUUUUAAGAGUUUAAAUGCAUGGUAAAUACUACUAAUAUGCUAUGAAUAAAAUUUAUUAUCAUUAUAAUUCCACAAUUGUUAAGAAACUUUUAAAAUAAAAUAAAAUUAAAAGAUGAGUGGAUAUGGAUAUGGAUUUAGAUAUUAAGAUAGAUCCAAAUCUGCUCCAGAUCCGUCUUAGAUCCGCACAUCGAUAUCCAAAUCCGAUCCAAAUCUAUUUUAAACCGAUCCAAAUCCGAUCCGAUUGGAUUUGGAUCACGUGGAUCUUGGAUCAGAUCCAAUCCAUUGCCAUCCCUACUAAGAUAUGACUAGGCUCCACAUGUUAUAUAUUAAUUUGAUUAAGCCCAGCUAAUUGUUAAUUAUUAAUUUGAUUGCGGCUUUUUAUUUUACCCACAUUUUUUACGCGUGAAAUCUUUCUUAGUGAAAAACUACACGUAUUUGCAAAUAUUCGGAAUGGACAUUUUCGAAAAAACAAGUAAAAGAAAAUGACUAAAAAGUAAAAGAAAAUAGACACCCAAUUGUAAUUACGAGUACAAUAGAAGGAAUGCAACACAAUACCGAUUUUGCAGUCGCUGAAGCUUAUUCACCCUAUGAGGGCUGAUCAGGUGGGGGCCGUCGCUCUCCUUACACUCUUAUAGAGAGUUAUAGUCCAUGAUCUCAUUGAGAGAACCAGCCAAGUGGGCAAUCGCUCCACCUGAUCAAAAUUCUUCAUCUUAUAAUAAUACCUUGAGUAGGCCUUCAAUUUUUUUUUUCAAUUUUAAUCUUUAAAAGGUAGAAGAGGUGAAAAAGUUAAAUAAUAUUUUUGUCCUCCUAUAUAACAUUUUUUGAAAAUCACUCGUUCUUAAAACUUAAUUAAGAAAAUAUUAUAGAUUUUUAAGUUAGUGGCCCUUAAAAUUUAUUUGCAAGUAACAAUUAGAGAAAAGUCGUCAUGCCCAAAUGACUUACUAAAAGUCUGCAACUCGUCAUGACCAAACAUCUUCCGAGUGUCAAAUACGGCAUGCGCAGAUGCACUAAAAACAAAGGCCAGCUAUGAUAAUCUUUGUAGUAUUAAUAAUUUCAGACGCGUCGUUCGUUGCCUGUGACUUUUCAUAUGCAAAAGCGGAGUCAGUGUUACUUGCAUUCACUGUCACCUUAUUAAUAAUUUCAGACACAUCGUUGGUUGCCUGUGAUUUUCAUAUUCAAAAGCACAGUCAGAAUUACAAUUUACAUUUGGAAUUGAGUGCCAUCUAUUUAUUCCAGCUAAAUCUAAAAUGAUGUUGCAGUAUUGCACUGAUUUUUUAGUCACAGCGUUUCUCUAUGAAUUCCUUAAACUUUAGACCCAUCAUAGAAUAAUUAUUUUCUUAAAGACCAAAUUAACAUAAUUCUUAAAUCAUUUAUAAAACAACAUUUAUCAGAUAACAGAUUGUACAUGAAUAAAUUUACCUUGAACCGUAGCAAACAAACAAGAAUCUCAACAACAUCAAUAUCAUAAUCCCUUCUGACCUUAACAGUAAUUUUAUUCGUCCUUAAUUCAUAGGUAUAAGUAUCCCAAUAUAUACUUGAUGUCAACCUUUACAAUUCUUUACAGAAUUGCAGCAGACCAAAUUUGUAUGCAAAACUGAAAUCAUACAGUAAUUGAAUACAGUGAAAAUAGACAUGAUGGGAAUUAGUAUAUAUAAAUAUCUUAAUAAUUUAAAAGUUUCUUAAACUGAUUUUACAUAUCUGAAAAAUUAUAGAAAUCGGAACUGCUGCAGAAAUCAUAAUUUUCCAGCGAAUGUGUUACAACUUCAGAAACUCAUAAGAAAUUAAAUUCUUGGGAUCACAAAAUAAUUCAUCAAUUUAAGAGAUUCAGCAGUACUUUUAUUACAUCAAUUCUUCAAACAAUCACCAAUCUAACAUUCAUCAAAAUUAAGUCAUAAAAGUCAUGUGGUUUAUAAAAAGAAUUACCUGAAAAAGAUUAGCCUUCCCCUUUCAAAAGCAACGAGAAACUCCAAAAACUCUUCUUCCAUUGCCUAUUCAAACAUGAAAAAAAAAAAUUAGUAUCUCUUCUUUAAACGCGCGAUGAGUGUGCUCUGUUUUCUCUGUUCUUUUUCUUUUUUAGAUUUCGAAAACGUAAAGAGUGUUGGAGUCUUUAUUUUCUAAAAACAAGACUUUUCCAUGUAUUCAGUUAAAUUAAAUUAUGUCCUAAUGCUAUGUCAGUUCCAUCAUUAGCAUUUUUUUUUUCCUUUUAACACCAACAUUAGCGUAUGUUAAGUAUCAUAAUCCAUAGUUGGACAAUUUGAAAUCUCUUCGUGUAGUUGACUGGCAACAACUAUAUUGGCAUUUAGACAUAAUGUACUGCAACCAUAUUGACAUGUUCAAAUGUUCUCACUAUUGUAUUGGUGUGUCGAUAUUAUCUCUAUCAGUCCUAUAGAUCCAAAAAUAAUCUAAAUUUACAAUUUAACUUAAAAUAAAAUAAUUGGUAGAAAACAAUUAUGGUUCAUUUACUUAUCAGUAAUUAAAAUAGACUGAAAUUAGAAUGAGUUGUAUUGACGUUGAUGUGUUUCUGUUGUCCUCGAAUCGGAAUGAAUUAUUUUAACUUACUAAAAUACCCUUUGUUUGUUAUUCUAAUUAUUAUUAUUUAAUAUUUAUUAUAAUAUUUGUCAUAUUAUUAAAAAGAAAUAAUAAUGAUGAUAAUAUUAUCAUUAUUGUUUGUUAUAUUAUUAUUAUUCAAAAAAAUUGUUGUUAAUAACUAUAAUAACUUUAUUUCAAUAAUAAAAAUGAUAAAAUUAAUAAUAACAAACAUGACAACAACAAUAAUUAUUUAUUAUGCCAAAAAAUAACAAUAAUGAUAAGAAUAAUAAUCAUCAUCAUUUUUUUCCCAAAGAAGCAUUAUCAUCAUCAUUUCAAAAAAAAAAAUCAUCAUCAUCAGCAUUUUUGUAGUGGCUGCCUAUCGGCUGCUGCUUUCAUGUGAGAUUGACUUGCGACGCUUCAACUACUAUUAUUUCUGGCAAUGUCAGGUGUUGUUGUUUCAAUCUGGGGAGAAGCUGUUUCGGUGAGCUAACAAUGGGAGGUGUUGCUGCUCGAUGCGAGGUCCAUGGCCAGCUGUCUUGUUUUACACCCAGCUCUUGUAGGAAAUUAUUCAUCCACAAUAUUUCUUUGUAACCUUCAAUAAUUGUAAUAUCAUUUGCUUCCGUGGUAGAAAAGACAACUCAUUACUAAAGUCUAGAUUGCGAUGAGACUGCCUUCCCUACAAAAGUGAGCAAAUAUCCUCAUAGGAAUCUUUCAGAAUCAACAUCUCUUGCCAUAUCUGUUAAGAAUAACAUAUGCUGAGUCAGCUACUGAGUCAUCAAGCCACGCUGGAAGUCAGUUUUGCAGUUAGUUAGAGAGCUUAUCAGCUUCUCUCCAAAAGUUUGUUAUGUGUAUUAGAAUAUGUGCUCACGAGUUUUGUGAGUUUGUAACCUUGAAAAGAUUCUCACACUACUAUAAAUUGUAUUGUGACUCAAUUAAUAAAAGUUGUUGAAGCUUUGCAUUUUCUCUCAGUCAAAAUUUUCUCUCUAUUUUUCUAAGUAACCAAACAAAAUCUACAGAGCAUUUUGUAUUUUAACUUGGUAUCAGAGCUUGAAUCCAAUGGCCUUAAUCGGUUCCAAUCAACAGUCGAGCAACACUUCCAUAACUUCUUUCACCUUCACAAAUCCAAUUAAGCUUGAUCGUGCAAACUAUACGAUCUGGAAACAGCAAGUACUUUCUUCAAUUCGUGGCAAUGGUCUUGAAGGCUAUAUUGAUGGAUCAAGGAUCUGUCCUAGUCAAUUUCUUUCUCCAGAGGCUAGAUCUGAAGGUUCUUCUUCUUCUAACAUCGAAGGUCAAGAGAAUCCAGAGUAUGCAGCCUGGAGACGUCAAGAUCAGCUCCUGCUCAGCUGGAUUCUGUCGUCCAUGAAUGUAGAUAUUCUCAGUCUUGUGGUAAGCUCUAAGACUUCUUUUGAGUUGUGGAAAAAUCUAGAAAAACAAUUUGGAUAUGAAUUUAUGGCUAAGAAGGUUCAUCUGAAAAUGCUUUUGAGUAACCUGCGAAAAGGAUCUCUAACCAUGUCUGAGUAUUUUACAAAGCUUAAGUCAGUUACAGAUGGUCUUGCUUUAGUUGGUAGCCCUGUGCAUGAUUUGGAUUUAAUCACUCAUCUUAUUACUGGUCUAGAUCAGUCAUAUUAUCCUGUAGUAGUCUAUAUUGAGGCAAACAUGUUGAAAAUGGAUCUUAGUGAGGCUUAUGCUAUGCUUCUCACACAUGAGGCUAGACUUGAGAAUAAUAAGCUUCAUGAUAGUAAAGAAACCAAGAACAAUUAUGCAACAAAUGUAGCUCAGGUUGGAAAUUUUUCAAAGAAAGGUAAUAACAAUAAUCAAAACAACUGGAAGGAUGGAGGAAACAAUUGGAAUAAUAACUCUGGUGGAAGAGGUGGUUACCAAGGGUUCAAUCCAGGAAGAGGAAACUGGAAUAAUAAUAAUUUCAGAGGUGUUGCUGGUGGAUUUAACAGUGGAUUUCCUGGUCUCGUGGCUUCAAUAACAAUUAUGGCAGAGGUGGUUUCAACUCAGGCCAAAAUUUGGUGGUUGUUGAAGCCAACAAAAAUAAAUUCCUACUCUAAAUAAAUUGUGUAUAGUGAUUGAGCAGGGUCGUGUCCACAGAGAUCGGUAAUUAUUUAAAUCCUUUUGAAACGUAAAACGCAAAAUGGGGGAAUUGUUGACAAUAAUAAAAAUCAAAUUAAAGUAACAAGAAUGCAAAUUAAAGUUGUAAUUCAAAUUGGAGAAAGCUCUGGUUGAAGGAAUUAACUCAGCUUGAUUCGACUACUGAUCAUUGAUUCAAAUAUAGAUUAUUAUUACUCAUGAAUAGACCGGUUAUAGCUACUGAGACCCUCUAAUAGCCAAUCUCUCCUUAACUAGUCGAUAACCAAGGUACGACCGUUGGUUAUUUCCCUAAUCAAUAGACAACCCUAGAUACGAUCAUAGAAUUUAAUCAAUUGACAGCCUGAAAAACCAGAGAGACCCAAAUCCUAAUCAACACAUAUGAUGAUUCAUUUAAAUUAGAUUGUUUAUUCUCACAACACAACUCUCUGCUAUGUUAUUUGUCACAAGCAUUAAAUUCUUCAUACGAUGAAUCCUUUAAUUGACAAUAGAUUAAGUUGAUAAUUAAAUAGUGGCCAAUUACCUAAUUAACAAACAUAAUCAUGAAACUAAUUCAGAGAAUAAACAAAUACCCAAAAAGCAAUAAAACAAUUAAAGCACAAGAAAGAUCUCAUAGUAGUGAUGAAUCAAAGCUUCAUUAACCUUCAACCAGAAAAAUAAGUUUAGUUCUUCAUAGAGAGAAGAGAAAAAUUAAAUCUAGGGUUUCUUUCUUUUUUUUUUUUCCAAUCCAAAAAAUCCCCCUUUUUCACAAUAGAUUCCUCCCUUAAAUACUCUCUCUCUCUUCUCCUCUAGAAUUUUAUUUAAAAUAAAAUACUAAUAUCUGAAAUAUUAAAUUCGUAAUUACAAAAAUAACCAAAAAUACAAAACACGUUAAACUAAAAACUGCAGGUCCGCAGUUGACAGCACGCGCCCACGCCUUAUCAAUAAAGUUCUUCUGACGCUCAUAAUUUCUCCAAGAGAACAAUCAUCCUUAAACAUCAUCUUAUAGCUCAAUUUUAUCACCAACCAAUAGAAUUGCACCUACAAAAGUAAAUCACUAUUAUUAAGUGCAAAACAUCGAUAUUAAAAGAAGUAAACAAUGCAAAACUAGUGCAUAAAUUGCACUCUAACAGAGGUGCUGGAAAGAAUUUUGCUCAGGGAACUGGUGCUGCUUGUCAGAUAUGCUUCAGGUUUAAUCACACAGCAGCUGAUUGCAGAAACAGGUUCAACAGAAAUUUUAUCCCAAAUUUUCCAGCUCCAGCUCCAAAUUACUUCUCUAAUCAGCACCAAGGACCAAGAGCAGCCUUCAUAACAACAUCUGAAGGAGCUGCUGAUCAGGGAUGGUUUCUGGAUAGUGGUGCAACUCACCACUUAACCAACACAGUUCAGAAUCUGAGUGAUGGUAAGAUCUAUUUUGACUCAAACUUACUUACUGUUGGUAAUGGCCAAGGUUUUAGAAUUACUCACAUAGGUUAUACACAACUUCACACUUCUUUUGGCACCUGCUUACAACUACAGAAUAUUUUGUGUGUUCCUCAAAUUACCAAGAACCUCAUUAGUAUUUCCAAACUCCUCACUGAUAAUGAUAUAAUCAUUGAAUUUUUCUCUGAUGUUUGCUUUCUAAAGGACAAGGUGAAGGGCACUCUGUUGGCUUAGGGGAUUGCUAGAGAUGGCCUAUACAAGCUACUGUCAAAAAAGGAAUCUCUCUCUUCUUCCACUUCUGUUCUGCCAGUGUCUCAUCCUAGUUCUAUGAUGUCAACUCUUUCCUGCAAUAAUGUAAUUACUUCUGUUCAAAGUUCAAAUAAUGACUUCUGUUUUAAGUUUACAUUUCCUGUAAGCUUUCAAACUUCAAUUUCUGUGUCAGCAAAUAUAUUGCACAAUAGACUUGGUCAUCCAAGUAAGCAUGUCAUACAAACUAUUCUCAGAAACAAUUGUUUAAUGUCAGCCAAUGUUAAUAAAUCAAAUUUUCUUUUCUGUGAUGCCUGUCAACUUGGAAAGUUACAUCAAUUACACUUUCCCGCUACUAAAAUCAAAACAAAAUAUCCCUUAGAAUUAAUACACACAUACUUAUGGGGACCAGCUCCAGUUUUAUCACUAGAUGGUUAUAGAUACUAUAUUUCCUUUGUUGAUGACUUCACCCGAUAUUGUUGGAUCUUUCCCUUAGUUUUAAAAUCUGAUGCCCUUACUACUUUCAAAAACUUCAAGAGCUUAGUUGAGAAACAAUUCAAUCUGCCCAUCAGAAUUUUACAGUCUGAUAUGGGAGGUGAAUUCAAAGCUUUUCAGUCAUUUCUUCAACAAUAAGGUAUCCAAGCUAGAUUUAGUUGUCCCUAUACUCACCAUCAAAAUGGUGUUGUUGAGAGAAAACAUAGACACUUAGUAGAAACUGGAUUAACACUCCUUGCUCAAGCAAAAAUGCCUAUUUCUUUCUGGUGGGAGGCUUUCCAUACAACCUCUUAUCUCAUUAAUAGAAUGCCUACCACUACACUGAACAACUUAUCUCCCUAUCAAAAGCUUCAUAAUCAGCCACCAAACUAUCAACUUCUCAGAGUUUUUGGUUGUGCUUGCUAUCCUUUUCCCAGGCCUUAUAAUGACCACAAGCUUGAUUUUCAUUCCCAAAAAUGCUUGUUUUUAGGUUACAGCCCUCUUCACAAAGGAUAUAAGUGUCUAACAAAGUCAAGCAAAGUAUAUGUUGCUGUUCAUAUUAUUUUUAAUGAGUCUGAUUUUCCCUAUUCAGAGUUGUUCGCUUCAUCUGAAUCUUCUUCCAAUUCUCUGUCAUCAUACUCUCCAUCUAUUUGUAUCCUCAAUGACAGUGGCUUGCAUCAGUCAUCAGCUAUAUCUCCUGCUUUAGCAGAGUUACCAACUCACAUUCACCUCAACAUCCUCACCAAGCCCCACACUCUCCUUGUCCCUCUCCAGUCUCAAAUUCCUACGGCUCAUCAUCACCACAUUCUUCAUCACAUAAUGCUUUAGCCAAUCCCUCUGAUGAAUUACAACCAUCAUCUCAACCUGUCAUUUCAACUCAUCAGAUGGUUACUCGAGCCAAAUCUAGUAUUUUUAAACCAAAGACCUACCUUACAGCUACCGAAGACCUUGAACCAGUGAGUGUUAAAGCAGCCCUGAUUGAUACAAAGUGGAAAAUGGCUAUGCAAGAAGAGUAUAAUGCUUUGCAGAAGAAUGACACCUGGACAUUAGUUCCAGCUGAAACCGCUACAAAACUCGUUGGAAAUAAGUGGGUUUUUAGAGUUAAAUAUAACCCAGAUGGUAGCAUUUCCAAGUAUAAGGCUCGGUUGGUUGCAAAAGGUUUUCAUCAAACUUAUGGAGUAGAUUUCUUUGAAACCUUUAGUCUAGUUGUUAAACCCUACACUGUUCGUAUUGUUCUCAGCUUAGCAGUCAUGCAUUGUUGGCCAGUUCGGCAAUUGGAUGUUAACAAUGCCUUUCUUAAUGGCAUGCUUACUGAAAAUGUGUUUAUGCCUCAGCCAGAAGGCUUUAUCAGCUCUCAGUUUCUCAAUCAUGUCUGCAAAUUACAAAAAGCCAUUUAUGGUCUUAAGCAGGCUCCAAGGGCUUUGUAUGAUAGAUUGAAAGGGUCUUUAGUUCGGUGGGGUUUCAGAUCUUCAAAGUCAGAUACUUCACUGUUUUUCAAGCAUAUUGGCAAUAAUGUUCUCAUCAUCCUUGUUUAUGUAGAUGAUAUCCUGAUAACAGGCUCUAGUGCUGUUUAUAUUUCAGAGGUUAUCAGUCUACUUAGCUCAGAAUUUGCACUUAAAGAUUUAGGAGAUUUUAACUACUUUCUUGGGGUAGAAGUGACUCCAUCUGCUGAAGGAUUACAUCUAUCUCAAACUAAGUAUGUUGGUGACAUCUUAAGAAAAGCUCAUAUGCUUGAGAGUAAAGGCUGCAAUACACCUAUCAGUAUUGUUGAUAAGUUGCAGAAGGACAAAGGUUGCUCAUUUACAAAUCCCUCACUUUACAAAAGCAUCAUUGGUUCUCUGCAGUAUCUGACACUGACCAGACCAGAUAUCGCAUUCACUGUAAACAAAUUGAGUCAGUUUUUAGCUGCUCCAACUAUCUUGCAUUGGCAGGCUUGCAAGAGGGUAUUACGAUAUCUACAAAGCACAACACAUUUUGGACUGCAGUUCUUCAAGUCAGGUCCUCCAAGUCUCAUAGCAUAUUCUGAUGCAGAUUGGGGGUCUGAUCCAGAUGAUAGAAGAUCUGUUGGAGGGUAUUGUGUUUAUCUUGGAUCCAAUCUUGUGUCUUGGUCAUCUAAGAAACAGAACAUUGUUUCCAGGUCAUCUGCUGAAUCUGAGUAUAGAGCUUUGGCCUUAGCUACAUCUGAGGUUUUGUGGAUUACAUAUCUGUUGAAAGAGCUCAAAGUAUCACUUCCCAAACCUCUUGUUCUUUACUGUGACAACAACAGUGCAGAAGCUUUGGCUAGCAAUCCUAAGUAUCAUUCCAGAACUAAACAUAUAGAACUGGAUUUACAUUUUGUCAGAGAACACAUUGCCAACAAGGAUCUCUUCAUUGAACAUGUGUCUAGUUCUGAUAAGUUAGCUGAUGUGCUUACCAAACCUCUGAGUUUUGAUAAUUUUGCCUAUAUGCGAACUAAGCUCAAUGUCUGCCCACGACCUUGAGCUUACGGGGGCAUGUUAAGAAUAACAUAUGCUGAGUCAGCUGCUGAGUCAUCAAGCCACGCUGGAAGUCAGUUUUGCAGUUAGUUAGAGAGCUUAUCAGCUUCUCUCCAAAAGUUUGUUAUGUGUAUUAGAAUCUGUGCUCAUGAGUUUUGUGAGUUUGUAACCUUGAAAAGAUUCUCACACUACUAUAAAUUGUAUUGUGACUCAAUUAAUAAAAGUUGUUGAAGCGUUGCAUUUUCUCUCAGUCAAAAUUUUCUCUCUGUUUUUCUAAGUAACCAAACAAAAUCUACAGAGCAUUUUGUAUUUUAACUAUAUCUACACACUUAUAACACAAGUUUGUCACCACUAAAAUAUAAACAUGUUCUGUAAAUGCCUCUAAGAUAUCUGAGAAUUCAUUUCACUACUGUCCAGUGCUCUUUGUCCAGAUUGGAGAGAAACCGACUGACUACACUAACUGCGUAAACAAUACCUGGUCUUGUACAAAUCACGGCGUACACCAAACUGCCAACUGCUGAAGCAUAAGGAACUCCUCUCACGGAGAAAUGGGUUUUGCUCUUGAGAUCUUUGGGAACAUGAAGAAUAAAGAUGUAAUUUCUUGGACUGACAUUGUUUCGGGGUAUAUAAAUAGAGGACAAGUGGAUAUAGCUCGACAGUAUUUUGCUCAGAUACCAGAACGAGAUUAUGUCUUAUAGACUGCCAUGAUUGAUGGGUACCUUCGAGUGAAUAGGUUCAGAGAGGCUUUGACACUUUUCCGGGAGAUGCAAACUUCAAAUAUAAGGCCAGACGAGUUUACCAUUGUUAGGAUUCUUACAGUUUGUGCGAAUCUGGGGGCACUAGAACCGGGAGAAUGGAUAAAGACUUACAUUGACAAAAACAAGGUCAAGAAUGAUAUAUUUGUGGGGAAUGCUUUGAUAGACAUGUACUGUAAAUGCGGAGAUGUUGAGAAAGCUCAAAGGGUACUCAGGAAGAUGCUUCGAAAGGACAAAUUCACAUGGACGGCCAUGAUUGUUGGCCUUGCCAUCAGUGACCCAUUUCCUACGAUCAGACCGGAUAAGGUAACUUAUGUUGGUGUUCUGUCUGCCUGUACUCACAAUGGUAACGAAACUUUUGUGAUAAAUAGUUGCGACUUAAGGUGAGAAUUGGAGGAAACGAAAUAGACUGAAGUUGUUCAAUCAUCGGUGGUUGCUAUUUGAUUUUAAGUUGUUCAAUCAUCGGUCAUCUCUAUUUGGUUUUCUCCAAUAUCUCAUCUCCAGUUUUGACUCAGAUUCUGUCUUACCACUAGUAAUUAAAAGUGAGGAGGCAGCAGUCAAUGCUAUUUCGGCUUGGCCCAAAAUUUCACCAGUUUGUUAGUGUUCUGCAGCUCUUGCUGCUUUCCUAGAGAUUCUGCAUCUUUUGCAAUUUGAUUGAUUAAAAAAAAAAAAAUUAGUGGCCAUUUAGAAUGAAGGAGAGAUUUGUGUGAAUGGUAUAGGUGAAAAAUUGGAUGAAAAUAAACAGGCAACCGUCCGUAUAAAACAACAAUAACAAUAUACAAAAAGAUAAGUAGACACUUCUGUAAUUCACGAAAGGAAAUUUAUGGUUGUUUCUGAAAAACAUACAUAUUAAUUUCACUUAUACUCUAAGGUGGGAUAGAUGUCAACUAGCUAUGCUAAUGAUACCUUGCCAUCAUGACUGGACUUGUGAGGAAUUUGGAAACAUGUAUGAUGAUUGUUACUUACACAAUUGUAGAAAGAAAUGCUGAGGUGGCUUGAACCAGAUGGUGAAAUCGUCUAACACACUUAAUUGUUAGAUGUGUUUUGGAUAUUCACAGUUAGGUUGAAAUUUGUAGUUUUCACUUGAAAGAAUUCAGUUAAAAAUUGAUUGGUAGAAUUGUAAAAUAGUCUAAAUUUUUAGUUCAAACCCAUUGCAUAUUUAAGAACAUCUUAAAUGAAUUGCUUAUUGCUAUCAUCAUCAUUAUUGUCCAUAUAAUAAUAAUAAUAAUAAUAAUAAUAAUAAUAAUAAUAAUAAUAAUCAAUAGAAAUGUUAUCUUAUCCACUAUUUUAUAUAUGUUUCCACUAAAAUCUAUUUAAUUAUUCUUUAUUUUUUUUCAACUGUUGCAUGUUAGAUUUAUUCGAUUUCCUAAGUUAUAUCAAUAGAAAUGUUAUCUUAUCCAUAAAAAGUUAGAUCUAACAAUUAUGAAAAUUACUAUAGUGCUGCUUUGAAUAAUUUUUUAAAAAUACCACAAGUAAAUAAUAAUUAGUUUAAAUAGUGGAGACUAAAAAGCAUUCACCCUUAUUUUUUAUCUGUUAUUAGUUUUUUUUAAUCUGUUAUACAUUUGAAACAUUCCAUUAAUUGCCAAUUAUGUAAGCGAGAUAGUAAUUAAUUUUUUUUAUUUAAAAAAAGUGAAAAUUAAUCCUAUGCAAUGUGAAUAAAUUUCUUUCCUUUUUCCUUCACUCUUUUUAUUUGAUAAUUAAGUUUCAAUCUAUGUACGCAAAAUUUCUGCAACAGCUGCAAAACAUAAAAAUAUAUGAUUGUUAAGGGAAACACGCAGAAGUUCAUCACUUCAAUGUUCAGUAUUUCCAAUUUUGGCAUUAAGCUCUUACGAAUAUAUUCCACUUAGAAAGCAAAAUAUUAGAAUUGUGAUUUUAAUUCAUUCAUCAUAUCUCAUUUCAAUCCCAAAAUAUUCAAGUGGAUCCAAGUUACCAUAAGGCUUCAGAGGCUCGAGCCUUAGCCAGAGAUGGUUAAUUGAUAGACUAGGUAAGAGAAACCAAGGUUGAAGUAUGUAGAAAUGUUAUUUCAUUUAUUUUUAUUUAUGAUUUUUUGUAAAAUGUAAGAAAUAUGUAGAAAUGUUGCCAGCAAUGAUUUUGGAACUUUGCAUAAAAUUUUUAUCAUUAUUGUUUUUGGUAUUAAGAAAUCCGAGGCGGUGAUUAGACGUAUGUUGCAACAAUUAAGAAAUUUCUUAUUGGAGAUAAUUUGGUAGGUUGCAACAAUUAGAGAAUCAUUUUCCUGUCAGUUAAUCAAUCAAUAAUAAAUUUCAAAUUGCAGAAAAUAAAAUAAUACUGUCGCACUUAGAAUCAUCUUUUCUAUCUCUUUCAAUUGUGACAAUCAUUUGUAACAAAUAAAUCAAUUUGAUGCACAUCAUUUCCCCAAUUCAAAGUUCAAGUCACUGCUCAAUUGCAGAGUAGUUAGUAGACAUGCAUGCAUGUUUAAUUAAGUACUGCAUUGUAGUAUCGAAAAUCAUAACAUCUCACCAAGCCCGGAAGCAUAGCUCUUUAUCUUGUAAAUGUUGAAAUCUUAUGCAAACUAUGGGAACCAUGAGCUCACUCUCAGUGUCACUUGAUUCCAUUUUCUGUUCUUGCCUUGAUUUCGAUGUUGGGAAUGUGACGUCUGAGUCUAAGGUUGAAGAUAAUCUCGAUGCCUUGCGGACUGCAAUGGAAAUAAAAUAUUUGUGUGUUGAGAAAUGAUGAAAUGAUGCAAUGGAAAUAAAAUCUCAAUCUCUUGAGAAAUGAUGUGAUAAGAAGAGUUACUGUUGCUGAAGGACAACAUCAAAUGCAACGAAUGGAUCGAGUGCAGGGCUGGCUUUCAAGGGUAAAAUCUGUGGAAAAUAAAGCUGAUGAUUUGAUGAGACACAGCUCUCAAGAGAUUGAGAAGUUAUGCCUUGGAGGCUUCUGUUCCAGGAACUGCAAAUGAAGCUACAGCCGUGGGAUAGAAUUUGCAACAAUGCUACGAUUGUGGAGAGUUUAAUGGGUGAAGGAUCAUUUGAAUAGGUGGCUGAGAGGGUGCCAGAAGAUGCAGCAGAGGAGAUAAAUUGUGAGCCAACAAUAGUGGGCAUGUUGUCGACUUUUGAGAAAGCCUGGAGAUGCCUUGAAGAAGAAUCAGUUGGAAUUAUUGGCCUAUAUGUCAAUGGGGGAGUUGGAAAAUAUUUACUCAAAUCAACAACAAGUUCCUUGAUAGUCCAAAUAAUUUUGAUGUUGCGAUCUGGGUAAUGGUCUGCCAAGAUUUGCAACCCCAGAAGUUUCGGGAAAAGAUUGGGAAAAAGAAAGUCUUGUUCGAUGAGUACCGGAUUGAACUAUAUUAGAUUAUAUUUAAAUAAUAUUAAAUAGUAUUUAAGUUGGUAUUCUAAUAUAAAUAUCAAUUAUCCAUGAAAUUUUAUAAUCAUAAUUAAAAUAAAUUUAAAAAGCAAUUACUAGGAAAAUUAAAUAUAUUGCAAAAAGUUAUUGGGUAGUCAUAAUAUAAUAGGCAAAUAAAAUUAAAUAAAACAAAUUACAUAUUUAAUUAUAUUUAUCAAAUAUUUAAAAAUAUUAUAUAAAAUAUUAUAUAAAAUCAAUUAAUUAAUGAUAUUAUUAAUUUUCAUGAUUAUUUUUAAUAUUAUAUUACUGAUUAUUAAAUUUAAUACAAUCAAAUAAUGCAAUAAAUAAUUAAACAUUCAAUUUUAUUGAUUAAUUAUUAAAUAUACAAGUAAUGAAAAUUUUAUCUCAAGAGUUGGUAGAAGCGAAAGUACUAAUUUAAUUAGAUCAUAGAUAAUAAAUAAAAAUAAAUUUUAAGUAAAUCAUAAUAAAAAAUUAAUUAAUUAAUUCAAUCAAUCAAUAUUAGGUGUAAAUAAAAAAAUGAUAUAAAUAAAAAUCUCAUAAAUGUACAACUUUUAUCUUUAAUCUUAUCCUAAAAGAACAAAAAGCAGAAUAUAUAUUGAAGUGUUUUUCACACCUUUUCAUUAACUGGAAUGCAUGUAUUUAUAUACAUCAUUUGUAACUAAUAAAGAGAAAAUAAAGGAAACUAUACAUGAGAGUAUCAAGGAGAAUAAUGGAAGAGAUUGUUGUCCGUAACUUGUGGAGAGUAUCAUGGAGCUUGAGAUUAUCUGAUAUGCCCCCGCAAGAGGGUGUUGCCAUUGGCGACACCCAUCUUGAACCUUAAUUCAGAAAAUGGUCGCUUAGAGAGGGGCUUGGUUAGGCUAUCAGCAAGUUGAUCUGCUGUAGAUACAUAAGAUACGCGCAAUAGCCCUUUGUUGACCCAAUCACGAACAAAAUGAUAAGCAAGAUCAAUGUGUUUUACCCUUGAAUGAAAGACUGGAUUGCGACACAAAUAGGUAGUUCCAAUAUUAUCACAAUAGAUGGUAGGAGUUUGACUCAAUUGAAGGCCAAGUUCUUGAAGUAGAUUCUGAACCCAUCGAACUUCAGAGGCUGCAUUUGCGACAGCCAAGUACUCAGCUUCUGUUGUGGAACGAGCUAUUGAUUUUUGUUUGUUCGAGCGCCAUGAGAUAGGAUUGCCGCCUAGAUAAAGCAUAUAGGCUGAUGUAGAAGUAAUGAAAAUUUAAUCUCAAGAGUUGGUAGAAGCGAAAGUACUAAUUUAAUUAGAUCAUAGAUAAUAAAUAAAAAUAAAUUUUAAGUAAAUCAUAAUAAAAAAAUUAAUUAAUUGAUUCAUCAAUCAAUAUUAGGUGUAAAUAAAAAAAAUGAUACAAAUAAAAAUCUCAUAAAUGGACAACUUUUAUUUUUAAUCUUAUCCCAACUAAACACAUGUGUAAAUUAGGAUUAUUAAUUCCAUAAUUUUCGGAUUAAAUUCAAAUUUAUUCCCCCUUAAUCCAAUUCAACUAAACUUGUCAAACAUGGGAUAAAAAUUUAAUUAUAAAAUUAGUCCAAUUCCAUACUUAAUCCUAGCAUCCAAAUAUAGCUCAAGUUCUUUGCUUAAAGAAGCUACCAAAUUUGAAGAGCGUUUACGGGAAGGCCUUGCGUUUCCCAGAUGUAUGCAGAAUUUUUGUAUCUAAAUGCCCAGAACUUAAGAAGCUGACGCUGGAUUUUGAAAGGGCGGGCCAAGGUAAAAUUCUUAUCAAAUGAAAGGAAAAUCGAUGGAAACAACUUCAAUGGGAGGAUCAAGCAACUCAGGAUGCAUUGCUUCUGUUUUUCAAAUCAACUGACAAGUGAUUGAAGGGGGCAUCAUCAGCCUGGAUGGGGAGAUCCUGGAGCAGAUCAGCAGGGUUUGAAUCUGCAUCAUCAACAUCAUCAGGAUCUCUAUUUCUAUUGCUGGUCGUAAUGCCUGCCGACUGUUGCUUGAAAAAGUGAUUAAGUGAGCCAGUUUUUUGUUUAUUAAAUUUUGUUUUGUAGAGACAGUCACAAAGUAUUUUUCUUAGUUGUUCUAUAUGAGAGUGAUGUGAACCAAUUUUUCAAUUAUAUAUUCUGUGGGAAAUUGCAAGUAUUUUUAAAAUAUGAUCGUUAUUAAAGGAAACAAAGGAAUCAACACAGCAUACUGAACCUCAGCAGUAUGAAGCUAAUGAUUAAACUCCUCACACAAUUCAUAACAUGCAAAACCAUUCACAAAAUCAUCCACAGCAACCAUAAUUGGCGUCCAAUAGAAAUUUACAAGAAUUACUUUUCUGUUCAUGCAAUCGGCGUCUGAACGCGGCUGAUCGGUCACCGGUGUUGGCGUUUACUGUGAUUAGACAAAUUGUAGCACUUCAAAAAUAACUUCUAUAGGGGUAAUUUCGAUUUCACAUAAUUAAUUUUAUUUACAAUAUUUUAUUCCUGCAAGGUCAACUGAGAUUCUUUCCACCGGGCACACCCUUCAUGUUCUUUUAUUUUCUGUCUUUUAUUAGCCGUUGGAUUUUACUACUCUUAUAUCCAACGGCUUGCCACAACAAGACAAAUGAGGUGGUACCUUUCAACCGCUGAAAGGUAGUUUUGGCCCCAAGUGAAAGAGGGAAAUAGGGAAUUGAUGCUAUAUUUUAUAUUUUCUAUUUUACUACUCUUGUAUCCACCGGCCUUUCUUAUAUUUUAUUGCAAAUUGAUGCUAACAAGAAAAAGCUAGAUCAUAUUCCACAGAAAAGUGAGAAAACAACCAGAUGGAUUCUUUUAUUAAACUACAAAUUAAAAUGGUAUCACAAAUUCUCAUCAAUUUAUUUAAAUAUAUUCUUUUAACCCUCUUUUUAAUUUCACAAAUUCUCAUCAAUUUAUUUAAAUAUAUUCUUUUAACCGGAAACAAUUGAUAUCACUUAUUAAGAAUAACAAAAUUUACUAUUUAAAAAUGAAGAUCAAUAAAUUUUUAUCAAUCAUGAAAGUUAAUGAGUGUCAAGAAAUUAAUUUUUGCUAAACAUACAAGCUAAUAACUAUUAAAAAAAUCUUAUAUUAUAGAGAUCAUAUAUAUUAAGAAAGACCAAAAAAAAAAUUAAAAAAAUAGUUAAAUUCAGUGUAUAGUUUAUAGGAUGUGAGAGUGGUAAAAGAAUAUAUAAUUGUAAAAUAGAGAAAAAGAAAAAGAGAUUAGUAGAGAAUAAUUUUGAGAUUUUUUAAUUUUUAAUUUUUAAUAAUAAAUUUAUUUUAAAAAAUAGGUGUGGAGAAAAAUUUGAUGGGUUCAAGCAAUUCCACCUAAUUUUAUAUUAUCAAUACGCAAAUGAAAGUACAAAAAUACCUCUAAUAGAGUGAAAUAAAGAGUUCUCUAAUCUCUAGGGUUUCUCAUUCCAAUUUUGAAAUUUCCCUACUUUAUUUUGAAUUAACCCUCUUUGUUACCAUUGAAUUGUAACAUUCAAAAUUUGAAUAUGUUUUUACAAAUAGAAGAUUAUUGGGACAAAAACAAUAAGAAAUAGAAAACCUAGUUGAAAAAGGAUAUUACAAAAAAAGAAAUUGCCAUUACCAUUCAAACAUUUACACAGUAAAGGCAUUAACAGCAUAAGGCGGCAAUAAAACUUACUCAUAAUUAGGGGUGGCAAAAAAGUCCGAGCCGGCUUAGGCCCGGCCAAGCCCAGUCUAGAUCCGUGGACUUAAAGUCCGACCCGUAAGGAUGUGGGCUUAGAUAUAGACCUAAAAAUUACAAAACCCACAUAUAUUAGACCUAAACAAGAACUUAGCAAAAAAACCCAAACUUUCUAAAUUUAUGAAUAAAAAAUAAAUUUAAUUUAAAUAAAAAAAAUUAAAAUAUUAAAUUAAUUGAAUUUUUUAUAUUAAUAUUUAUUAUUUUAUUAAAUUAUAUUGUUAAUAUUUAAUGUAUUUGACUAUUAUUCUAUUUAUAUAUUAUAUUAUUAUUUUUAAUUUAAAUAUUUUUCUUAAUUUAAAAAAUUUUUAUAAUUAAUUUAAAAAGUUCAGGCCCAGCCCGAGUUCGGUCCAUCCAAAUUUAACGGAUUUUUGAAGAACCUGAACUUCGUUUGAAUGAUAUGGGUCCGGCCCAAGCCCGCAAAUUGCCAUCCCGUGAUAAUAACAAACAGAUAUGGCCCAGCCCGAGUUCGGUCCAUCCAAAUUUAACGGAUUUUUGAAGAACCUGAACUUCGUUUGAAUGAUAUGGGUCCGGCCCAAGCCCGCAAAUUGCCAUCCCGUGAUAAUAACAAACAGAUAUAGAUAGAUCGAUGGAUGGCAUUUUUUAAAUGUACCUUAAAAACCAAAACAAAAGCAAAAAUAUUAAAAUAUUACACCAACUGCUAACUAAUUAAUCUAAUAAAACGCCUCGCUUAAUCAUUUCCAGUCCACUAAACACGCUGAACGGAUUCCAGCCUCUGAAGUCUCAUCUCAUUGUUAAAUUCAUUGAUGAAAGCUUCAACUCGCCGAUUCAACUCAUCUUGACUCAUCGAUUCCUCCCUCCUCAGCGACGUUCUGUCACUGAACGUCUCAGAUUUCCUCAGCUCACGUUUCGCCCAAGCCGUCGGAUCAUUCUCAUCAUUAUCACUACCACAGGCGAUGGUGAUGAUGUGGAAGGUGGAAGAAGCGGCGAUGGUGAUGAUGAUGAUGAUGAUGAUGAUGAUGAUGAAGUUGACUAUGAUGUAAUUGUACGGCGGCGACAGCCAGAACCUCAAAGAAAUGAAGAGGCUAGGGAUUGUCGAUACCGUGAAACAAAUGUACGGGAUUAUUGCUACCUUAAACAGCAUGAAAGUUGAAACAAACCCGGCUGACAAAAAUAACAACUUUGCUACCCGCGUUACUGUCUCUAAUCUGCUUGAUUUUGGGUCGAAAUUUUGAAAAAGAUCCCCCAUUUUUCAAUUUUCACACACAAUAAAGAAGGAAAAAGAAAGGUAGCUAGAUUUUUUUUUUGUUUUUCAACAAGGGAAGAAAUAAGAAAAGAACAUUAAAAGGAUUUUUCAGGCUUUGAUGGUCAUUAAAAUGAGACCCAGGAAACCAUUGAAGCUAAAAAAAAAACGAGAAGCCAUGUAUUUAUAUAUGCUGCUUUGCUUUACAAAAUCUGACUGGCAUCAGGGUGAAAAAAAAGUGCCAUUUGUUGGUACAGAGAGACAGAGGAGAGUAGAGAGGCAGAUGCAGGGGCAGGGGCGAAGUCAAGGGACCAUUGAAUGGGCAAGCGAGGUUUCAAUUUAUGUAACGAGGGACGAUUAAAGUUCUUGCAACUUUCCUGCCGUCUGAUGAAAUCUUGACCGUUCGAUGGUACAAUAAUGGUUAUAAUGAUCUUGAAAGUGUUGGAGAGAUAAGUUUGUACAGAUUAUGUACGCUAAAUAAAAUCACAUUUAAAAUGGUUUUUGAUUUUAUUCUAUUACAGAUUACUUUUAUUAAAUAAAUGAAGGUACAUUGAGUGAGUGAGUGAGUGACUUCACGAUUUUGCACUAACGCCGCUGUGUUAUCCUCCGCGGCACUUGUCCUCAUCAUUUGUAAUUGAAAAGCUGAUUUAAGAUUUUAGAAUAGUGCCUUUUGGAAAAAAAAUAUAUAUAUAUAUCAACGGCCGAUUGAGAUUUCUUUUUUGAAGAUUUAAAAUUAAUUUUUUAAAAAAUUAAAAAUUAAUUUUAAUAUUUUAUAAGUUUUAAAAAAAUUAUUUUUAAUAAAAUCACUUCAUAGUAGAUUCCGGAAAGUAGAUAUCUAUGCUUUUUAAAUUUUAAUUUUAAGAAUUAAUUUUUUACUUAAUAUAAUCCUUGCAUAUAUUAUAAAAUUUUAAAAUCAUCUUCAUUAAUUACAAAAUAAGAUCAUUAAUUUUAAGGAGAUUAUAAUCAUUAUCAAUUAUAGGGAGAUUAAAUGCUUAAAGUGACAAGUGCAAAACUAUUUAAAAAUAGUCAGUAAAAGUAUAGGUGGGCAAUUAGUUCAAUUCUAUUUGAAUCAACUAAAUUAAAUUAUAUCGUGUUUCAUAAAUUUUUAAAGCAACUGAUUUUUUGUUUGGUUUAGAUAAAAAUUAAACUAAACCGAAAAAUCAAACGGUUCAAAGAAAAAAAAGUUAAAAACAAAUUUUAUAAACUGAUCGGUUUCCGUUAGAUUCAAUUCCAAAUCUAAACAAACCAAUCCAAAGUGAAAAUAAACAUUUUUGUUGAAUGCACUUUUAAUUUGUUUGGAUACGUCUCGACCCUCCAGUCUCUUGAUUAAAGUUCAUUUAUUAGGGUCCGCUUGUAAUACAGCGUCUGUAUCUCAUACAGUCAAAUUUAAUAUUUUAUUAAGAAAAAGGGCAACCGUUAGAUAGAAGUAGAUACAUCCAAUGGUUAAUAUCUGUGAUUACUCAUUUUGGUGACCGGAUAUGCCAAUUAUUAUUUCAUCAAUUAACUUACCUAAAAAAUCAUAGCCGUUGGAUUGAGAUGCCUCUCUCUCCCUCAAAAUAACAGCCUUCGUAUUCUCUCUGCUAUUGUUUUGUCCUACAUCUAGAAUUUUGGAUGAAUGAACUUGGUAUUCAAGAACAUUCACCACCCAUCACAGCAAAGAGCAAAGAUAUAGUCGAAGGAGUGCCAUUUAUUCAGGCUUACUUGAUCUGUCAGUCUCGCUUCAAUUCGUCACUCAUUUUCUUGCGCUCAGCUUCAAUCUAUCACUCUCAGCUUCAGUUCGUCACUCAUAGCUUCAAUUUUUUCACUGUCGUGAAUCAUCUCUCUUGCUGUAUCUCUCUCUUAUGUCUUCCAAUAAUUUCGGUGAGCUCUCUCUCUAAUUUAAUAUAUGAUUAAAAAUCUUAUCAUCUUAUCAUGUCAUUUAAAUAUGCUUGAAGUUUCAAUUUAGUUUAUGAAUAUUACUUGAAAUUUUAGAUUCAAUAAUUUUAGUUUUUUUUUUCUCUAUCAUCAAUCAUAUAUUUUUUCUUGCUCUUUAACUUCUUAUCUUCAACUAAAUGUGACCUUACAUUUAUUUAGUGUAUGAUCAAUUUUUAAAUGCACAAUAAGCAUUGCAAAGUUGGCGUUAUGCAAAGGCUAUCACAAUGUGAGCGUUCAAUUGGACAGAGUGUCAUGAUCAUACAUCCUUGAACCCAAUAUUUAUUCCAAUAACAAAUGUAGAUACGUAAACUACUUUUUUUUUUUAAAUAAAAAUAAAAAACUUCAAUGAAUCAAUCAAUUAUUUUCUGAAAUGUUAUGCGAAUUGUGAUUGUGAGAUUAAAAAAAAAUAUCCAUGCAAAUCAAAUUGUAACCGCCCUCUCAAGAUAAACCAAGUAACACAAAGCAUCAUUAACUCUUUCUUGUUUCAGCCACAGUACUAUUUUUUGCUUGAUGAGAAUAUAUUUAAAUAGUAUUUAAGUUGGUAUUUUAAUAUAAAUAUCAAUUAUCCAUGAAAUUUUAUAAUCAUAAUUAAAAUAAAUUUAAAAAGCAAUUACUAGGAAAAUUAAAUAUAUUGCAAAAAGUCAUUGGGUAGUCAUAAUAUAAUAAGCAAAACAAAUUAAAUAUUUAAUUAUUUUUAUCAAAUAUUUAAAAAUAUUAUAUAAAAUCAAUUAAUUAAUGGUAUUAUUAAUUUUCAUGAUUAUUUUUAAUAUUAUAUUAGUGAUUAUUAAAUUUAAUACAAUCAAAUAAUGGAAUAAAUAAUUAAAUGUUUAAUUUUAUUGAUUAAUUAUUAAAUAUACAAGUAAUGAAAAUUUAAUCUCAAGAGUUGGUAGAAGCGAAAGUACUAAUUUAAUUAGAUUAUAGAUAAUAAAUAUAAAUAAAUUUUAGGUAAAUCAUAAUAAAAAAAUUAAUUAAUUGAUUCAAUCAAUCAAUAUUAGGUGUAAAUAAAAAAAUACAAAUAAAAAUCUCAUAAAUGUACAAUUUUUAUUUUUAAUUUUAUUCAAACUAAAUACAUGUGCAAAUUAAGAUUAUUACAUCCUUGAACCCAAUAUUUAUUCCAAUAACAAAUGUAGAUACGUAAACUACUGGGAAGCAGCACACGUGUCCUGAAGAGAGAAAAAAAUCGAGCAAAUGCAGACAAUGGGAGUUGGCUAAAAGUUGGAUCUGCAAUUUACAAAAUCUGUAACUUAUUAGCCAGCUCCCAAAUUGUGUAGUCUUUUUUCAAAUUGUACAGACAUUUAUAAAUUGGUGGCCCCUUGAAAAUUUAAUGCCAAGCAGAUAAAAGUCAUCAAGCACAGUCCUCAAUAGUUGUUUCGUGUAUAUUUAUAAAUUGGUGGCCCCUACAUCUUUAAUAAUUGGGAUUGAAUUACGGUAUAAUUGUAGAAUCAUGUCUCAAUUACAUUCAAUUGUUAGAUAUAUUUACGUUGGUAAAAUUUACUGAUAUCUAAUAAUUAAACGUAACUAUAACACAAUAUUAUAAUUACACCACAAAUUUUCUCUAAUAAUUAUUCCGAUACUUAUAAAUUGGUGGCCCCUUAGUAAUUUAACAGCAGCCUGCAAGUGUCAACUAAUGAAAAGUCAUCAUUCACAAUCUUCCAAGUGAAACAGGAAAUAUACAAAAAUUAAAACAUGUCAUUCUUUUUUUUUCAUUCCCUGUCAUGUAACUUACACCCAAAUACAUAAAUAAUAUAAAAUGAAUGGAGAGAUGCCAGGAGCAGAUCAGCAGGGUUUGAAUAUGACCUUUGGCGCUUGCUUUUUUUUUUUUUUGUGAUUUUUUUUUCAUUUUUUCCUUCCUGUCAUUUUAUCAUUUCUUUGGCUUUGUCUCUAUUGCGGGUGUUACUGCAUGCUUACUGUUUCUUGACAAAGUUUGCUAGCUUUUCCUUUUGUUUAUUAAAUAUUUUUAUCGUCACAAAGUAUUACUCGUUCUAUUUGACAGUGAUGUAAAUUAAUUUUUCAAUUUUAUAUUUUAUCGUCGAUGUGAAUUCAAUUUCAUUUGUCAUCAUGCACAAUCCUCAAUAAUUGUUUCGAUAUUUAUAAAUUGGUGGCCCCUACGUCCUCAAUAAUUGUUCCGAUACUUAUAAAUUGGUGGCCCCUUAAUAAUUGGUGUUUGAGGAAUUAAAUAGAGCGAUCAUGAUCUUUUCCAAAUGAAAGUGAGCAAAUGGUUGAGCAGGUCACCUUGAUCAGGUGGUAUGAGUUUGAUCAAAUCACCUCGACCAGGUACAAUGAGGUUGAGCAGAUCAUCUUGAUCAGGUGGUGUGAGCUUGAGCAGAUGACCAUGUGGUAUGAGCUUGAGCAAAUCACAUCGACUAGGUGCUAUGAGGUGGAGCAGAUCACCUCGACUAGGUACUAUGAGGUGGAGCAGAUCACCUCGACCAGGUGCUAUGAGCUCGAGCAGAUCACUUCGACCAUGUGCUAUGAGCUUGACCAGAUCACCUCGACCAGGUGGUCUAAACUUGAGCAGAUCACCUCGGCCAAGUGAUGACUAGGAAUAAAGACUCAGUUAAAAUAAACCACCACAAAGCUCCUCCGAAAAAUCAGGGCACGAAUCUGAUUAAUCAAUGGUUAUUGUCACGAUCUAAGGUCGUGGGUGUGGGGUGUUUUAUAAAAAUCCCGAGAAAAUCACACCAAGGGAAGGCUCUUUUUCUCUGGAUCUGACGGAGAAAUCCUUUCUGGAUACUCUAUUUUACUUUUCUGCAAAUUAUUCAAAAAGCUUUUGGUUUUAAAAUAAUGUUUAUUUAGCCAUAUGAAAAAUGACAUAUUUGGUUUUUCCUGUAAACCCCAUAACUGACUUGAGCGUUGGAGGGUUUACGCCAGAAAAACUUCCGGCACCUCUGACCAUUCUCUGUAAUUUCAGGUACUUAUUGAUCGUCAGCUUGAAGAUUAUAUGCUCAUGAAUGUUCUGCUCAUAGUCAGAGAAUAUUCUGACUAUAUUAGCCAUGACAUUUUAGUAAUUUCAGGUACUAAAAAAAAAUUAAAAUUGUUGGCGUGAAAAGCACAAAUCCUAUUUUUUGACAAUUUUAUCUUUGUCAAUUUCAAAGAUUUACAAUAUCAUAGGUAAAGAUUAUAACUAUUUCAUCUUCAAGUUUUUAAUUUUAUAUUUUUUGUAGGAACUUUAAGAAAAUAUCAAUAAUUUAAAGAGAAUUUUUGAAAUUUUUAAUUUUAUCUUUCUUGUAGGAAUUUUAAGAAAAUAUCAAUAAUUUAAAGAAGGUAAAAUAACCAAUAAUUUUAUUUUUUUUUUAGUUAUUUCCGUUUAAAAACUGUUCUUUUAUUAGCCGUUGGAUUUUACUACUCUUAUAUCCAACGGCUUGCCACAACAAGACAAAUGAGGUGGCACCUUCCAACAGCUGAAAGGUCGUUUUGGCCCCAAGUGAAACAGGGGAUGCACUUACUAUUAAGGACAGUUGGUGGCCAGCUAAUGCACUCAUUUUAUGUCCUUUUAUCUUUUUGAAUUCCUGAAGACAAGUGCAUUCAUUUUGUGUCCUUUCAUCUUUUUGAAUUACUGAAGACAAGUGGCCAGCUAAUGCAUUCAUUUUUUGUCCUUUCGUCUUUUUGAAUUAUUGAAGACAAGUGGCUCAUCGCUUUUACUGUAGGUAAGAUCUUGAUAAUCUCGAUUAUCAAAAUAAUAAUAUUCAAAAUAUUUCUUAAUUUUAUUUAAAAGAUAAAAGAAAAAUAAGUUAUGCUGGUAAAUUUUUUUAUUUUUUUAAUAAAAAUAAAAUAAAUUGAUGUUUAUAAUUGUUUCAAAUACUUUAAAGAUUGUAAUUUUAUGAGAGAGUAAUAUUUCACAUUUUUAAUGUGAAAAGUUGAAAAGGGACAAAGCAAGUUUCUCUGUUUUUCUUUUUCUUUUUUUAAAUUUGGUCAUCUCAAAUACUUCACCCUUCAACACUACAAUAUUUUGGUUAUAUAUAUAUAUAUAUAUAUAUAUAUAUAUAUUUUACACAUGCAUAUGAAUUACUUUUCUUUUAAGCUCCUGAAUAUUUAAGACAAAUCAUGAAAGAGAUGAGAAUAUAAUAAGAUGAUCAAAAUAUGUAACAAAAUUUUUUUAGAAGUGAAACAUCGUUAGAGUUGAAGUAAAACUCUGAAAAUAGAGAUACUGAUUAAUUUAGAAGAGAUGCAAGCAAAAGAUAUGCCAAAAAAAAAAAAAAGCAAUAUGUCACUUUGGAGGGCAAACUUGUCAGUUUCACAAAAAUACAUGCUUUGUAUUGAUAGUUGUCACUAUGUAUUAGGGUGCGUUUGAAAUUAUAGUGCUGUACCUUUUAAACUACAGUUGUUGUAGAAAAAAAUAAAAAAUAAAAACUACACCUAAGAUUAAGGAAAAGUACUUCAAAACUCUCUUUUGAUCAUAAAACCUUUUGUCUUAAUUAACUUAAAGAUUUUGAAUCUAAUAUUUUAUAACAAAUAAAAAUAUAUUACCAAAAUAAAUAUAAUAAUAUCUAUUUUAAAAUAAUAUCAAUAUUUAAAAUAUGUUUUAAUAUUUGACGAUCUAUUAGACACAUUUUAUUAUGUUAAAGUAAAUUUUAUAAUAAAUACAAACAUACUAAUAAAAUGAAUAUAUACAACAUUUAGAGUAUUUUGAAUAUUAUAUAAAAUAAAUUUAAUACAAUGCAUGAGAUAUAUUUUAUUAAUUUAAAAUGCUAUUUAACCUAAAGAUUUAUUUAUGAAAAAUUAAUGAUUAUAUUUUUGAAAUUAUUUAAAAUAUUAAAAAAAUUAAUAUUAUUAAUCUAUCAGGUAGAUUAAAUUAUUUAUAUUAUUUUGCAUUUAUUAAAAAAUUUUAAAAUCAAUCUUUUUAAUUACUAUUCUAAGGAUAUAAUAAUAGAGGCAACUCCGUUGCGUCAUGGUUUUGGUACCCCGUCGUUUGUCUUUUAGCACAGUCAUCGUUGGAUUUUAUCUCACGGCUGCAGAAGAGACACAGAGACGCUAGGGAGCAACCUGACAAAAAGGUCAUGGGCCGGUAAGCUGCAGGGAAAAUAUUUAAAAUACAAAAUCUUCCCUUAAAUUUUUUUUAAUAUUUAACAUGUUAUAGUUUCUAAUCUCAUGAAUAGUAGAGGAUAAAGUUUUAUCUUAAAAAAAGUAAUCCCAAGGGUCUCCUUGGGAUGAAAUUUUGCCUCUAUUAGAAUUAAGUGGUGGGCUCAUUAUUGUUACUUUUAUUUUUUUUAUACCAAACAUGAUAUAGGAUUAUUUUAUACUAAAAUUAUCCAAUCCUAUGAUAUAUAACUAAAACUAAACAGGCACUUAGGGUAUAUAUGAGCCACGGUGGAGAAGCUUUAUUUAAUAUUAUUGAUUUAAAUAAUAUCUCAUUAAAAAUGUACUGAGAAGAAAUUUCGGUGGGUAUUUUAGUCAAUCACAUGAUCAGCCUUUGGACUUGAAACGUCGGUCAGAAUGAUUUAUUCUAACAAGAAAAAACUAGGUAAUAUUCCACAAAAGUAAAAGUGACAAAACAACCAGCUGGAUUCUUUUAGGAAAUUACAAAGAGUAAUGAUACAGUCAUAAAUUUUUAUAUAAAUUUAUUUUAUAUAAAUUGAUGUGGUAUUAAUUCAUUAGUUGAAUGAAAAUAUAAAUUAAUAAAAAUAAAUUAUAUGGACCAAGUAAUAUUUAAUUCAAUCAAUCUUAUUAUGUCACAUCAAUUUAUAUAAAAUAAAUUUAUAUUUGUAUUAUUACUCAACUAUAAAUUAAAAUAAAUUUUUUCGAUAAACUACAAAUUAAAGUGGAUUCUUUUGAAUGCAAGUGGGACAGACGAUAAGGCUAAAAAUUAGUCAAGAAUCGAAUAGUCUUUUUCAAAUUCUUGUUUUAUUAUUUUUCAAAACCAGUUUUUGGUAAUUACAAUCGGGUCAUUAAUCAUUAUUCAGAGUUAUUGUUUCCUUCAGAAGUUAGUGGCUCAUGUUUGCAAGUGUGAAUAUGCGAUGCUCUUUUUCGAAAGCGCAAUGACAGUGGGUCCCGAAUCGGACGUCCCUAAAUCUUUUUAAAAUUUUUGCCGUAUAACGAACAGAGGUCAUUACUAAAAUUUCUCUUCCACAGCCUACAGCAGCUUCAGUUUAUCAAACUCAAUCAAUUUUCUUUCUUAACAAAAUUCCAAAGAUGUGUAGCAUUUUUCAGAUCACAUGCGAUGGUGCUCUUUUCAAUCGUUGCUUGGAUUGCUUUCUUGGAAAAGCAGCAUACAUACGUAACCUCCAAGAUAAUCUUGUAGCCUUGGAGACUGAACUGGGAAGACUAAUCGCAGCAAAGAACGAUGUGAUGAUGAGGGUUGUCAAUGCUGAACGGCAACAAAUGAGAAGGCUGGACGGAGUGCAAGUGUGGGUUUCGAGGGUGGACGCUGUUAAAACUGGAGCCGAUGAACUUAUCACAGACGGCUCUGAAGAAAUUGGCAAAUUAUGUGUUGGAGGCUACUGUUCCAAGAACUGCAGGUCAAGCUACAAAUUCGGAAAACAAGUGGGUAAAAAGCUACAAGAUGUGAAGACUUUAAUCGCCGAGGGAGUUUUUGAGGCGGUGGCCACUGAGGUGGUGCCCGAGAGAGCUCCGGAACCUGUAGCAGAUAAAAGACCCACUGAGCCAACAAUAGUAGGCCUGCAAUCACAGCUUGAACCAGUUUGGAGAUGUCUUGUAGAAGAAUCAGUGGGAAUCAUUGGCCUAUAUGGUAUGGGCGGUUUUGGUAAAACCACACUAUUGACCCAUAUCAACAAUAAAUUUCUUGAGAGUCCCACAAACUUUGAUUGUGUGAUUUGGGUCGUAGUUUCAAAAGACCUGCGACUUGAAAAAAUUCAAGAAGAUAUUGGGAAGAAGAUAGGUCUAUCUGAUGAUUCAUGGAAGAAUAAAAGUUUUGAAGAGAAAGCUGUGGACAUCCUGCUGAGAUUAGGAGAGAAGAGAUUUGUAUUGUUGUUAGAUGAUUUAUGGGAGCGGGUUGAUUUAACAAAAGUGGGCGUUCCACUUCCCAGCGCACAAAAUACUACCUCAAAAGUCGUAUUCACAACCCGUUCCAUUGGUGUUUGUGGCAGCAUGAGAGCUAGGCCGGUUAAAGUGGCAUGCCUAUCAGAAAAGCAAGCUUGGGAACUGUUCCGCGAAAAUGUUGGGGAAGAAACUCUUGAGAGUGAUCAUGAGAUCGUUGAGCUAGCCCAAACUGUGGCCAAAGAGUGUGGUGGUUUGCCACUCGCACUUAUUACUAUUGGUCGAGCUAUGGCCUACAGAAAGAAAGCGGAGCAGUGGAGACGUGCAAUUGAAGAGUUAAGAAGAUCAGCUUCAGAGUUUGCAGGUUUGGGAAAAGAGGUGUAUCCUCUUUUAAAGUUUAGCUAUGAUAGUUUGCAGAAUGAGACAAUUAGAUCUUGUUUCUUGUAUUGUUGUUUAUAUCCUGAAGAUUAUGGCAUUCUUAAAUGGGACUUGAUUGAUUGUUGGAUUGGUGAGGGAUUUUUUGGGGAAUCUGACAGGUUUGGUGCAGAAAACCAAGGAUAUGACAUUUUGGACACUCUUGUUCGUGCAUGUUUAUUAGAAGAGGUGGAAGAUGAUGAAGUAAAAAUGCAUGACGUUGUUCGUGAUAUGGCUAUAUGGAUAACUUGUGAAAUUGAGAAGGAGAAGAGAAACUUUUUGGUUUGUGCAGGUGCGGGACUAAAGGAGGCACCGGAGGUUAAAAGAUGGGAAAAUGUGAGAAGAUUGUCACUGAUGCAAAACCAAAUUAAAACUCUGUCAGAGGUUCCCACAUGCCCUCAUCUCCAUACUUUAUUUCUUGACUUCAAUGACAAUUUGAAUAUGAUCGCGGAUGGCUUCUUCCAACUUAUGCCUUCUCUCAAAGUUUUGAAGAUGUCAAACUGCGUGAAUUUAACUUUGAAAUUACCUUUGGGGAUGUCAAAGUUAGGUUCACUAGAACUUCUUGAUGUUUCGAAUACCGGCAUAAGAGAGUUACCAGAAGAGUUAAAGUUGUUGGUAAAUCUGAAAUGUUUGACUUUGAGGUGGACAUUUGAGUUAAAUAAAAUUCCACGGCAACUAAUAUCAAAUUCUUCAAGGUUACGUGUGUUGAGAAUGUUGGGUACUGGCCUUUUGAAUUUUCAUGAAGCGUCAGAAGAAAGCGUUUUAUUUGGUGGGGGUGAAGUUUUGAUACAGGAAUUGCUCGGUUUGAAAUAUUUAGAGGUAUUGGAGUUGACCUUGCGAAGUUAUCAUGCUCUCCAAAUUCUUUUGAGCUCAAAUAAGUUAAAAAGUUGUAUUCGAUCUCUUUUCCUCCAGUUGGCCGGAGAUGCAACGUCGAUUGUUGAUGCUACGGCUUUCGCAGAUCUAAACCACCUCAAUGAAUUAUAUAUUAAUAAAGGUUUUGAGUUGGAAGAAUUGAAGAUUGAUUAUACGGAGAUAGUACGAAAAAGGCGGGAACCUUUUGUUUUCCGCAGCCUUCACCAUGUUACUAUAUGGCGGUGCGCUAAAUUGAAAGAUUCGACAUUCCUCGUUUUUGCUCCAAACCUCAAGUCUCUUGUGCUAGGUAAUUGCCAUGCUAUGGAAGAAAUAAUCAGCGUUGGAAAAUUUUCCGAGGUUCCUGAGAUCAUGGGACAUAUGAGCCCUUUUGAAAAUCUCCAAAGGCUUCAUGUAGAAGAUUUGCCAGAUUUGAAGAGCAUCCACUGGAAGCCAUUGCCUUUCACUCAUCUGAAAGAAAUGGGGGUAAGAGCAUGUGAUCAGCUUGAAAAGCUUCCACUCGAUUCCAGCAGUGCAAAAGAGCGUAAAUUUGUUAUUCGUGGAGAAGAAGACUGGUGGAACCGACUUCAAUGGGAGGAUGAAGCCACUCAAAUUGCUUUUCGUUCCUGUUUCCAACCUUAUUCCUGAGCCGUGGUCGCAAAAUUUGAUUUCUGGUGAGUGCGUUUUUGUUAACGCUUAUGUUUUAUUCCAGUGUAUUUUUCUUCUGUCUUCUGCAAAUCACAAUUAAAUGUGUGAUACAUGUUACGGGUAAUAUACAUGCAGUAUUUUUGGUACACUGCAAAUCACAAUUAAAUGUGUGAUACAUGUUUACGGGAAAUUUAUAGACAUGCAGUAUUUUUGGUGGGGUCGAAUUGAUGCUCUGGUUUUUUUUUGUUGUCAAAAUUUUCUCUGUUUUUUCAAAUUGAUGCUUUAUUUAUAUCUUCUUCGUGAAAAGUGAUUUAAUUUCCUGCCAAAAGACGAACGAGAAGAACAUUAGAGUCAAACUAAUGCUCACAUAAAUUUCCCGUAAGAAUAUAUAUAUAAUUAGACUGGAAUAGUAGCCCUCUUUACAGAAAAUGACGCGAAAGUUAAUUUAGAAAGAUAUAUUCUUGAUUAAUCCAUUUUCUGAAGCUUUUAUUUUGUAUGGUCAAUUAUACCUUCAUACUAAAAAUUUCUGAAUUUAUAAAUUAGUGCAACUUGACAAUUUUUACUGAUGAUAUCUUCUAUUUUUCCUUUCUUUCUUUUUUUUUUUUACUCUCAUUGAAUGUUACUGUCAUUUUACUUACAAAUAGGUUUGAAUUUUAUUUAGUUUUCUCAUAGUAUUUGUGCAAGUACUAGAAGGUCAAACCCCGCAUACUUUGAUUGCCAAACCACCGUCCAAUUUAAAAAAAGAAAAAAAGAAAAAAAAUGUGUAAUCCAUGAAUCUGGUUAAUUUUGUUUGUUUGUUUUUUUUUUUUUAAAUAUCAUUCUUUUUCGGCCACCCAAAAUAUCAUUGAUGACUUUUCUGGUCUAAUGCUAUGUAAAUAGUAUGUUAAGUAAAACAUAAUCAAUUAUUUGUGUUUUAUCUCUAAUUAGAACAUCAAUCAGUUCAGUACCUCACAAAUAAUUCGCAAUAUCUACAAAAUACUAUAAUGGCUACAAAACAAAUCCUGCUUGCAAAUUGUCAAGGAUACCUAUCCGUUCGCUUGACAAGUCAUUUGAAUAAAUAUUGUUCACAUUCCUUACUCUGUCAAUUAUCCAAAGCACCAUCAACUUUAGUUUGAAUAGUAUACAUGCCAUCACCAUUACCAAGAAUCAAGCAUGAAAGAGUCAUUCUAUAGAGUGCAGAACAUGACUCUAUGCGGUAGUCAAUUUGACACACGACGAACAACAUAUGCUGCAUAACAUACAAAUUAAUUUCCCAUAUGUGAUGCAAUUUUCUCCUCAACAUAUGCGCAAUUCUUUCCAUUCCGGCCGUUGAUUGAACCCUUUGGCAACAAGACGAGCUUUAAGCCUGUCAGCAGAACCGUUGGAAUGUCUUUUAAUACAAAAAUCCAUUUGCAGCCAACAAUAUUGGAAGGGAUGGGAGGUGGAACAAGCUUCCAUGUCCCGUUACGAACAAGAGCAUCAUACUCUUCUGACAUAGCUUGACGCCAGUGAGGAUUUUUGAUAGCUUGCGUCACAGUUGUAGGUUCACAAUCAGAAGAAGGGCUAAAAUGAGCACGGAGGUUAAGUUUUUGUAACGGCUUGUGAAUCUUAUUUUUAGCUCGGGUAGUCAUAUCAUGAUGAUUUGUGGGGCAAUGAUGUAGUGGAGUUUGGGAAGAUGAUUGAAGAGGAAGUGAAGAAGUGCUUUGUGUAGAGGUAGAAGUAGGUUGGGAGGAUUGCUGCGGAGAUGUUACCGGUAGAGAAGAAGGAGCAGUACACGGUGGCAACUCCAGAGGGCCCAUAGUGAAACACUUGCGUAAUUAGGAGUGGUAGAAGAGCUUGUAAUGAUUUGUAUGGAAAAACAAACUCUACAAAUUUAACGAGACGUGAAAUGAAAAUUUGAAAGGUGGAUGGGUCAAAACAUAAAUAAGCACUUUGAGAUAAAGGAAUAUCCUAUAAAAACACAAGGCUUAGAGGGUGGUUCGAGUUUAUAUGAUGAAACACAAACAUUCAAAAAUUUUAAGUUUAUAUUAAUUAGGAGUGGUACCAAAAAUUAAUUAGGAGUGGUCCGCGGGACAUGUAGCUAUGGGGUUGUUGGAUGUGUUUUGGAUAUUUACAGACAUGCUGAGUUUGAGUUUAUAUCUCAACUUAAAAUUUGUAGUUUUCACUUGAAAAAAUUCAGUUAAAAAUUGAUUGGUAGAAUUGUGAAAAAAGUUUAAAUUUUUAGUUCAACCCGAUUGCAUAUUUAAGAACAUCUCAAAUGAAUUGCUUACUGCUAUCAUCAUCAUUAUUGUCCAUAUAAUAAUGGAUCUUUAUUAUAUAUAUAUGUUUCCACUAAAAUAUAUUUAAUUAUUCUUUAUUUUUCCAUUGUUGCGUGUAAGAUUUAUUUGAGUUCUAAGUUAUAUCAAUACAAAUGUUAUCUUAUCCAUUAAAAGUUAGAUCCAACAAUUAUGAAAAUUACCAUAGAGUUGCUUUCAACUAUUUUUUAAAAAUACCAGGAGUAAAAAAUAAUUAGUUCAAAUGGUGGAGACUAAAAAGCGUUCACCUUUAUUUUUUAUCUGUUAUUUAUUUUUUUCAUUAAUGCACAUGCUAUACAUUUGAGACAUUCCAUUAAUUGCCAAUUAUGUAUGUGAGAUAGUAAUUUAAAUUAAAAAAAUAAAAGUGAAAGUUAAUCCUAUGCAAUGUGAAUAAAUUUCUUUCCUUUUUCCUUUACUCUUUUUAUUUGACAAUAAAGUUUCCAUCUAUCAUCUAUCAUCUAUGUACGCAAAAUUUCUGCAACAGGUACAAAACAUAAAAAUAUAUGAUUGUUAAGGGAAACGCGCAGGAGUUCAUCAUUUCAAUGUUCAGCAUUACCAAUUUUGGCAUUAAGCUGAAUAUAUUCCACUUAGAAAGCAAAAUAUUAGACUCGUGAUUUUAAUUCAUUCAUUAUCUCUCAUUUUAAUCCCAAAAUAUUCAAGAGCAUCCAAGUUACCAUAAGACUUCAGAGGCUCAAGCCUUAGCCAGAGAUGGUUAAUUGAUAGACUAUGUGCCUGGGUCGAGCACUGGAAGCCUGCAAUGCAGACUGAUUGAUUUAUCAGUUUAACGUGUGCCAGGAAUGAAGAACUGGAAUAUCACCGUCAAGCAAGCACCCUGUGGAGCAAUACCGAAGAAUGCACAAUCCAGCUUUGCUAGGUGACACUGGAGGCUUUUUGAAAAGUGCUUCACGCUCACUUGCACAGAUUGAGCAUCCCCUCUGGAUAUUGCCCUCUCUGAUCGAGUCUGAGCACUCAAAUUUUGGUCCUCAGAGGGAGCUACAGUUUCUCUCCACUAACCAACAAUUUUCUAAACUCAGCACCUAGUGUGAUCAGAGUUGUUGAUAUUUGCAAAUGGAGAUCCCCAUAUUUGCAAAUGGAGACAUUUAACAAAUCACCAACAUGCUUCAUCCGGUCCACGAAAUUCUGCAACUGAUUCAAAUCUGGAACCUGAACCAGAGUCGGAGGUAUAUCUUGAGCCAUAUCUAAAGCAGUUUGAAGUUCAAGACCUUGAGCCCUUGACAAUGGUUUUGAAAUUGGAACAUCUUGGAUUACUGCAGACUUGUACCCCUUGGUUUCAAAGGUAAGGAAAGGCAUUGCUUGAGUACAAUUUGGAGGCAGCUUCUUCACCAAUUUUAUUUGGAGGCGAUUGGUAGCGGAUCCAGCUGCACCAAUUUCAGAGCAACUACUGACACUACUUCGAACAGCACACUGAAGAAGUGAUAUGUCUACGGCGAAGGCAAUGCAGUCCUCAUUUUGGCUUGAGACACAGUAAUCAUCGUAGAGAGUUUCCUUGUGAAACUGGGCAACACAUUGAAUCCCUUCGCCACUGAGAAGGUUGUGGAGGAAGUAAGCUUUCUCUCUAGUGAGGAAGAGGUGGCAUACCUUCCCCAUUUUGUCUAGGGCAGGUAGGAAUCUUUUUUCUAAGAGAUUUACUUCAUUCUCUGUGAGAAAUGCUUUGAACUUCAUCCCUCUGUCUCUAUCCUCACUUAUCAGGAAAUAAGUUGAAAGCACUACGAAGAGAGAGAGAGAGAGAGAGAGAGAGAGAAUUAAGAUAUAUAGACAAGAAAAAUAUUAGAUGUUGAUCUUACAAACUAAUACUUCAAGCAGUAUCCUAGAAAGCUAAAAACUGCAAGAUGGCUUGAAAUUUGAGAAGAGCACGUGCUUUUCCUCCUUAACUUGAGAAAAUGUUUUAUAUAGUGCACCUUACAGAAGCAUUUAAGCAAUUAGAACUUUGCACAAAAACAUCAAGAAGACUAAACAAAUCAGAUGCAGUGCAUUUGUCCAAGCACAAAUUGCAUUUUGUCCUCAACUUUAAUAUUUAUUGAUGAGAAUCAAUACAGGUCCCUCAUUUGUUAUAGAAAGCUUUCUUGUAGUCUCACCAGUUAAUAUGGAUAUUAGAUAAGGAAACUUUAUUAGGUUGCGAGGGUAAAAAAGGAAAGAGAUAUCAUUAUUUUAUUAUCGAUAAUUAUUAAAUUUUUUUCCAAAAAAAAGAACAAGCAAUGAUAUUUUAUUGUCAAUUGCAACCUUUAAUUUUUUUAAAUGCUAUUAGAAACACAAGAUAACAAAGAAAUACUUAUUUUUUCCUAAAACUAAAAUCAAUUGUUUAACUUCUUAUUUCAUAAUCCAACUCCAUUACUAAGUUAAAAAAAAUUGUUUCAAAAUUACUUGAGUCAUAUUCAAUGGACCAACAAAGUAACCGUUUUUAUUUUUAUUGAUUUUUGCAGGAAAUUAAUAAGUUAAAAAUAAUGAAAGCUAUUGUAAAAAAAUUUAUUAUCAACCUCAUAAUUUUUUUUUUUUUGGGGAAGAGAAUUCAAACAUUUUUUUUUUUUAAUUUCCAAGAAUUCUUGACACCCAUCUUAAUUAAAAGCUAUAUUUUUAUUCAAGAGUCAUGCUAUUCAUUCACUCACAGACCAAAGGCUUUCCGCAGCAAUAUUAUUAUUUAAAUUACAACAAAGGGGAAAUCAAACACGUCAUACAGAAGCUUAAAGGUGAAUCUACAAAAUCUAGAGCUCUCAACUACAAAAAUUACACUUGAUGAUCCUCUACAAGAUGAAGGUUGUUCAAUAUCUUGAGAUUGCCUGCCUUCCUCGACGACCUGCACGAUGUGUUUGUACAAAUCAUCAUACCUGUGCACCGGAUUUUUAAUAUCAACGCCACUGCAGCUGUGAUCAAGAACAUAAGAGCAUUUAACAUCUUUUCUCCAUCGAGAAAGAAUGUAGUGAGAUGGGAUCUCCUGCAUGCCACUCUGGUUUAGAACACAAAGAAUGUGUCUGCAUAAAUAUCCUCUGAAAUUGAACAACCCACAAACACAAAGCACCUCCAAGUCGGAGGCAUUGUACAAAACAUCGAAAGCCCUUGAAUCUUUCUCGUUGCUACCAACCUUAAAUUCUUCCUUCACUAUGUAUGUUACAGGUCCAUCAGCACUGACAUGUUUUGUGCUAUAGCAAUACAUAGCCUCCACCUCCGUCUGAAACUUCCUUAACAUUUCAUUUGUGUACAGUUUUGAGAGUUGAAAUUCAUAGUAUCAUCUUGGUUUCUGGAUACAACUUGAAUUUCUUGAAUCCAUAUCUGCCAAGGCUACCAGUUGAUAAUUCGCCUGCAGUGCUUGAUCAUACUUGUCUAAGAAUUCUUUCAAAGGAGUAUUCUUAUCAAGAUAUCCUUCAAAGUAUGAAGUAGAAACCUCAUUCUGCAGGAACGAAAACACUCCUGAUAAAAAAGCUUCCUUCAAAUAAAUAGGAGCCCACCUUUUAUGAUCUUCAUAUAAAGUUUGAAUCUAUCCGUGAUCCUUUAUUCCAUGACAUUGAAUCAUGUCUUCCCAAGCUGCUUCAAAUUUCUCAGGCCUGAGAGAGUGAUAAAUUGCUCUAUGUAAUGCAGCUUUAAUAGCUUCAUAUUCAAACAAUCCUUGGAGUUUCUCUGGAAUUUUUUUGCAUGAUGCAUGACAAUGAAAAGCAAUGAUAAGCUCUUGGGAAAACAUCACCAACAGCAAUUUGCAAGAUUCUACAUUGGUCAGUGAUGAUUGUUUGUGGAGAGCUCCCUAACAUACAUGUAAGCCACGCCGUAAACAACCAUGUAUAUGAUUCUAUGGUCUCACUGGCAAGUAAAUCACAAGUCCACAACCCAACAACACUGAUUGUCCAUGAUGAUUCACCCCAAUGAAUGAAACCAGUGGUACAUCAUAUCUUUCAGUCAGGCACGUAGUAUCAAUUAAGACCACAUCACCAAAGUACCUAUAUGCAACUCUUGACCUGGUAUCAGUCCAGAAUAGGUUUCUCAAGCAUCCCUUUUCAUUUAGAUCCACUACAUUAAAAAAGUUUGGAUCUGUCAACUGCAAAUGACAAAAGAAACUCUGGACAGCUUGUGCAUCUCCUGGUUUAAGCUUCAAUUGAUUUGAGCUAUUAACAUUAUUUCCAAAUACUCCAUUAACAUCUACCAUUUCCCUUGGUAUCAAUGAUAAGAGUUCGAAACAGUUUAAUUUUUUGAACUUCUUCAGCACUAUCUAAAUGCAAUGUUCUUUUGGUUCCAAUACCUAUGUGCUUAUGUGACUUGUAAAACUUUCCGCUUCUUGGGCUUAACAAGUGGUUAUGCUCAAGCUCGACUUCAAUGAUUCUCCACCUUUUGGUUUCCAUCAACCUAAACUUUAUCAUUGCUGGACAGCCAGUUCUUGUUUCUGGUCUUGGGCGGUUUGCCUCGCUUUUCUUCUUGAAGCCUGCACUACUACAGCUCAGCUUUCCUCUAUACUUUUCUCUACUCUUUCGGUACCAUGGAUUGCUAACUCUAACACCAAAACCCUGUUCCUUGGCAUAGCAAUUGUAAAAGUAAUAUACAUCAUCAUACAUCUCAAACUCCAUUCCAACAGUAGGAGGCAAGGGAUUUUGGAUUAUCCCAGUUUGUCCAACAUAUUCAGUCAUCGCACAAUCUCCUACGACCUCAAAAUCAUCAGUGUCAUCAUCACCUACUGGUUCGGUGUUGAGAGAAACUUCAUCCAUCUACAAUGGAUGUUCAAUGAAGUGAGCUUUAAGGAGAAAAAGCAAAAUCAGUUCAAGGAAUGAUAAUAUAAUCAUACAGUUACUUUCACAAAGCUUCAUAUUUCAUCACUGCUUUACCAACAUGCAACUGCCAGAGAACAAACAGACAUGUCAUAGACGCUUGAAUUAAGUAUUGGUACAAAUGAGCACACAUCAUGUGGGACAAAAUUUCAGUCACUAAACCCAAUACCACUUUUUACAUCAUACCAAGGAACAGAUUAAACCCGACACCUUCUUUUAAACCAUACCAAGGAGCAGAUUAAAUCAUCAAUGAAAAAUUAAUCACAUAAUAACUUAACCAGACAAAUGAAGAGCCUGAAACAGCACAAAACUUGAAUCUGAUUAUGAUAAUUGUUGAGUCCUUGUAUCUACAGCUUUCCUUCAAUGAUAAGACAAUGAACAUAAACGAGACACAAAAAAAUUAUUUUAAACUGACAGCCCAUGAUAUAAAUCAAACAAAAUCAACUCCUUUUUUUACACAUUACAUCUCAUAUUCAUUUACAUUGAAACACAAAAAGGAAGCAGGAGUGGGAAAAAAACAACAGCAGAGGAACUUAUUUCCAUAAGGUUUACGAAAUAAGGAAUCUAUUAAAACCCAAAACUUGAGGUCACCACUAAGAAUUUGGUUCUCAUUAUUUUUUUCUUCAUUUUUCACCAAUUGAUGAACUUAAAAUACAAUCAUAAAUGAUAAAACCCCAUCUCCAUCUUUUUGAACUAGAGCUAAAGCAAAGCAUUUUAAGAUGUUUCAUCAUUUUUUAAAAAAAAAAAAAACUCAAUAGUACAAUGUUUUUCAAUGUUAAAUGCACAAUUCAAUCUUCUCCUAAUUUACUCUAAUAAUCUCUUAAUUAAGGAAGAUUAAGCUUCAGUUGUAAGCUAAAACAAAUUUCUUAAAUCAAGCCCCAAUGCUUUAUGCUAUUCAACAAGGGCUCAUAAAUGAUAAAACUACUUCUAUAAAGAUACCCAUUUUCUAAAUUAAUUUCACAAACUGAAAUCAAACUCCUGAAACGUAACGAGCAUUAAUAUAAUCAAGCCCGAACAAGAAUUGAUAAAUGAUACAUAAACUCGUUUACACAUUUCGACAGACACUUUGCAAUCAAUGAGCAAAAAAUUAAUGGAGAAGAUAAAAUUCAAACGAAACAUGCCUUACAUUGAUAAAUUAGAAGGGCAAAAGAAAUUUUAGUACGAUAUGGGAUCAGGGUCUUGCCACGGUGAUGUUAUUUGUGAAGUUCGAGCGACUCAGCAGCCUUCGAGGUUGAAAAUUUGAUUGACCAAAAGCUUCCCGUUCGUUGAUUCUCUAAUAGUAGAAACGAGACUGGCAGUAUACACAACAAGUUCGCCGAUUUUAAAUUCCGUUGUUUGAGAUGGAAAAUUUUUUGAAAAAAUUAAUGUGUUCGAUGAAAAUCAAAAUCUCAAAAACCUUUUGUUUUUCAUUUUUUUGGAAAAAACCAUUGAGAUCCUUACUAUUUUUUCUUAUAUCAUCUUGCUUAAUAAUUUGCAAAGUCUAUCGCAUAGCACCCAUGCAUGAUGUAUGCUGCGUUGUAAUUUACAAUAUUGUACAUGAAUAAAUCCAGCUAAUAUUUGUUAAAAGAAAAUAAUAAUAACAUGUUAAAACUUUAAAAUUUGAUUAUUAGAAGAAAUUUUAAUUUAGCUAAGUAGGUGACAUGAUAAUAAAUAGAUACGUAUAAUGUCCGAGAUUUUUUAUAAGAUUAAUAAAUAUGAUAAAUUUGGAUUAGUUCAAUUUUGACAUAAUUGCAAACAAUUUAAUUUGUGUUGUUUCUCUAAAAGUUUGAGACACAAAUGUUAUUUCAAAUUGAUAAAAGUACAAUUUAAUCCCACUUGCUCUUCAACUAAAAAUUAAACAUGCAAAUACACACACUAAUUUAAAGUCAUCUGUAUAAUUGAAACGCCAUGCACUAGUAGUAGGUCAGAGAAACCAAGGUUGAAAUGUGUAGAAAUGUUGAAACGCCAAUAAUAAUUGAAACGCCAUGCACUGUUCGUUUAUUUUUAUUCAUGAUUUUUUGUAAAACGUAAGAAAUGUGUAGAAAUGUUGCCAGCAAUGAUUUUGGAACUUUGCAUAAAAUUUUUAUCGUUAUUGUUUUUGGUAUUAAGAAAUCCGAGGCGGUGAUUAGACGUAUGUUGCAACAAUUAAGAAAUUUCUUAUUGGAGAUAAUUCGGUAGGUUGCAACAAUUAGAGAAUCAUUUUCCUGUCAGUUAAACGGUUCAUUUUCAGCCAUAACAUGCUAAAAAUGCUACACUUAACGGUUCAUUUUCAUGGAUUUUCUCGGGAAACAAACAGAAAAUUACGGUUUAGAGAGUUGACUGACGUUUUGGCUUUUGAAAUUGAGAAGAUCGCGCGCCAAAUUGGAAGAGGGAAAGUGAAAGUGCGAGUUUUAAUAUGGGCAUUAGAUAAGGAAAUUUUAUUAGGUUGCGAGGGUAAAAAAGGAAAGAGAUAUCAUUAUUUUAUUAUCGAUAAUUAUUAAAUUUUUUUCCAAAAAAAGAACAAGCAUGGAUAUUUUAUUGUCAUUUGCAACCUUUAAUUUUUUAAAUGCUAUUAGAAACACAAGACAACAAAGAAAUACUUAUUUUUUUCCUAAAACUAAAAUCAAUUGUUUAACUUCUUAUUUCAUAAUCCAACUCCAUUACUUCGUGCUGGUUUUUUCAGGUGAAUAACAGCUAAAAAUAAUUUUAAAAGCUGUUACCAAUUCUCAUGAACUGUUACAAUUAAAAAAAUCAAGCAUGCAUGGAUGGUUAAGUGUGUAGAGAGAACCUCCAUCCUUAUAAUUCUUACUUAUGCAUGGUUAAGUGUUUAUAUUUAAACACUAAUUUCUAGGCUUCUUUUUCCCAUGUGGGAUAAGCCUCAUUUCCUUUCAAAUUUCCAACUUCAAGGGUGAACUUUGAGAGACAAUUUCUCAUUCACCCAAGCACCAUUUUGAGAAAAUAAAAUUAUACUUUUGAAGUAUGAACGGAAUAGAAUCCGAAUCUCACAAUAUUUCCCACUUUAGUUAAAUAGGACCCACUCAAAAUGUGCUCUCAAAAUAACAUGUUAUGCUAUUUUUUCAACAAAAUUGUGGGCCAACAAUAGUGGGCAUGGUGUCGACUUUUGAGAAAGCCUGGAGAUGCGUUGAAGAAGAAUCAAUUGGAAUUAUUGGCCUAUAUGUCAAUGGGGGAGUUAGAAAAUAUUUACUCAAAUCAACAACAAGUUCCUUGAUAGUCCAAAUAAUUUUGAUGUUGCGAUCUGGGUAGUGGUCUGCCAAGAUUUGCAACCCCAGAAGUUUCGGGAAAAGAUUGGGAAAAAGAAAGGCUUCUUCGAUGAGUCAUGGAAGAUAUGAAGUUUUGAAGAGAAAGCACUCGACAUAUUCAAGAAUUUAAGCAAGAUGAAGUUUGUAUUACUGUUGGAUGAUAGAUGGGAGCAUGUUGAUUUAAUUAAAAUUGGUGUCCCUCUUCCAAGCAGAAAAAUUACAUUCAAGAUAGUCUUCACAACUCGUUCUAUUGACAUUUGUGGCCUCAUGGAAGCUCACAACAAGAUUAAAGUGGAGUGUUUAAAUGACAAAGAAGCAUGGGAAUUAUUCUGCAAGAAGGUUGGAGAAGAUGUGGCGACUCUGUCCAAGUGCUAAGGAGAUCAGCCUCUAGGUAUGUAAAAACAAGUAUAUCCUCUUUUGAAAUUCAGUUAUGAUAAUUUACCAAGCGAUAAAAUUAGAUCGAGUCUGUUAUACUGUAGUUUGUUUCCAGAAGACUUUCCAAUUAGCAAAAUGGAAUUGAUACUGAGAUACGAAAUCAAGGAUACUACAUUAUUGGUGUUCUUGUUCCUUUAUGUUUAUUGGAAGAAGAGGCUCCACUGUUUGUAAAAGUGCAUGAGGUGAUACGCGAUAUGCUUCUGUGGAUAGCUGUGAAGGUUUUUUUUUUUUUUUUUUUUUUUUUUUAUAGGGAUAGCAUGUGAAGUUGAGAAGGAGAGAGAGAAUUUUGCAAGGAUUAACUGAAGUACCAGACAUUUGGAAAUGGGAAGGGUUGAGAAGGGUGUCUUUGAUGAUCAACAAAACUGAGAAGGUAUCAGAAAUUCCUUCAUCUCACGAUCCACUAACUUUGUUGCUUCAACAUAAUUAUUUAGAGGUGAUCAAUAAUGACUUCUUCCAAUCUAUGCAUUCCCUUAGAGUUUUGAACUUAUCAUGUAAUCAUUCUCUAACUGAUAAUUUCAAAGUUAGUUUCCCUACAUACGAGAGUUGCCGAAUGAGUUAACGUUCGUAGUGAAUCUUAAGUUUUUGAAUGUGGAGUAUGCACGGUUUCUUCAUUCAAUUCCAGGGCAAGUGAUAUCCAGUUUUACGAUGUUACAAGUUUUGAAGAUGUUUGGUUGUGGCAGGUCAUCUUCUGAUCGUGAGCCACACCAGAAGAUAGCGUUUUAUUUGGAGGCAGUAAAUUUUUGAUUGCGGAGUUGUUUGGUUUGAGAGACAUUUAGAUGUGUUGACCAUCAUCCUAAGAAGCUCCCAUGCUCUGAAAAGAUUUUUGAGCUCCAACAAACUUCAAAGUUGUUGAUGCCGAAAUCCGGAUGAGUUGAUCGAAUCUCAGAUCCCUGCAUCAGCAUUGAAUUUGUUUGGUGGGAAGCUGAUGAUUAGUUAGCACCAUGAGCAGAUUUUCUAUGAGCAGAUGUUCUGUGAGCAGAUCAGAUGUUCUCCUCGUUCUACGACCAGGGUCUCUGCUCGAUCAACUUCACCACGACCAGGAUCUCUCCUCGUAAAGCUUCUUCUCCAGAGGUUCCUGCGCACACAGACAAGUCAGAGUACGCCGGUUGUUUUCCCGGCGCAAACCCUCCGACGCUCAAGUCAGAUAUGAAGGUUCGGGGAACGCUUGCCACAGAUCUUAUGGCUUUUGUGUAGUUUUCUUUAGAAUUGCUUUUAUCUCUCUUCUAAUCUCAAAAUUGCUAACCCUUUUACCUUCGUUGGCUACCUUUUUAUAGGCUUCCUCUCAAUCCCAGUUUUCCGCAGUCUAUGCCGUUAUCCCACGUUCUCCUUCAAUUUUCAUCCCUCCUUUUUCGGGUAGUGGCCUUUAAAUGCUUUUAAAUGCUACAUCAUGGGAAACGUGGGGUAUCGCAUCUCUCGUAACGGUUCUGGGAAGAAUGUAAACGCCAUAAUUCUGUGGGAUCGUGUUCCUGCUUUUCCAGGAGAUGGGUAUCAGCUCGGGAUACACCUUUUGUCAGUAUCCGUCUCUGAUCGGUUCAUGUUGCCCUCUGCUCUGCUCGUACAGUUACACUUGGCUGAGGUGAUUCAUGCCGGGGGUGAUUCAUGCCGAGGUGAAAACAGUACUAUGGCCGACCUGGUAUCAUUAUUGGCUCAACACCAGUCCCCCAGUUUCUGGUCUUGUGAGUGAAAUGAGUCAAGAGUAGAAACUGAUAUUCAAAUCUUACCAAUCCGGGGGCUUCUCCUCUGGUCUUUCAUCUAUCGGGAUGGUCCUGAGGUAUCAUUUUUCUUCAAGGGAGAUUUUGACCUGAGUAUGGAAUAGGAAGUCAUCUGCUCAAGUUUAGACCACGUGGUCGAGGUGAUCUGGUCAAGCUCAUAGCACAUGGUCGAGGUGAUCUGCUCCACCUCAUAGCACCUGGUCGAGGUGAUCUGCUCCACCUCAUAGCACAUGGUCGAGAUGAUCUGAUCCACCUCAUAGCACCUGGUCGAGGCGAUCUGCUGAAGCUCAUACCAUCUGGCCAAGGUGACCUGCUCAACCAUUUGCUCACUUUCACUUGGAGGAGAUCAUGGUCGCUCUAUUUAAUUCCUCAAACACCAGUCCCCCAGUUUCUAGUGUUGAGAGUGAAACAAAUCAAGACUGGAAACUUUAGUGGUCUGCUCGUCUUCGCUUGGUUGAGCAGAUCCUGGCACGCUUGGCUUCUGUCUCGCCAUAAAACAGGCUUUGAGACUUUGUCGAGCCUUUGCAUGCCUUCGAUUCUUCAAGGAUUGGGAUUCUGCUCGCCUUCUCGUGGCCGAGCAGAUCCUAGCACGCUUGGCUUCUGUCUCGCCAUAAAACAGGCUUUGAGACUUUGGUGAGCCUUUGCGUGCCUUUGAUUCUUCAAGGAUUGGGAUUCUACUCGCCUUCUCGUGGCCGAGCAGAUCCUGGCACGCUUGGCUUCUGUCUCGCCAUAAAACAGGCUUUGAGACUUUGGUGAGCCUUUGCGUGCCUUUGAUUCUUCAAGGAUUGGGAUUCUGCUCGCCUUCUCGUGGCCGGUGGCCGAGCAGAUCCUGGCACGCUUGGCUUCUGUCUCGCCAUAAAACAGGCUUUAAGACUUUGGUGAGCCUUUGCGUGCCUUUGAUUCUUCAAGGAUUGGGAUUCUGCUCGCCUUCUCGUGGCCGAGCAGAUCCUGGCACGCUUGGCUUCUGUCUCGCCAUAAAACAGGCUUUGAGACUUUGGUGAGCCUUUGCGUGCCUUUGAUUCUUCAAGGAUUGGGAUUCUGCUCGCCUUCUCGUGGCCGAGCAGAUCCUGGCACGCUUGGCUUCUGUCUCGCCAUAAAACAGGCUUUGAGACUUUGGUGAGCCUUUGCGUGCCUUUGAUUACUUCAAAGAUUGGGAUUCUGCUCGCCUUCUCGUGGUCGAGCAGAUCCUGGCACGCUUGGCUUCUGUCUCGCCAUAAAACAGGCUUUGAGACUUUGGUGAGCCUUUGCGUGCCUUUGAUUCUUCAAGAUUGGGAUUCUGCUCGCCUUCUCGUGGCCGAGCAGAUCCUGGCACGCUUGGCUUCUGUCUCGCCAUAAAACAGGCUUUGAGACUUUGGUGAGCCUUUGCGUGCCUUUGAUUCUUCAAGGAUUGGGAUUCUGCUCGCCUUCUCGUGGCGAGCAGAUCCUGGCACGCUUGGCUUCUGUCUCGCCAUAAAACAGGCUUUGAGACUUUGGUGAGCCUUUGCGUGCCUUUGAUUCUUCAAGGAUUGGGAUUCUGCUCGCCUUCUCGUGGCCGAGCAGAUCCUGGCACGCUUGGCUUCUGUCUCGCCAUAAAACAGGCUUUGAGACUUUGGUGAGCCUUUGCGUGCCUUUGAUUCUUCAAGGAUUGGGAUUCUGCUCGCCUUCUCGUGGCCGAGCAGAUCCUGGCACGCUUGGCUUCUGUCUCGCCAUAAAACAGGCUUUGAGACUUUGGUGAGCCUUUGCGUGCCUUUGAUUCUUCAAGGAUUGGGAUUCUGCUCGCCUUCUCGUGGCCGAGCAGAUCCUGGCACGCUUGGCUUCUGUCUCGCCAUAAAACAGGCUUUGAGACUUUGGUGAGCCUUUGCGUGCCUUUGAUUCUUCAAGGAUUGGGAUUCUGCUCGCCUUCUCGUGGCCGAGCAGAUCCUGGCACGCUUGGCUUCUGUCUCGCCAUAAAACAGGCUUUGAGACUUUGGUGAGCCUUUGCGUGCCUUUGAUUCUUCAAGGAUUGGGAUUCUGCUCGCCUUCUCGUGGCCGAGCAGAUCCUGGCACGCUUGGCUUCUGUCUCGCCAUAAAACAGGCUUUGAGACUUUGGUGAGCCUUUGCAUGCCUUUGGUAAUUUCUUCGAAACUUGGGAUUCUGCUCGCCUUCUCGUGGUCGAGCAGAUCCUGGCACGCGUGGCUUCUGUCUCGCCAUAAAACAGGCUUUGAGACUUUGGUGAGCCUUUGCGUGCCUUUGAUUCUUCAAGGAUUGGGAUUCUGCUCGCCUUCUCGUGGCCGAGCAGAUCCUGGCACGCUUGGCUUCUGUCUCGCCAUAAAACAGGCUUUGAGACUUUGGUGAGCCUUUGCAUGCCUUUGAUUCUUCAAGGAUUGGGAUUCUGCUCGCCUUCUCGUGGCCGAGCAGAUCCUGGCACGCUUGGCUUCUGUCUCGCCAUAAAACAGGCUUUGAGACUUUGGGGAGCCUUUGCGUGCCUUUGAUUCUUCAAGAAUUGGGAUUCUGCUCGCCUUCUCGUGGCCGAGCAGAUCCUGGCACGCUUGGCUUCUGUCUCGCCAUAAAACAGGCUUUGAGACUUUGGUGAGCCUUUGCGUGCCUUUGAUUCUUCAAGGAUUGGGAUUCUGCUCGCUUUCUCGUGGCCGAGCAGAUCCUGGCACGCUUGGCUUCUGUCUCGCCAUAAAACAGGCUUUGAGACUUUGGUGAGCCUUUGCGUGCCUUUGAUUCUUCAAGGAUUGGGAUUCUGCUCGCCUUCUCGUGGCCGAGCAGAUCCUGGCACGCUUGGCUUCUGUCUCGCCAUAAAACAGGCUUUGAGACUUUGGUGAGCCUUUGCGUGCCUUUGAUUCUUCAAGGAUUGGGAUUCUGCUCGCCUUCUCGUGGCCGAGCAGAUCCUGGCACGCUUGGCUUCUGUCUCGACAUAAAACAGGCUUUGAGACUUUGGUGAAUCUUUGCGUGCCUUUGAUUCUUCAAGGAUUGGGAUUCUGCUCGCCUUCUCGUGGCCGAGCAGAUCCUGGCACGCUUGGCUUCUGUCUCGCCAUAAAACAGGCUUUGAGACUUUGGUGAGCCUUUGCAUGCCUUUGGUAAUUUCUUCAAAACUUGGGAUUCUGCUCGCCUUCUCGUGGUCGAGCAGAUCCUGGCACGCGUGGCUUCUGUCUCGCCAUAAAACAGGCUUUGAGACUUUGGUGAGCCUUUGCGUGCCUUUGAUUCUUCAAGGAUUGGGAUUCUGCUCGCCUUCUCGUGGCCGAGCAGAUCCUGGCACGCUUGGCUUCUGUCUCGCCAUAAAACAGGCUUUGAGACUUUGGUGAGCCUUUGCAUGCCUUUGAUUCUUCAAGGAUUGGGAUUCUGCUCGCCUUCUCGUGGCCGAGCAGAUCCUGGCACGCUUGGCUUCUGUCUCGCCAUAAAACAGGCUUUGAGACUUUGAUGAGCCUUUGCGUGCCUUUGUAGUAAACUUUGACUGGUUUCUUAACUCUAGCCUAGCUCUCUUUUCUUAAAUCAUUCUCAUAUUGAGUAACUUUCAAGAAAUCAAGUUAACUAAGUUAAACAGUCAGCCCUAAUAUAAGCACAAUUAGUUGAAUGAAUAUAAGGCAUCCUCAUAUCACAUAGUAGGAUUUAGAGAAAUAAUUAAAUUUUCAUGAGAAAAUUGUUUGUAAAUAAAAAUUUAACUUCUGACCUGUUCUGAUUUCUGCAAACGUCUGCCUUCAUUGUGCUCUCAUUUAAGGGUUUUGCUACCUUGUUUAAGCACGCUCAUCCAUUUAUGUACUGUAACAUUCUGAUUUGCUUCGACUAGAUGAAAAUUGAUAGAAACAAAAAUUUGGCUUCUCGUACCGGUCCCCACAGACGGCGCCAAAUGUUGAUGCCGAAAUUCGGAUGAGUUGAUCGAAUCUCAGAUCCCUGCAUCAGCAUUGAAUUUGUUUGGUGGGAAGCUGAUGAUUAGUUAGCACCAUGAGCAGAUUUUCUAUGAGCAGAUGUUCUGUGAGCAGAUCAGAUGUUCACCUCGUUCUACGACCAGGGUCUCUGCUCGAUCAACUUCACCACGACCAGGAUCUCUCCUCGUAAAGCUUCUUCUCCAGAGGUUCCUGCGCACACAGACAAGUCAGAGUACGCCGGUUGUUUUCCCGGCGCAAACCCUCCGACGCUCAAGUCAGAUAUGAAGGUUCGGGGAACGCUUGCCACAGAUCUUAUGGCUUUUGUGUAGUUUUCUUUAGAAUUGCUUUUAUCUCUCUUCUAAUCUCAAAAUUGCUAACCCUUUUACCUUCGUUGGCUACCUUUUUAUAGGCUUCCUCUCAAUCCCAGUUUUCCGCAGUCUAUGCCGUUAUCCCACGUUCUCCUUCAAUUUUCAUCCCUCCUUUUUCGGGUAGUGGCCUUUAAAUGCUUUUAAAUGCUACAUCAUGGGAAACGUGGGGUAUCGCAUCUCUCGUAACGGUUCUGGGAAGAAUGUAAACGCCAUAAUUCUGUGGGAUCGUGUUCCCGCUUUUCCAGGAGAUGGGUAUCAGCUCGGGAUACACCUUUUGUCAGUAUCCGUCUCUGAUCGGUUCAUGUUGCCCUCUGCUCUGCUCGUACAGUUACACUUGGCUGAGGUGAUUCAUGCCGGGGGUGAUUCAUGCCGAGGUGAAAACAGUACUAUGGCCGACCUGGUAUCAUUAUUGGCUCAACAAAAGUUGUACCUGAUCUCUCUAUCCUAAAUGCUUUGAUUCGAAGUCAGUUGAUGUUUUUGGCUAGGCUGAUCUGAAGCAUCUCAAUAGGCUAUAGAUAUUGCGAGUUGUAAGCUUUUGGAAGAAGUGAAGAUUGACUUUGUUGGGAAAGCACAAUGAACCCAUGGUUUUCACAGCCUUAUGUCACGGAAGUUGUCUAAAUACUGCACGGGUUGCUGCGCAAAGUAACCAUCCUAUGACAUUGAGCCAUGUUGAAAUAUCAUUUUGCUGUAAACUGAGGGAUUUGACAUAGCUUGCUUUUGCUCCAGACCUUCUUGUUGUUUCCAGAAAAUGUUGCCAUGAUAUAGAGGAAAUACUCGGUGUUGGAAAAUUAGGUGAAGAGAUGACGUCAAAUCUGGAACCCCCUGCAAAACUCCAAGGUUACGUUUGGCAUAUAGGAUUGGAUUAAAUUGGGUUCUAUUUAUAUUUUUAUGUUUGGUACAGUUCCGGAUUGAACCAUAUUAGAUUAUAUUUAAAUAAUAUUGAAUAGUAUUUAAGUUGGUAUUUUAAUAUAAAUAUCAAUUAUCCAUGAAAUUUUAUAAUCAUAAUUAAAAUAAAUUUAAAAAGCAAUUACUAGGAAAAUUAAAUAUAUUGCAAAAAGUUAUUGGGUAGUCAUAAUAUAAUAAGCAAAUAAAAUUAAAUAAAACAAAUUAAAUAUUUAAUUAUUUUUAUCAAAUAUUUAAAAAUAUUAUAUAAAAUCAAUUCAUUAAUGGUAUUAUUAAUUUUCAUGAUUAUUUUUAAUAUUAUAUUAGUGAUUAUUAAAUUUAAUACAAUCAAAUAAUGUAAUAAAUAAUUACACGUUUAAUUUUAUCGAUUAAUUAUUAAAUAUACAAGUAAUGAAAAUUUAAUCUCAGGAGUUGGUAGACGCAAAAGUACUAAUUUAAUUAGAUCAUAGAUAAUAAAUAAAAUAAAUUUUAAGUAAAUCAUAAUAAAAAAAUUAAUUAAUUGAUUCAAUCAAUCAAUAUUAGGUGUAAAUAAAAAAAGAGUAACGAUAUAUCCACAAACUCUUACACAAACUCAUGUGUCAUGAUAAGAUUGAUUGAAUUAAAUAUCACUUGGCCCACAUAAUUUAUUUUUAUUAUUUUAUAUUUUCAUUCAACCAAUGAAUUAACGCCACAUCAGUUUGUACAAGAUAUGUUUGUACAGGAAUUUGUGGCUGUAUCAUCACUCAUAAAAAAAAGAUACAAAUAAACCUCUCAUAAAUGGACAACUUUUAUCUUUAAUCUUAUCCCAACUAAACACAUGUGUAAAUUAGGAUUAUUAAUCCCAUGAUUUUAGGAUUAAAUUCAAAUUUAUUCCCCCUUAAUCCAAUCCAACUAAACUUGUCAAACAUGGGAUAAAAGUUUAAUUCUAAAAGCAUCACUAAAAGGCUCUUCAAAUAAGAUUUUAUUACUUAUUUGAAGAGCCAUAUCAAUAUUUAACGCUCCAAAAGACACUUCAGUUAAGAUUCUUCAAACAAUAGAUGAUUCUCUCUUUUCAAAUUUCGAGAGUUGAUUUCUCCCUCUUCAAUUUGUAUUUUAUUAUUUUUCAUUGGAGAAAGAGAGAGAAGUGCUUUAAUUGCUAUUGACUUUUUCCUUAAAAAAAUAAUUAUUUGAUUAAAAUAAUAUUAAUUUAUUUCUAUUUAAAGAGUCUUUUAAAGAAUAAUAUAUUUUUUUAUUUUUUUUAUUUAUCACAUAGGUAAAUAAAUAAAUAUUUAAAAAAUAAAAUUAAUAGAGACUUUUGGAGAUACUCUAAAAUUAGUCCAAUCCCAUACUUAAUCCUAGCAUCCAAAUAUAGCCCAAGUUGUUUGCUUAAAGAAGCUACCAAAUUUGAAGAGCGUUUACGGGAAGGCCCUGCGUUUCCCAGAUGUAUGCAGAAUUUUUGUAUCUAAAUGGCCAGAACUUAAGAAGCUGACGCUGGAUUUUGAAAGGGCGGGCCAAGGUAAAAUUCUUAUCAAGGGAAAGGAAAAUCGGUGGAAACAACUUCAAUGGGAGGAUCAAGCAACUCAGGAUGCAUUGCUUCUGUUUUUCAAAUCAACUGACAAGUGAUUGAAGGGGGCAUCAUCAGCCUGGAUGGGGAGAUCCUGGAGCAGAUCAGCAGGGUUUGAAUCUGCAUCAUCAACAUCAUCAGGAUCUCUAUUUCUAUUGCUGGUCGUAAUGCCUGCCGACUGUUGCUUGAAAAAGUGAUUAAGUGAGCCAGUUUUUUGUUUAUUAAAUUUUGUCUUAAUUGGCGUCCAAUAGAAAUUUACAAGAAUUACUUUUCUGUUCAUGCAAUCGGCGUCUGAACGCGGCUGAUCGGUCACCGGUGUUGGCGUUUACUGUGAUUAGACAAAUUGUAGGACUUCAAAAAUAACUUCUAUAGGGGUAAUUUCGAUUUCACAUAAUUAAUUUUAUUUACAAUAUUUUAUUCCUGCAAGGUCAACUGAGAUUCUUUCCACCGGGCACACCCUUCAUGUUCUUUUAUUUUCUGUCUUUUAUUAGCCGUUGGGUUUUACUACUCUUAUAUCCAACGGCUUGCCACAACAAGACAAAUGAGGUGGUACCUUCCAACUGCUGAAAGGUGGUUUUGGCCCCGAGUGAAACAGGGGAUGCACUUACUAUUAAGGACAGUUGGUGGCCAGCUAAUGCAUUCAUUUUAUGUCCUUUCGUCUUUUUGAAUUAUUGAAGACAAGGGGCUCCUCGCUUUUACUGUAGGUAAGAUCCAGAUAAUCUCGAUUAUCAAAAUAAUUAUUUUAAAAUACCUUAAUUAUUUUUUUUUUUAUGUUGCGUUUAUUAAACUAGAAUAAAAAUGAGUUGAAAUCGGAAUGAGUAGGAACAAGAAUGAAAAUGAAAAUAAUGAAUGGGAAUCAAAAUAAGUUGUUUACUUGAACUAUAGAAAUCAAAAUCGUAAUGAGUUGAGUUACCAUUAAUGUGUUUAUUUUGUCUUGGAAUCAGAAUCGAAACAAAUUAGAUUGUAACAAAUUACUAAAAAGUACUUAAUGGAUUAUUGUUAUAAUUAUUAUUAUUAUUAAUUAAUUAAUUGUACAAAAUUUUAAUUAAUUAUAAUAACUAUAAUAAAAUUAUUAUAAAAAUAUAUUAACUAAUAAUAUUAAUAUAAAUUACUUAAUUAAAAUAAUAUAUUAAUUGUGAUUAUUUAUUCAAAAAAUAUAAUUAUUAAUAAUUAUUUUUAAUAAUAUAUUAAUUCAUAGUAAUAAUUAUAUAUAUAUAUAUAUAUUUAUUUAAUUGUAUUAAUUUUAUUUAUUUAUUAUUAAUAAUAAAUGAAUUAAUUAUUAUAAUUAUUGUUAAUAAUUAUUAUAAUAGUAUAUUAAUUAAUUAAUUACAAUAAUAAUAUAUUAAUUAAUGUGAUAUUUAUUUAGGAACAAUAAUUAUUAAUAUAUUAUUGUUAAUAAUAUAUUAAUUAUUGUGAUUAUUUAUUCAAGAACUAUAAUUUUUAAUAAUUAUAGUUAAUAAUUUAUUUAUUUAUUUAUUUAUUUAUUAAUCAUAAUAUAUUAAUUAAUUAAUUAUAAUAUUAUAUUAAUUAAUUAUAAAAGAGGAUAAAGUGGAUAUUUUUAAUUUUGGGAAGGGCAAAAUAGUUAAUCCUAGGAAUGAGAGACUCUUUCUCACCUCUGCAUGGGAAUCAAUCUCUCAUUCUCUAUUCUCAAAUAGUAGUAGACCCCAUCAUUUCGAUUCUAAUUCUUACUCCAUAUUUGUGAAGUAAACAUCAUCAAUCAUUCUGAUUCUGAAUUUUUGUGAAUGGAGAGAUGCCGGAGCAGAUCAGCAGGGUUUGAAUAUGACCUUUGGCGCUUGCUUUUUUUUGUGAUUUUUUUUUUUCAUUUUUUCCUUCUUGUCAUUUUAUCAUUUCUUUGGCUUUGUCUCUAUUGCGGGUGUUAUUGCAUGCUUACUGUUGCUUGACAAAGUUUGCUAGCUUUUCCUUUUGUUUAUUAAAUUUUUUAUGGUCACAAAGAAUUACUUGUUCUAUUUGAGAGUGAUAUGAAUCAAUUUUUCAAUUAUAUAUUUUGUGGUCAAUGUGAAUUCAAUUUCAUUUGUCUCCCGCAAUUAUGAAAAAAUUACAGUCAUAAUAUGGAAAAGUACACCGGCAAAAACUUUGUAAAAGCUUCGGAGUGAUACGGGGAAUUCACUUACUACUAAGGACAAUUGGUGGCAAGCUAUUCCAUUCAUUUUAUGUCCAUCCAUCUAUUUAGUUAUUGAAGAUAAGUGGUCCAUUUGUAAAUUUCAGAUUGUCUCUCUCUCCCUCUUGAAAUAACAAUAUUUAAUAUAUCUCUUAAAUUAUUAUAAAUUUUAAUUUACUCUCGAUUUAAAAUGGAGCAUGUCGAUAAAUUUUUUUUCUUCUUAAUAAAAUUGACGUAAGUUGUGUUUACAGUAGUUUGAAGUUUGAAAUAUUUUAAAGAUUAUUAUUCUAUAAGGGAGUAAUAUGAAAUGAAAUUUACUUUUCAUGUGUGAACUGAAAAAGGACGAAGCAAGUGUCCCUACUUUUAUUUUAUUUCAAGGAGGAGUCAUCUCACAUACUUAAGCUCUUAACAUUACAUUUUUUUUUGUUACAUUUUUUUUUUAAUUUUUUUUUUUACACAUGCGUGUGGGUUGCUUAUCUGUAAGCUCCUUAAUAUAUAUUUAACACAAAUCAUGAAAAAGAUGGGAUUAUAUCAAGAUGAUCAAAGCAUGUAAAAAAAGAAAAAAGAAAAAAAAAUUAAGAAGUAAGACACUGAAAAUGGAGAAGAGACGGAAGCAAAAGAUAUUCCAAAACAAAGCAAUAACAAAGCAAUCUAUCCCCUUUCGAGGGCAGACUCAACAGGUUUAAAAAAGUACAUGCUUUGGAUUGGUAGUUGCAAUCAAGGGAAAAUAAAUAGGAUCCAAUGAAAUUUAAAUCUUGGAGAAAAUAAAUAAUCAUGCAGAUUUUCAAGAUUUUAAUAAGGGAUACUAAUAUCUUAUUUUGAUUAAUAACAUUCUUUCACUGUGUUAACUCAAAAAAAAUAUUAUAAUGCUUUACAAUAAAUACAAAUGUCCUAUUAAAUGAAUAUAUAAAAAAUUUAGAAUAUUUAGAAUAUUAUAUAAAAUAAUUUUAAUAUAAUGCGUGAGAUAUAUUUUAUUAAUUUAAAAUGUCAUUUUACCUAAAAAAUAUGAUAAAUUAAUAAUUACAUGUUUGAAGUUAUUUCAAAUAUUAAAAAAAUUUAAUAUUAUUAGUCUUUUAGAUAGAUUAAAUUAUUUUUUAAAGAGAUAGAUUAAAUUAUUUUAAAAUACCUUAAUUGUUUUUACUUUAAACAUUACCGGCCUUUCUUUUAUUUUAUUGCAAAUUAAUGCUAACAAGAAAAAGCUAGAUCAUAUUCCGCAAAAGCAAAAGUGACAAACACAACCAGCUGGAAUCUUUUAUAAAACUACAAAUUAAAAUGGAUUUUUUUUUUGAUAAAUUACACAUGAAAGUGGAUUCUUUUGAAUAUAAGUGGGGUAGGCUCUUUUAUUUUAUUUUUGAAUAUUGUAUAACGGGACUGUAGACUCUUUUAUUAAACUACAAAUUGUAUAGUCUUUUUAAAAUUGUUAUGAAUUAGUGGCCCCUACAAUCCUCAACAAUUGUACCAAUAUUCACAAGUUGGUGGCCCCUACAAUUCUGUUCCGAUAAUUUAACUGUGCAAGUCCUCAUUCACAAUCUUCCAGGUCAUGCUCUCAAUAAUUGUUUUUUUUUUUUUUUUUUUUUUUUUUUUUCUGCAUUCCCUUUCAUGCUCUUAAUAAUUGAAGAGCAUACUUUUCAUUUUCAAAUGUGGAGCCGCAUCUAAUGUCGCUAAUUUAAUUUGGGAUUAAAUUAGGGGACCAUUAUAUUGCAGUGUGCACUAAUUUUUGUGUUUAUCUAAACUCUUUAAGUUUAAGACAUAUUAUGGCAUAAAUAAGAAUAUAACAAUAACAAAAGAGUUAGAAAGUGUAGAGAAGAUCUUGCAGAAAUAUAAAUAAUAUCUAUUUUAAAAUAAUUUUUAAUAUUUUAUGAUCCAUUAGAUAUAUUUUAUUAUAUUAAAAUAAAUUUUAUAAUAAAUAAAAACAUCCUAUUAAAAUGAAUAUAUAGAAAAUUUAGAGUAUUUUAAGUAUUAUAUAAAAUAAUUUUAAUAAAAUAUGUGAGAUAUUCAUAGUUUAUUAAUUUAAAAUACCAUUUUAAAAUUAAAGAUUUAUUUAUGAUAAAUUAAUAAUUAUAUUUUUGAAAUUACUUCAAAUAUUAAAAAAUUAAUAUUACUAAUCUAUUAGAUAGAUUAAAUUAUAUAUAUUAUUUUCUAUUUAUUAAAAAAUUAAAAUUAUUUUUAAUUACUAUUCAAAAAAUAUAAUGAUAAAAAAAAAUCUUAACAUCUUUAUUAAAAAUUUAAAAAUUUACAUGAUCAAUUCUCUAAAUAUUUAGGGUAUAUGUGAACAUCGGUGGAGAAGCUUUAUUUAAUAUUAUUGAUUUAAAUAAUAUGUCAAUUAAAAAUGCGCGGAGAAGAAAUUUCGGUGGGUAUUUUAGUCUUUUCAGCAAUUAUCAUGAUCAGAUCAGCCUUUAGCUUGAAACGUCGGUCAGAAAAGUUUUAAAAUUAAUGCUAACAAGAAAAAGCUAGGUCAUAUUCCACAAAAGCAAAAGUGACAAAACAACCAGCUGGUUUUUUUUACUAAACUACAAAUUAAAAGUGGAUUCUUUUGAAUACAAGUGGGACAGACGAUUAGGCUCUUUUUAUUAAACGCAAGUAAAAAGUAGUCGAAUAGUCUUUUUUCAAAUUAUUGUUUUAUUAUUUUUCCUUCAAAAGUUAGUGUGGCUCAUGUUUGCAGGUGCGAAUGUCAGAUCACAUGCGAUGGUGCUUUUUUCAAUCGUUGCUUGGAUUGCUUUCUUGGAAAAGCAGCAUACAUACGUAACCUCCAAGAUAAUCUUGAUGCCUUGGAGACUGAAUUGGGAAAUCUGAUCGCUAGAAAGAACGAUGUGAUGAGGAGGGUUGUCGAUGCUGAACGGCAACAAAUGAGAAGGCUGGACGGAGUGCAAGUGUGGGUUUCGAGGGUGGAUUCUGUUAAAACUGAAGCUGAUCAAUUUAUAAGAGACGGCUCUCGAGAAAUUGAAAAAUUAUGUGUUGGAGGCUACUGUUCCAAGAAUUGCAUGUCAAGCUACAAGUUCGGGAAAAAAGUGGCUAAAAAGCUACGGGAUGUGCGGACUUUAAUCAGUGAAGGAGUUUUUGAGGUGGUGGCUGACAGAGCUCCAGAGUCUGUAGCAGAUGAAAGACCUACUGAGCGAACAGUAGUAGGCUUGCAAUCACAACUUGAACAAGUCUGGAGAUGUCUUGUAGAAGAAUCAGCGGGAAUCAUUGGCCUAUAUGGCAUGGGCGGUGUUGGUAAAACUACACUACUGACCCAUAUCAACAAUAAAUUUCUCGAGAGUCCAACCAACUUUGAUUGUGUGAUUUGGGUUGUAGUUUCAAAAGACCUGCGACUCGAAAAAAUUCAAGAAGAUAUUGGGAAAAAGAUAGGUUUGGUUGGUGAUUCAUGGAAGAGUAAAAGUGUAGAGGAGAAAGCUGUCGACAUCUUCCGGAGUUUAAGAGAGAAGAGAUUUGUAUUGUUGUUAGAUGAUAUAUGGGAGCGGGUUGAUUUAACAAAGGUGGGCGUUCCACUUCCCGGACCAAAAAAUACUACCUCAAAAGUCGUAUUCACAACCCGUUUCAUCAAUGUUUGUGGUACCAUGGAAGUUGACAGGAAGUUUCAAUUAGCAUGCUUAUCAAAAAAGGAUGCUUGGGAACUGUUUCGAGAAAAAGUUGGGGAAGAAACUCUUCAGAGUCAUCAUGAUAUCGAUGAGCUAGCCCAAAUUGUGGUCAAAGAGUGUGGUGGUUUGCCGCUCGCACUUAUUACUAUUGGUCGAGCUAUGGCCUACAGAAAGAAAGCGGAGCAGUGGAGUCGUCCAAUUGAAGAGUUAAGGAGAUCAGCUUCAGAGUUUGCAGGUUUGGGAAAAAAAGUGUAUCCUCUUUUAAAAUUCAGCUAUGAUAGUUUACAGAAUGAUAGGGUUAGAUCUUGUUUCUUGUACUGUUGUUUAUAUCCUGAAGAUUAUGGCAUUCUUAAAUGGGACUUGAUUGAUUGUUGGUUUGGCGAGGGAUUUUUUGGGGAAUCUGACAGGUUUGGUGCAGAAAACCAAGGAUAUGACAUUUUGGACACUCUUGUUCGUGCAUGUUUAUUAGAAGAGGUGGAAGAUGAUGAAGUUAAAAUGCAUGACGUUAUUCGUGAUAUGGCUCUAUGGAUAACUUGUGAAAUUGAGAAGGAGAAGAGAAACUUUUUGGUUCGUGCAGGUGCUGGAUUAAAAGAGGUACCGGGUGUUAAAGGAUGGGAAAAUGUGAGAAGAUUGUCAUUGAUGCAAAACCAAAUUGAAACUCUGUCAGAGGUUCCCACAUGCCCUCAUCUCCUCACUUUAUUUCUUGACUUUAAUCAGGAGUUGGAGAUGAUCGCGGAUGGCUUCUUCCAACUUAUGCCUUCUCUCAAAGUUUUGAAGAUGUCAAACUGUUCGAAUUUGAAAUUACCUGUUGGGAUGUCAGAGUUGGGUUCAUCACUAGAACUUCUCGAUAUUUCAGAAAACAGCAUAACAGAGUUACCGGAAGAGUUAAAGAAGUUGGCAAAUCUGAAAUGUUUGAAUUUGGGGUGGACAAGGGAGUUAAAUAAAAUUCCACGGCAACUAAUAUCAAAUUCUUCAAGGUUACGUGUGUUGAGAAUGUUCGCUACUGGCCGGUUCAAUUUUCAUGAAGCACCAGAAAACAGCGUUUUAUUUGGUGGGGGUGAAGUUUUGAUACAGGAAUUGCUCGGUUUGAAAUAUUUAGAGGUAUUGGAGUUGACCUUGGGAAGUUAUCAUGCUCUCCAAAUUCUUUUGAGCUCAAAUAAGUUAAAAAGUUGUAUUCGAUCUCUUUUCCUCGAGUUGACCGGAGAUACAGCGUCAAUUAUUGACGCUACGGCUUUCGCAGAUCUAAACCACCUCAAUGAAUUAUGGAUUGAUAAUGGUAUUGAGUUGGAAGAGUUGAAGAUUGAUUAUACGGAGAUAGUACGAAAAAGGCGGGAACCUUUUGUUUUCCGCAGCCUUCACUGUGUUACUAUGAUUUCGUGCCGUAAAUUGAAAGAUUUGACAUUCCUCGUUUUUGCUUCAAACCUCAAGUCUCUUCGGCUACGCAAUUGCUAUGCUAUGGAAGAAAUAAUCAGCGUCGGAAAAUUUGCUGAGACUCCUGAGAUGAUGGGACGUAUAAGCCCUUUUGAAAAUCUCCAAAUGCUUGAUUUACAAGGUUUGCCACAUUUGAAGAGCAUCUUCUGGAAGCCAUUGCCUUUCACUCAUCUGAAAGAAAUGGAGGUACUUAGGUGCGAUCGGCUUGAAAAGCUUCCACUCGAUUCCAACAGUGCAAAGGAGCGCAAAUUUGUUAUUCGUGGAGAAGAAGACUGGUGGAACCGACUUCAAUGGGAGGAUGAAGCCACUCAAAUUGCUUUUCGUUCCUGUUUUAAAAGUGAUGCUUUAUUUAUAUCUUAUUCGUGAAAAGUGAUUUAAUUUCCUGCCAAAAGACGAACGAGAAGAACAUUAGAGUCAAACUAAUGCUCACAUAAAUUUCCCAUAAGAAUAUAUAAUUAGACUGGAAUGCACACCUCUAGAUUGAACAGAAUUAAAGCUGAGAAGAUAUUGAGUAUAGUAGCCCUCUUUACAGAAAAUGACACGAAAGUUAAUUUAGAAAGAUAUAUUCUUGAUUAAUCCAUUUUCUGAAGUUUUUAUUUUGUAUGGUCAAUUAUACCUUCAUACUAAAAAUUUCUGAAGUUAUAAAUUAGUGCAACUUGACAAUUUUUACUGAUGAUAUCUUCUAUUUUUCCUUUUUUUUUUUUUUUUCACUUUCAUAGACUGGCAGCGGAUCCUGCGGCACCAAUUUGAGAGAAUAUACUGACACUACUUCGAACAGCAAGCAGAAUAUGUCUACGGCAAAGGCAAUGCAGUCCUCAUUUUGGCUUGAGAUGCAGUAAUCAUCGAAGAGAGUUUCCUUGUGAAACUGGGCAACACAUUGAAUCCCUUCGCCACUGAGAAGGUUGUGGAGGAAGUAAGCUUUCUCUCCAGUGAGGAAGAGGUGGCAUAUACCUUCCCCAUUUUGUCGAGGGCAGGUAGGAAUCUUUUUUCUAAGAGAUUUACUUCGUUCUCUGUAAGAAAUGCUUUGAACUUCAUCCCUCUGUCUCUAUCCUCACUUAUCAGGAAAUAAGUUGAAAGCACUAUGAAGAGAGAGAGAGAGAGAGAGAGAGAGAGAGAGAGAGAGAAUUAAGAUAUAGAGACAAGAAAAAUAUUAGACGUUGAUCUUACAAACUAAUACUUCAAGCAGUAUCCUAGAAAGCUAAAAACUGCAAGAUGGCUUGAAAUUUGAAAAGAGCACGUGCUUUUCCUCCUUAACUUGAGAAAAUGUUUAAUAUAGUGCACCUUACAGAAGCAUUUAAGCAAUUAGAACUUUGCACAAAAACAUCAAGAAGACUAAACAAGUCAGAUGCAGUGCAUUUGUCCAAGCACAAAUUGCAUUUUGUCCUCAACUUUAAUAUUUAUUGAUGAGAAUCAAUACAGGUCCCUCAUUUGUUAUAGAAAGCUUUCUUUCUUGUAGUCUCACCAGUUAAUUCACAGGUCUAUAAUCAUCUUGCAAAGUUAAGGGCAUUUCUUUCGAUCUAAAGUCUUUGCAUCACCACCUCAUCACACGCCAAGCCAAUAUUCCAUUUACCUCUACAACAAAAAGUUUUAAUUAAACAAUCCUAAUGCACGCAGCCAAAUAAAAUGCAGUAAGAAUAUUCAACUUAAAAAUCUGAAAGCCAACUUGGUGAAUUGCCUCCUUAGGUGAAGUUCCAUGCUUUACUAUAGUUGACAGAACUCAGCAAAAGCUUCCAUACAACAGAUUUUGAAAAUGAUGAUGCCAACAGAUACUUAUUCAAUCCAUUGAAACUCCAAAGGUUCAUUGUUCAUAGAAGUUUACAGAGUUUUGGUCAUCAAAUAGCUCAGACCUAAUCCCAAACAAAAAACGAGUGAAAAUUAGAUCACGAGCAGCUAAUUGUAAAUUCUAACUUAACUCUUCAUCUCCUUUGUAAACAAGAAACAAAAUGGAGACACGCAAAAUGAAUAUGGAGAAAAUUUGAACUCAAAUGAAAUGAGGGCACAAAAGCAAACAAAUGGCAUGCACCAAAAAACCAAGCCUCAAUCAAAAACUAAUUAACCAUUAAGAAAAAAAUUGCCCAGAGAAUGAACUCCAAAUUCAGGAGUCAAGCAAGAACCUUUCAUUAUUUCAGAAGCUCCUGUACAAAUUAAUAAGUUAUGCUCUUUGGAAGCAAACCUAAAUUCCAAGAGAAACAGAACCCAAAAAAAUUUGCAAUUAUACGCAAAGGAAGUGAAGCACAGGAUUCUAUCACACAUAGGAAUUGUAUAACAAGAGAUCGAUAUAUCGAAUUAGAAAACUCAAUUCGAAUUUGUGUCAAAAAUCAAAAUUAGAAGAUUUCACAUUUCGAGAGGAACAAGCAACAGAUGAAGUUCAAAAUUUCAGCCAUAACAUGCUAAAAAUGCUGCACUUAACGGUUCAUUUUCAUGGAUUUUCUCGGGAAACAAACAGAAAAUUACGGUUUAGAGAGUUGACUGACCUUUUGGCUUUUGAAAUUGAGAAGAUCGCACGCCAAAUUGGAAGAGGGAAAGUGAAAGUGCGAGUUUUAAUAUGGGUAUUAGAUAAGGAAAUUUUAUUAGGUUGCGAGGGUAAAAAAGGAAAGAGAUAUCAUUGUUUUAUUAUCGAUAAUUAUUAAAUUUUUUUCCAAAAAAAAAACAGGCAAGGAUAUUUUAUUGUCAUUUGCAACCUUUAAUUUUUUUAAAUGCUAUUAGAAACACAAGACAACAAAGAAAUACUUAUUUUUUUCUAAAACUAAAAUCAACUGUUUAGGGCCCGUUUGGUAUUGUUUCUAAAUUUAUAUUUUCUGACAAUAAAAAUGAAAAUGAAAAUGAUGUUUUGCAGUUGCUGUAUUUUAAAUUUAAGUAUACGUUUGGUAUCAUUUUCUAUAUCCUAUAUUUUAAAAUUAAAAAUAAUAAUAUGUGUUUGGUAAACACAUUUGAAAAUAAUAAAAACAGAGAAUAUGCGUUUGGUAAUACUUUUUUUAAAAAGAGUUUUUACUAGUAUUUACGUCAUAUUUAUAGUUAUAAAAUAAUUAUUUAGCUAAUACAUACACAAAUACAACAUAAUAAUUUAAACAAAAUUAUUAUAAAAAAAUUACAUGAUAAUAAAGUUUUAGAAUUAGCAUUAAUUAAAAAAAAGUUUUACAUUGUCAUUAUUUUUACACCAUAAUUAAGAUAUAUAUUACAACACAUGAUUUAAACAAAAUAAUUAUAAAAAAAUUACAUGAUAGGCAUUAUGCAUUACGCAUGUAAUCAUGCCACAUAAAAGCUGCAAUUCUAUCUCUUAUAGCAUUCAUCUUUGCGACACUUGAAGGAGAUAAAUCAAUAUUAGUAAGUGACCUACUAGUGUCUCCUUCUUCGUUGGUAACCAAAUCUUGCACAUCAAAGUCUCCAAAUAACCUAUCACAGGCAAUAAAUUCAAAUUGUGAAUCCCAUCUAAAGCAAUAAAUUGAAAUUACAGAUUGUUUGAUUGGAUUGAAUCCUAUCCUGGGCAAAGCUUGAAAAAACUUUAUUUCUCUCUAGUAACAAAAGUCCUAUUUGCCUAAUGCAUUUUCUCUGUAAAAAAAAAAAAAAUUGGAGUGACAUGCAAUAAAUUCAACUUGUGCAUCAUCAACAAAAUGGAAUUUGGAGUAAAAUCAACAUCAUGGCAAUGACAAUCGUGAACAAUAUCAUCUUUACAUGCUAUUAAAAACAAUUAAAAUCACUCAAAUAAUUUCUGAAAUUUUUAUUAAAUUCUCAGGUUUUUUUUUUUCAUUCUAAAUGUCAUAUAUACAAAUUCAUUACUGUCCAAAAACAUCCUACUUUAAGAAAUAUUUAAAAGUUAAUUAAGUAAAAAAUCUUGUAAAUUAUAAUGUCUUUUUUUUUUUUCGUUUUAAAUUGGUUUCCAAAGAAUGAUGUCUAUGCUUACAGAAGCAAAACAUGCCAAACAGCAGCAGCGACAUUUUGUGAAUUGUUUUUAACUUAAACAAAACAAAUACCGGCAAGUGACAGAUCCGAGAGAGCAACAGCAGCUGGCGUGAAGACGAGCAGCAACGGCUGAGCAGAGCAACAGCGGAAACAGAGCAGCAGCGAAGACGAGCAGCAGCGGAGCAGAGCAGCAGCAGAAACAGAGUAGCGGCGGCUAUGGCGGAAACACAGCAACGACAGUGGUUGAGAGUGCAGAUUUGCUGAGGAAAGGGAGAGAGUGCAGAUUUAUUGCAACUGAAUCAAGAAGGCUGCGGGGGAAAGGGGAAGAGAGAGAGGCAAUGAAGAGAUAAGGAGGAGAGAGUGGAUCGGGAGAAAUAAAGAGAGAGAAAGAUGUUGGAUGAAGAUAAGGGGAGGGAGAGAGUGCAGAUUUGCUGCAACUGGAUGAAGAAAGUUGGGGGGAAGAGAGAGCGGCAGUGAAGAGAUAAGGAGGAGGUCACGAUUUUUCUUUUGUUUUUUAAUUCAUUUUUAGGUUUAGGUGGCGUUUGUUUUUUUGUCUGAAAUCUGAAUAGACUUGAAUUAGUCUGAAUUCUGAAUAGGUCUGAAUGUCUGAAUCUGAAUAAUAUGUUUGUUUUUUCGUCUGAAUCUUGAAAAAUAAGUAUUAAGUUGUUUGUUUUUUUCAACUUAAAAAGCUGAAAAUAUAUACUUUUACAUUUGUAUCCUUAUUAAAUUUGAAUGUCAAAUAAAUAAUAUAUUAAAUACCACAAUAUUUUAACAUUUAUAAGUAAAACUAUAUUCAAGUGAAUACAUAAUUAUUUUAGAAUUUUAAUAUAUAAAAUACCAUAAAUUUCAAAUUUUAUCGUAUAUAAUAUAAGAAAGAAAAAACAGGGAUAUUUUUAUGUGGGGUAGAUAUCUAUGGGUGAGUUUUGGGAUAGACAUGAAAAAUAAAUUAUAAAACAUGGAUAUUUUUGACAUUAGCAAGUAAUUGACUUAAUUUAGAUUUCUCCAUUAAGUAAAAAGCCAAAAAAAUUAGCUUAUUUUAUUAAGUCAAAAUUAUUUAAAAAUUCUCAUUAAGUUAUAAAAACAAACAACUCUAAUUAACUUAAUUAAUUAAGUUAAGUCACUUUAAGUCAUUAAGUUAAAAAACAAACGCAACCUUAGUCUGUAAAAUUUGGAGAACAUGUUUAACUUGUUUUCAGUUGUAUAGUUAUAAUAAUGAAUCCGAAUUUUGUGUUUUGUAAUUUGUUUUGUGAAAAAAAUCCACCAAACAUGUUUUAUGUGUGUAUUAUAAAAAUGAAAACGCAAAUAUGGCUUGAAAAACGGUACCAAACGGGCCCUUAACUUCUUAUUUCAUAAUCCAACUCCAUUACUAAGUUAAAAAAAAUUGUUUUAAAAUUACUUGAGUCAUAUCCAAUAGACCAACAAAGUAAUCGUUUUUAUUUUUAUUGAUUUUUGCAGGAAAUUAGUGGCUUAAAAAUACUGAAAGCUAUUGUAAAAAUCUUUAUUAUCAACCUCAUUGUUUUUUUUUUUUUUUGGGGAAGAGAAUUCAAUUUUUUUUUUUAAUGAAUAUCGCUGUUUCGUUUGAGUUGGAUGUGAAUUCAAAUUCAUUUGAGUUGGAUGUGAAUUCAAAUUCAAAUAUUCUUUGUUUUUCAAUUCUGAACUCGAUUUCUUUUUCUCAAGAAUGUUAUGUAGAAAUGAUUUUUACUAAAUCAUUUUUGAUGAAUUGUUUAAAUUAAACAAUUGGAAUAAGAAUUGUAACGAUUUAUCAUAAGCGCGCUAAUAUGAUAACUUGUUUUACGAAAGAUUAAUUAAUCAAUUAAUAUUAAAUUAUAUAUUAGUCAAUUAUAUAUGUGUUACAUUUGUCAUGGUUUGUGCGUGAUACUACAUAAUUUCUAAAAGAAUAUAGUAAAAACACGUUAAAAUGUUAUUUUAAUGAAUAAAAUUUUAUAAUUUUAUUAAUUAGGUGACACAAUAAUAAAUGGAUUUCUGUAAGAAUUGAGUUUCUUGAGAUAAUUAUUACAUAAGGAGAAGUUUAGUUGGUUCAAUUUUGACAUGUUAAGAAGAGCAUCACAGCACAGAAAACACAAAUUGCCACUUCCACUAAUAAAAGAUACCUGUUUGAAAAGUAAUUAUAAACUAUCUUCUUUGUGUUAUUUCUCAAAACUUUUGUGGCACAAAUGUUAUUUCCAUUGACAACAGUACGAAAUACCACCCCUUUCACUUGAGCAGGAGCAAAGCAAAGGUAUGAUGAGCUAUCUCUGUAUAAUUGAAACGCCAUUACUAAACGAUUCUUGAUGAUGGGAGCCACCGUGCCAGCUUUGUCGCUGAUUUGGUAUUAUUCUUAACUUGCAGAUAGUUGUGGAUAUGAUAUGCAAAAGGUAAGGACUAUAUCUUCUUGAUGGAGGCCUCUGAUUUUUUCCCUUCUAUGUAAUUUAGUAAAUCGCAUUUUCCUUUGUGAUUGAUAUAUCAUACCAAAGUCAAGUCUUAAAUACUGCUGUCAUAUGUUAAGGUUCAACUUCCAUUUUGAUUAACGUCCAUCUGCUGCUGCUUCCAAAAGUGAGAAUGAGAUACUUUGGUUAAUUUCAGUAGUUGAACCCAAUAGAGUACUUUAUUUAGAUCUUCAUGGUUCAAAGGCCUGAAAAAACUUGCCGGUAUUUGGAAAAUGACAUUCUGUGCUUUUAUUUAGACUUAUUAUUUAAGUGAUAAAAACUCCCGUAACCUGCUGUCAAGAAAAUUUCAGAUUGUUAAAAGACAACAUUUUGUUUCGGCCAAAAAUGUUUGUUUCGAUUAAAGACUUGAACCAUUUUCAUUUAACCUUGAUUGUGAUGCUUUACAUUAUGCAUGUUCCUCUCAAUCAAUAAAAGUUGAGGUCAUGAUUUUAUAUUUCUAUUUUGUAACUUGAAAUAAUUGGUCUGCCUGUUUCUGUAGCUUGAUAACAUGAAUUUUUCCUUCUGAAGUUAAUUUGAUCAAUAAAGUAAUUCUUCGGAGAUGAUAUGCCCAUUCUAUAGUCAUUUUCUUAGCUAACAUGUUUUUUCUUCACUCUUCAGAGCAUGUCUAAACUAAUUGAUCGCUCAGCGGAGACUUUGGGUGAGAAGACAAAAUUUCUUAGUAAAUCCUCUGAAAAGGUAUGCAUAAUUCUCGAGUAUUAAAUAACCAUUGGUCAUAAUUUUUGUUCUUUUUUUGGAGAUCGUUAAAAGUGGUUGAUGACCUAUUUUUUACUAUCAUAGAGGGAUCAUGAAUUCCUUUUCUUUUCUGUGGCUCGGCAACACUUUCGGGCCAAACUAAGGAAAUCUAUUUUAGGUAAUGUAAAAACCAGUUGUAGGAUGUAAUAGUUUAUUAUGCCCUGACAAUAACUUUUUGUAUAAUUGUCAGUUUAAUGAAUACAAGAGGAACUCUGUUGGCAAAUUCAUCCAUGAUAGAAUAUAGAUGCUAAAAUUAUUUAUGCAUACCAGUUGCCUUAACUAAUUUUUCUCAACACUGGUAUUGAACAGGAAAAUGAAUAUGCAAUUUGUAUAUUGUGCCAUUGUGGAGAAUUUGGAUAUUCUUAUUUAAGUAUCAAGGAGAGUAUUUGCCUCAUCUUUAAACAAUGAAUCUUUGAGAAAUGAGGAGUGGGUGAUUGGCAGUGUCUUCAUGUAAAUGUUCAUUUAUUUGUAUUUUGAACUAUUACGAGAAUCUUUGUGUGCCAAAUUAGUAAUACAAAUGUUCAGAUGAUUUUUCCUGUUGAUCAUGCGCGUGUAUCUGCACACAACCAUUGUGUACCACUUUAUUCUGAUGCGCAAAUAUCUGUAGUUUAGAAGAAAAGAAAUAAUAAUCAUAUAUUAUUGCUUGGUUCAUGAUUAUUAAACGAUUAUGGCUUUAGAAAAUCCACAAAUCCUUUGUGUUCAUAUAUGAAUGUGCAAAGUUUGCUAUAUCUUAGAUUACCUUCUUCCAAGAUAACAAGUUCAUAUAUUUUUUUUAAUCCUUUUUCAUCACAGUUGAAUUUCAAGUGUAAGUUUUGUUAUUAAUAGCUGGUGUCCUGUUAUUAUGAUUUCAUAAACAGUGAGCGGAUAUGUGCUCUACUUUUGGAGGGCCUCCACAUGAAAGAAAAUUGCAACAAUUGAAUUCUUCUGGAGGUUAUGGUAUUUAAUUUAUUUUCUCAGCUUGUUGAAAGACUAAUAUAUUUCCUUCAGUACGCACGGCGUGGUGGGAAGGGUUUUUAUUGAAAGAAUUAUGAUAUUUCUUAGACUUUGUUUUGGAAGGGGGUGGAGGGAUUUCUCAUCCAUAUAUGGUUACUUGAUUAGCUUUUGACUGUAUUGUCUCCGUCGUGCAAAGGAAAAUCCAAAUACUAACGAAGGGGAAUUGCUUAGGCACCCAAAAGACAGAAAUGAAUUACAGAAGGAAGUUUUUGCUGCUUUAUUUAGUGCUGCUGAGAAAUCUGAUGGAUUUCCUGAAAUUACGGUGAAGACGGAGUGGAGGUCCAACGCAUUAGGAAAGGUGGUGAGUGAACCGCCGGAGGAAUUAGUACCAGAAUACAAGGCUAAUGUGGUGCACUUGCAGCAAGAUGACCAGACCUGUAUGUGCUCUUAUAUUAACUAUAUUGUUGGAUUUGUGAGUGUGUACAUUUUUGUGUGUAUACUCACUUUUGUAUUUAUGCAUAUUAACGUGUGUAGGAUUCUUGAUUUCUGCCACUUACUGGAGAACUAGUGGAAAGCUUUAUACUGAUAUAUGUGCUAUAACUAAUGGAAACUACGAUAUGAAUAUUUUCUCUCACCUGGAGAACUGUAUAACAGAUAUAAUUUGUGGCUCUGGAAUACUGAAGAUUCUGCAAUAACUAAUGGAAAAUAUGAUAUGAAUAUUUUUUCUCACCUGGAGAACUUUGUAACAGAUACAUUUUGUGGCUCUGGAAUGUCUAAAGAAUGCUUCAGUUUAGAUCAAAUAUCUUUUAGUUAGAAAAGAUAAAAUUCUCUGAAUCUGAAAGACUGAAACAUUUUGCAUAUUUUGUGAAAGGGUAGUAUCUGUAGAUACUAGCUCAUGCAUUGAGGUAAUAUCAGUGUUAAAGAAAAACAACAAUAAUUUAUUAUACAAAAUUAGGUUCACUUGCUUUAAAUGCUGGUCUGAUCAACCAUAUCAACCUGUAAUGGUUCUGCAGAAAUAUAUAUACGGGGAGAAACUAGCUAAAUUUUCCUUUCACUUAUGGGUUUGGUCUUUUUUUCCCCUAUUUUUCAGCUUUCCUUCUCCUGAAGUAUGUUAACAAUUGCAGAUAAUGACGAAGAGGACCGCUUCCAGGCUCUUUGUAGAGCUGUGAUGGAAUAUAGGGGCACAAUGAAGGAAUAUUGUAAGGCUGUAGGUACUUUCUCUCUUGUCAUUUAUGUUUUCUCACACAUUUUGUAUAUGCCCUGAACAUGCAGCUUUGUAUGUGUCAAUUGCCUUUUACAUUUUAAAAGCCAUAAAGUAAGAAUACAGUUCCUUGUCAGGCUAUUGAUGCGUUCGCUCAGAAGGGUCAUGUUCAAGCAGGAAAACUUCUAGAACAUGUAAGGUUUCCAUCUACAGCCAUCCAUUGACAGUGUCAAAGUAUUUGGCUGCAGCUUCUAGAAGCUACAUCUAGAAGCUUUGAUGCAGCAAAUGUUGAAGGCACCGCCAAGGAGAAAAAGAAGGAAGAAUGAAGAAGAUGUUGCAGAAGUUGAUCUUGACAAAUGAUGGUUGGAACGCCAAAAUGGAAGAAAGAAAAAAGGUUGGAACACGGCUUUGAAGAAGCCACGAGAAGAAUAAAGAAAAUAUUAAAAUAAUAGCUAAUUUUGGCUAUAUAAAGGAAGCUCCCCUUUUUUUGGUUUGUGUAUCCAAUCCUCAGUUUCUCUUCUUCAUUCAGAGAGUGUUUCUUUGGGGUGUAUUUGGGGAUUAGGUGAGAGAAAAUUAUUUCUGAAAGAGUGGUUGUAAUAAUUUUCCACAUAGUGAAUAUUUUUUCUCUGGUUGUCUUUUUGACAACGGCCGUGGUUUUUCUCCAUAUUUGGAGUUUUCCACGUAAAUCUUGUGUUGUGGGAUUGAUAUUAUUUUUCAUUUAAUUUUUCUUGUUAAUUUGUUAAUUGAAAAAUUGCUUGGAGAGAUCCUGGGAGGAAGCUCAAUUUCCUAACAGUGGUAUCAGAGCCAUUGAUUGAAGUUUUUUGGUGUCGGGGCACUGCUCACGUAUACGGUACUGUUUACGUAUACGGUACUAUUCACGUGAAGCAGUGGGAGCCAAUCCAAACAGUUCGUGGUGAAGAGUAAAAGCUUAUCUGCAAAGCAAAUAUGUCAGGAUUGAAAUUUUCAAGUCCGGUGAAAUUUGAAAUAGAAAAAUUCGAUGGGAGAAUUAACUUUGGCUCGUGGCAAGUUCAAGUCAAAGAUGUGUUGAUUCAAUCUGGGUUACACAAGGCAUUGAAAGGGAAGCCAUCCCCUGCUUCCAGUAGUGGCUCUGGAAAAGCUAGUAUAAGUGAUGAAGAUUGGGAAGAAUUAGAUGAUCGAGCUGCAAGUGCCAUACGACUAUGUCUAGCAAAGAAUGUUCUUGCAAAUGUAGGAAAAAUUCCUACAGCGAAAGAACUUUGGGAGAAGCUAGAAAAGUUGUAUCAGACAAAGAGCAUCUCAAAUCGAUUGUACCUGAAGGAGCGAUUUCACACACUGCGAAUGGCUGAAGGUACAAAAAUUUCUGAUCACCUCAGUGUUCUCAAUGGUAUUGUGUCAGAACUAGAAGCCAUUGGAGUUAAAAUUGAAGAUGAGGACAAGGCGCUUAGGUUACUAUGGUCACUUCCAACUUCCUACAAACACUUGUUACCUACUUUGAUGUACGGGAAGGAGACAGUAGAUCUUGAAGAAGUUACUAGUACUUUACUCUCAGAAGAAAGAAGACUGAAUGGUGAAAGUACUAAAACUACAGAUGUCUCGGCUUUGGCAGUUGUAGGGAAUUGGCAGAAAGAUAAAUCUAAGAAGAAAGGAGUCUGCUGGGGGUGUGGACAAUCGGGGCACUUAAAAAGAGAUUGUCAUAGUAGAAAUAGAGUAGGAUCGGCAAGUGGCUCCAGAUUAGAUAUUGAUAGUAUUGCUAGUGGUAAGUCUCUCAUCAUCGUGGGAGACGAUGAUCCCUUAUAAAAUGGAUGAUGAUGACAUCCUCAUGGUAUACCGCUAGUACCAUGAAAGGGGAUAUGUUACUACUAGCGGGUCCACAAGAUUUACACACAAGGCAUGGUUGGCAUUGAUGCAGGGUGUGUGGUGGAAUUUAUGUCGAUGGCUGACAAACUUCCAGGAAGACCAACAUGGAAGUUGCACCAUAAAUUUCAGCAAGAUAUUUCGACAUGUGCCGAUGUAAAAUUCUUAGAAUUGUUAAUUAAUUCUAAGUGGUAUACUCUUUAUGGUGGAGUAUGAUAAUUCUCUAUGGUGAGGAUUAUGACUAAGGUGAAAAUAGUAAGGUUAGUGUGGAGAUUGAUUGAUUCUCAAUCAAAACUCCAAGUGGGAGAAUGUCAAAGUAUUUGGCUGCAGCUUCUAGAAGCUACAUCUAGAAGCUUUGAUGCAGCAAAUGUUGAAGGCACCGCCAAGGAGAAAAAGAAGGAAGAAUGAAGAAGAUGUUGCAGAAGUUGAUCUUGACAAAUGAUGGUUGGAACGCCAAAAUGGAAGAAAGAAAAAGGUUGGAACACGGCUUUGAAGAAGCCACGAGAAGAAUAAAGAAAAUAUUAAAAUAAUAGCCAAUUUUGGCUAUAUAAAGGAAGCUCCCCUUUUUUUGGUUUGUGUAUCCAAUCCUCAGUUUCUCUUCUUCAUUCAGAGAGUGUUUCUUUGGGGUGUAUUUGAGGAUUAGGUGAGAGAAAAUUAUUUCUGAAAGAGUGGUUAUAAUAAUUUUCCACAUAGUGAAUAUUUUUUCUCUGGUUGUCUUUUUGACAACGGCCGUGGUUUUUCUCCAGAUUUAGAGUUUUCCACGUAAAUUUUGUGUUGUGGGAUUGAUAUUAUUUUUCAUUUAAUUUUUCUUGUUAAUUUGUUAAUUGACAAAUUGCUUGGAGAGAUCCUGGGAGGAAGCUCAAUUUCCUAACAGACAGCAGAUACAUUUUCAUUGAGCAGACACUGUUAGCAUUCAAGAUGCUGGCAGAUUCACUUGAUUCUUAUUAGUUUGUUUAGUGGCAAAGCAUAUAACCUGUAUUUCAAAGCCAAGUUGUGCUAUUGAUUAUGUUAACUUUAUUGUUAACCUAAAGUGAUAUGGAGGACAUAAUCAAUGUAGGAAAAUUAGGUGAAGAGACGAUGUCAACUCUUGAACCUCUUACAAAGCUCCAAGUUCUUUACUUGAAGAAGCUGCCAAAUUUGAAGAGCGUCUACUGGAAGGCAUUUCCAUUCCCAGAUGUAUGCAGAAUUUUUGUAUUAAUGCCCAGUUCUUAAGAACCUGCCACUGGAUUUUCAAGGGACGGGCCAAGGUAAAAUUCUUAUCAAGGGAAAGGAAGAUUGGUGGAAAGAACUUCAAUGGGAGGAUCAAGCAACUCAGAAUGCAUUGCUUCCAUUUUUCAAAUCAACUGACAAGUGAUUGAAGGGGGCAUCAUCAACAUCAUCAACAGAGAUGGAGAGAUUCUGGAGCAGAUCAGCAGGGUUUGUAUAUGAUCUUUGGUGGUUGCUUUCUUUUGUGAUUUUUUUUUUCUUCCUGUCAUUUUAUCAUUUCUUUGUCUCUUUUUCUAUUGCUGAUGUUAGUGUAUGCUUACUGUUGCUUGACAAAGUUUGCUUGCUUCUUGUUUAUUAAAUUUUUUAUGGUCACAAAAUAUUACUUGUUCUAUUUGAGAGUGAUGUGAAUCAAUUUUCAAUUAUAUAUUUUGUGGUCAAUGUGAAUUCAAUUUCAUUUGUCUCCUGCAAUUAUGAGAAAAUUGCAGAGUCAUAAUAUGGAAAAGAACACCAGCAAAAACUUUGUAAAAGCUUCGGAGUGAAACAGGGAAUUCACUUACUACUAAGAACAAUUGAUGGCGAGCUAUUCCAUUCAUUUUAUGUCCAUCCAUCUAUUUAAUUAUUAAAGAUAAGUGGUCCAUUUAUAAAUUUUAGAUUUUCUCUCUUUGAAAAUAACAAUAUGUAAAAUAUCUCUUAAAUUAUUAUAAAUUUUAAUUUACUCUCGAUUUAAAACGGAACAUGCUGAUGAAAUUUUUUUCUUCUUACUAAAAUUGAAAUAAAUUGUGUUUGCAGUAGUUUGAAAUAUUUUAAAGAUUAUUAUUUUAUAAGGGAGUAAUAUGAAAUGAAAUUUACUUUUCAUGCGUGAAAUGUUGAAAAAGGACAAAGGAAGUGUCCCUGCUUUUAUUUUAUUUCAAAGUGGAGUCAUCUCACAUACUUUAGCUCUAACAUUACAAUUUUUCAGGUUACAUUUUUAUUUAUUUAUUUUCUUUUUUACACAUGCAUGUGGGUUACUUUUCCGUAAGCUCCUUUAUAUAUAUUGAACCCUACGAAGAAUGUUAUGGAAGAGCAAAUGAUAUUUCUGAUAGACUCUAUUUGAUUAUGUAGCCUGAAUGGAUGUCUUGUUGAAAGAUAUUUCAGUGCAUUAGUUCAUCCUUGUCUCUCAAUGUGUUUUUAAUGGUUUUUCCAAUUGUUUAUUAUUAUAGAUUGAUUGUAAAUUGAUAUGAAUUUAAUGUUGAAAUGUUUUCUCUUUAGUGGAAUGAAUUUAAAAGUGCAAAAGAUUAUUGCACACGGAGAAAUAAACAUAUAUGCUUUAUAACUUUAGCAAUCGAUUCUUUUACAGCUGGAAACAGAGAUGAUGAUUAUCAUAAGGAUGAAGAAAAGGACAAAAAUUGUCAAUGAUUAACGAAAUCUCUAUGCAAAUUGAUUUUAGCAGGAAAAAAGUGAGCUAAAUGAUGGAGACGAUUAGUGGUAAUAUUUCAUAGAGUUCCUUCCAAUCUUCUCAUGAAUCCCCUUUUUGAGUUAUAUUUAUUUUAUUUUUAAAAUAUCUUUUUUCUCUUUUACUACACUUCUAAUUUUUCAUUUUUUUUUAUUGUUAAACUCAAAGUAGUAUUGUGAUAUUUUUUAUUUAUUUUGCAAUCUUAUUAUUACUCUACACUUAAGUUAAAAAGUUUUAUAGGUGAUGAAUUUUUGAAUGUUAAUCAUUAGCUUAAAUUUCACAUAUUUUACAUUAUAAUUUGAAAUUUAGUACCAAAAUAUUUAAUCAAUAAGAAUUAUGAAAAGAUUAAUAGAUUAUUCUAAAUUUAUACAACUUAUUUUAGUUAGAUCAGAAGUAGCAGGUUAAAAAAAGAAAAGAUUGGUUAUGAAAUUUGUUGGAAAAAAAUCUAUGUGUGUUUAAUUUUUAUUCGUUGUUAACUCUAAUUAAAUAGGUUAAAUAAUUUUGUUAUUUUUUACUUAUCAAAAAAUUUAAGAUCAAUAUUUUUAGUUACCAUUUGAAGGAUAUUAUGACAAAAACAAAAUUUUCAUGUCUUUGUUAAAAAUUUGGGGGUUUGUAUAACUAUUUUUUCAAAUGUUAGGGGCAUAACUGUCUUUUUACUCUUAUAUAUAUGAACCAUGGUGGUGAAAAAGCGUGAUUUAAUGUUAUUUAUUUAAAUAAUAUCUCAAUUAAAAAUGUAAGCAGAAGAAAUUUUGGUGGGUAUUUUAGUCUUCUAACGAUUAUCAUGAUUAGGCCCUGGUCUUGAAACGUUGGUCAGAAAAAUUUUAAAAUGCGUUCAUUGUCUUUACUUUAAAAACGUUAUUUUAUUUUAUUUUAUUACAAAUUAAUGCCAACAAGAAAAAGCAAGAUCUAAUAUUCCACAAAAGGAAAUCGUAAUAUUCCAUAAAAGCAAAUAACCAGCUGGAUUCUUUUAUUGAACUACAAAUUAAAGUGGAAUCUUUUAUUAAACAACAAAUUAAAGUUCAAAUAUUUAAAUAGUAGUGCGUUAGACGAUUAGGCUCUCUUAUUAAAGGCAAGUAUAAAGUAGUCAAGAAUCGAACAUCUCUAUUGUCUAGUCUUUUUUUUUUAAUUCUUCUUUUAUUAUUUUUCAGAAUAGGUUUUGGUGAUUACUAUUGGGUUAUUAUUCAGAGUUAUUGUUAUCUUCCGGGGCAGUUUCUGUUAAUCGAAAUCGUUAAUUAAAAUUUUAGAACUCUUAUGGGAAGAAUGUUUUUCUGUUAUCUUUUUUAUAUUCUAAUUUCAACUGUAAGGAGUCGUUUUAGAAUUUGGGUCUGGAAUCGAAUUUCAAUGCAUGAAUUAAUAUUUUUAAAAAAAAUUACUACACGCAGUUUAGGUUACAAACUAUUUUUUGCAAAGUUGACUAUGAAAUUGGAGAAAUUAAGUAAUUUAUAAUGUUUGCAAAGGAAGAGACUAACAUACUUCCAAUUACACUAUCUCUCUAUUAUCAUAAUAUUAAGACUAAAGUAACUUUAAAUAAAUUUUAUUUGAAAAGUUAUAUCAAAUGCAGUCUAAUUUUAUUAACUUGAAGAGUUAAUAAUUAUAGAAAUUAUUGUUCUAACUUAAUUAGUACAAGUGGUAUAAAGGUUAAGUGUGCACUAAAUCUGUUUAAAUUUUUUCCAGAAUAACUAACAGAGGUCAUUACUAGAAUUAUAAUUACUAGUCUAUUAGAUAGAAAAAAUUAUUUAUAUUGUUUUAUAUUUAUUAAAAAAUUUUAAAGUCAAUCUUUUUAAUUACUAUUUAAAAAAUAUUAUAAUUAAAAAAAUUUAAUGUCUUUAUUAAAAAUUUAAAAAUUUACAUGACCGUUCUAUAAAUAUUUAAAGUGUAACUGUCAUUUUCUCAUAUAUAUAUAUAUAAAUCACGGUGGUGAAGCUUUAUUUAAUAUUAAUGAUUUAAAUAAUAAUAUCUCAAUUAAAAAUGUACAGAGAAUAAAUUUCGGUGGGUAUAUUAGUCUUUUACAAUUAUCAUGAUUAGCCCUUCCUCUUGUAACGUAGGUCAGAAAAGUUUUAAAAUGCCUUGAUUUCAAUUUCUGCUUUAUAUUUUUCCCCGUAUAAUGGGGAGAGGUCAUUACUAAAAUUUCUCUUCCACAGCAAUUACAGCAGCUUCAGUUAAUCAAACUCAAAUCAAUUUUCUUUCUUAACAAAAUUCCAAAGAUGUGUAGCAUUUUUCAGAUCACAUGCGAUGGUGCUCUUUUCAAUCGUUGCUUGGAUUGCUUUCUCGGAAAAGCAGCAUACAUAAGCAACCUCCAAGAUAAUCUUGAUGCCUUGGACACUGAACUGGGAAGACUAAUCGCAGCAAAGAACGAUGUGAUGAUGAGGGUUGUCAAUGCUGAACGGCAACAAAUGAGAAGGCUGGACGGAGUGCAAGUGUGGGUUUCGAGGGUGGAUGCUGUUAAAACUGGAGCCGAUGAAUUGAUGAGGCACAGCUCUCAAGAAAUUGACAAAUUAUGUGUUGGAGGCUACUGUUCCAAGAACUGCAGGUCAAGCUACAAGUUCGGAAAACAAGUGGCUAAAAAGCUACAAGAUGUGAAGACUUUAAUCGCCGAGGGAGUUUUUGAGGCGGUGGCCACUGAGGUGGUGCCCGAGAGAGCUCCGGAACCUGUAGCAGAUAAAAGACCCAUUGAGCCAACAAUAGUAGGCUUGCAAUCACAGCUUGAAGAAGUUUGGAGAUGUCUUGUAGAAGAAUCAGUGGGAAUCAUUGGCCUAUAUGGUAUGGGCGGUGUUGGUAAAACCACACUAUUGACCCAUAUCAACAAUAAAUUUCUUGAGAGUCCCACAAACUUUGAUUGUGUGAUUUGGGUCGUAGUUUCAAAAGACCUGCGACUUGAAAAAAUUCAAGAAGAUAUUGGGAAGAAGAUAGGUCUAUCUGAUGAUUCAUGGAAGAAUAAAAGUUUUGAAGAGAAAGCUGUGGACAUCCUGCUGAGAUUAGGAGAGAAGAGAUUUGUAUUGUUGUUAGAUGAUUUAUGGGAGCGGGUUGAUUUAACAAAAGUGGGCGUUCCACUUCCCAGCGCACAAAAUACUACCUCAAAAGUCGUAUUCACAACCCGUUCCAUUGGUGUUUGUGGCAGCAUGAGAGCUAGGCCGGUUAAAGUGGCAUGCCUAUCAGAAAAGCAAGCUUGGGAACUGUUCCGCGAAAAUGUUGGGGAAGAAACUCUUGAGAGUGAUCAUGAGAUCGUUGAGCUAGCCCAAACUGUGGCCAAAGAGUGUGGUGGUUUGCCACUCGCACUUAUUACUAUUGGUCGAGCUAUGGCCUACAGAAAGAAAGCGGAGCAGUGGAGACGUGCAAUUGAAGAGUUAAGAAGAUCAGCUUCAGAGUUUGCAGGUUUGGGAAAAGAGGUGUAUCCUCUUUUAAAGUUUAGCUAUGAUAGUUUGCAGAAUGAUACAAUUAGAUCUUGUUUCUUGUAUUGUUGUUUAUAUCCUGAAGAUUAUGGCAUUCUUAAAUGGGACUUAAUUGAUUGUUGGAUUGGUGAGGGAUUUUUGGGGGAAUCUGACAGGUUUGGUGCAGAAAACCAAGGAUAUGACAUUUUGGACACUCUUGUUCGUGCAUGUUUAUUAGAAGAGGUGGAAGAUGAUAAAGUAAAAAUGCAUGAUGUUAUUCGUGAUAUGGCUCUAUGGAUAGCUUGUGAAAUUGAGAAGGAGAAGAGAAACUUUUUGGUUUGUGCAGGUGCUGGAUUAAAAGAGGCACCGGAUGUUAAAGGAUGGGAAAAUGUGAGAAGAUUGUCAUUGAUGCAAAACCAAAUUAAAACUCUGUCAGAGGUUCCUACAUGCCCUCAUCUCCAUACUCUAUUUCUUGACUUUAAUAAGGAGUUGGAGAUGAUCGCGGAUGGCUUCUUCCAAUUUAUGCCUUCUCUCAAAGUUUUGAAGAUGUCAAACUGCUGGAAUUUUCAAUUACCUGUUGGGAUGUCAGAGUUGGGUUCAUCACUAGAACUUCUUGAUAUUUCACAUACCCGAAUACAAGAGUUACCAGAAGAGUUAAAGUUGUUGGUAAAUCUGAAAUGUUUGAAUUUGAGGGGUACAGGCCAGUUAAAUAAAAUUCCACGGCAACUAAUAUCAAAAUUUUCAAGGUUACUUGUGUUGAGAAUGUUGGGUACUGGCCAGUUCAAUUUUCAUGAAGCACCAGAAGACAGCAUUUUAUUUGGUGGGGGCGAAGUUUUGAUACAGGAAUUGCUCGGUUUGAAAUAUUUAGAGGUAUUGGAGUUGACCUUGGGAAGUUAUCAUGCUCUCCAAAUUCUUUUGAACUCAAAUAAGUUAAAAAGUUGUAUUCGAUCCCUUUACCUCGAGUUGUUCACAGAUACAACGUCGAUUAUUGAUGCUACGGCUUUCGCAGAUCUAAACCACCUCAAUAAAUUAUAUAUUUAUAAAGGUUUUGAGUUGGAAGAAAUGAAGAUUGAUUAUAUGGAGAUAGUACGAAAAAGGCGGGAACCUUUUGUUUUCCACGGCCUUCACCGUGUUACUAUGGUUUUAUGCCAUAAAUUGAAAGAUGUGACAUUCCUCGUUUUUGCUCCAAACCUCAAGUCUCUUUUGCUAGUCGAUUGCUAUGCUAUGGAAGAAAUAAUCAGCGUCGGAAAAAUUUCUGAGACUCCUGAGAUGAUGGGACAUAUAAGCCCUUUUGAAAAUCUCCAAAUGCUUGAUUUGUCACGUUUGCCACAUUUGAAGAGCAUCUUCUGGAACCCAUUGCCUUUCACUCAUCUGAAAGAAAUGGCGGUACUUAUGUGCGAUCAGCUUAGAAAGCUUCCACUCGAUUCCAACAGUGCAAAGGAGCGUAAAUUUGUUAUUCGUGGAUACACAGAGUGGUGGAACCGACUUCAAUGGGAGGAUGAAGCCACUCAAAUUGCUUUUCGUUCCUGUUUCCAACCUCGUCCCUGAGCGGUGGUCGCAAAUUUUGAUUUCUGGUGAGUGCGUUCGUCUUUUAAAAGAAGAAUUUAAAAGAAAUUUAUUCUUGUCGUUUUCUUCUCUGUUUUUAUUUCAGUUUGUUUCUCUCUCUCUCUCUCUCUCUGUUUGUCUUCCGUAAAUCACAAUUAAAUGUUGAAUUAAUGGAAUUAAUGCUUCAUAAAUUUGCCGGCACUGCCGUUACUUUACUUUUUGCUGUCAAAUUUUGCCCUUUUUAUUUUUUAACAAGUUGAUACUUUAUUUAUAUCUUCUUAGCGAUUUAAUUUCCUGUCAAAAGACGAACGAGAAGAACAUAUGACUUAAACCAAUGCUCGAAUAAACUUGCUGUAAAAAGAUAUAAUCUCACUGAAAUGCACACGCCUAGAAUGAAUAGAAUUAAAAUAGGGAAAAUAUUAAGUAUAUUAGCCCUCUUUACCGAAAAUCAAAUGACAAUAAAUUUUUUGAAGUUUUGAUUUUCUAUGGUCAAUUCCACCUUUUGCAAUUUCUUCUGUUCUAACAAAAACCAAUUUCUAUGUUCAAGCAUUUUCGUUUGGAUAUUAAUAAUUCUCCACCGAAAGAGUGAACUCUUGGAUGCUGCUGCUCAAGGGAUCUCUAAUCAAUAGCCCGAAGGGCGCCGAGACCUGACCGGACCUACGCCCAAGUUUGGUCUUAAAGCCUGGGCUUGAGCCUGGCAAUUAAAUUAAAACAUUAAUUGAUUUCUUGAUUGAAUUGUCGUGUAAUUGAUUUAUGGGGGAUGACACAUCAACAUACUUGAAAAUACACUAAUCUCAGCAUCAUCGGUUAGUAACUUUUAGAUUUAUGGGUAAUCAAUAGUUAAGAUUAGUUGUCAUUAAUACUAAAUAAUUUUUACUUUUUUUGUCUCUUCUAGAGGAUCUUCUAGAAAAAUGCAUCCACAAGUAAAUUUAAUACUUUACAUAAUAAACAAAGCCUAAAUGUUAAAUUUAAGAAACUGCAUUGCAUUUCAGUUGAAGCUGACUUUAAUAUUUAGGGUAGAAAAAUAAUUAAUUUUAUUUUUUGAAAUGUCCAUAUUCAGAGCAAAUUUCAAAAAGACUCAAUAAUUUCUCAUAAAUUUCAAUUAAAAAUAUUCAAUUUGUUGUUUCAGUUCUUUUAUUUUUUAUUUUUUCCAACAUGAAAGCGACUUAAUGUUACUAAAUUGGUUUUAUGGUCUUUGGAUUUUCAUGACCCAAUAAUUGGAACAAAACAAUUUUCUCAAGCGCUCUCCCGCAACAUUUUAUAAUUGAAGCCGCGGCCCCGCCCGUGGUUCCAAACUUUAUCUUUCUCCCGCUCUUUAAAUUAAUGCGAGCAGCCUCCGUCCUUGACUAGUUGACUGCUUUUGUUCUUUUUUAUUAAUUAAUUAAUUAAUUAAUUAAUUCAGCCGCCCCCCUUUCUUGUCCCAAUGUCUUCUACUUUCGGUUUCCUUUUAUUAUCUCUUUAUUUUUAAAAUAUGCUUAUAGUAAUAAUAAAAUAUAAAAAUUAAAAUUAAAAUUAACAUAUUAAAAUAUAAUUUAUCAGAAAAUUAAGAUAGAGAAAUAUUAUAAGCACAUCAAUCAAAAAGUGAAAAAAAAAAUUUUAAUUUGCAUUAAAUAUAAACUUUCAGUGUUAAUCAAUUUUCUAAAUAACUGAAAUUAUUUUAAAAUAAAAAUAAAUUAUUCUUCCAAGAAAAAAAAUUACACCCACUCACUGGACUGGCUGUCAAGAGUCGCUUUAGGACUGAAGUUGGUAACUUUUGCAAGCAGUCUGAACUUGAAUGGCAGCAACCCACGCUUUCAGAUUUAUGGUUAAUCAAUAGCUGAGAGUUGUUAUCGCUAAGUGCAUCCGUUGCUAAUGUUUUUAAUGUUUUUUUCUCUCUCCUACAGCAUCUUCUAGGAAAGUGCAUCCGUUGCUAAAAUUUAGUAUUGUAAAUAAUAAACCAAGAAUAAAUAUUAAAUCUAAGAAACUGUAUUGCAUUUAAUAUUUAAGGGAGAAAAAGAAUUAUAGUGUCUUUAUUAAUCAGUAAUGAGAAAAGACUAGAGUAAUAAUAAAUUGUAUUGCUAUUAAUGUGUUUAUUUUAUUUUGUACUCAAAAUGAAUUAUUUUAAAUUAUUGAAAUACCUUUAUUGUUAUUCUAAUUAUUAUUAUUAUUAUUAUUAUUCAAUAUUUAUUAUAAUAUUUUAUUAUUAUUAUUAUUAUUAUUCAAUAUUUAUUAUAAUAUUUUUCAUAUUACUAAAAAGUAAUAAUAAUAAUGAUAAUAUUGGAAUUGUUGUUUUUUUAUAUUAUUAUUAUUAUUAUUCAAAACACUUCUUGUCAGCUCAUUCAUACGUGAAGACCAAAACCAAAUCUCUUCUUCUCCUUCUUUUCUUAUAGUGCAGGAUGUGUGUGCUCGGACUUCUCUCUCAUUCUUUUUUCUUUUUAGAUUUUGAAAACCUAAAAAAAAGAGUGUAGGAGUUUUUAUUUUCUUAAAACAAGACUUUUUGAAUUAUCCAAUUGAGUUAAAUUCUGUGGCAACUGGUAUUUACAUUUCUUGUUUAUUUCGCAAGUUAUUAUUGCCUAAUGCUAUGUCAACUCUAACAUUCGCAAUUUUUUUUUUGGUCCUCUUUUAACACCAAACAUUAGUGUAGGUUAAGUAACAUAAUCAGUACUGGGACAAUUUGAAAUCCCUUUGUGGCAGUGACAAUGAGAUCUCAUUUUAACCGAUAAAGUCUUUUGACUCUGUCAACUCAAAAAAAUAGAUUCAAAUGUUUUGUAAUAAAUAAAAAUAUAAUAUUAAAAUAAAUGUGACAAUAUAUAUUUUAAAUAAUUUCAAUACAAAAAACAUUUGAAUGUUUUAUAAUUUAUUAGACAUAUUUUAUUAUAUUAAUAUAAAUUUUCUAAGAAAUAUGGACAUAAUAUUAAAAUAAAUUUAUGAAAAAUUUAAAUUAUUUUGAAUGUAAAAACAUUUUAAUGUUUUAUAAUUUAUUAGACAUAUUUUAUUAUAUUAAUAUAAAUUUUCUAAGAAAUAUGGACAUAAUAUUAAAAUAAAUUUAUGAAAAUUUAAAUCAUUUUGAAUGUAAAAUAAUUUUAAUGUUUUAUAAUUUAUUAGACAUAUUUUAUUAUAUUAAUAUAAAUUUUCUAAGAAAUAUGGACAUAAUAUUAAAAUAAAUUUAUGAAAAUUUAAAUUAUUUUGAAUGUAAAAUAAUAUUAAUAUUAUUAAUCCAUUAGGUAUUAAUUAUAAAAAUUAUUUAACCCAAAGAUUUUUUAUAUCCUUACAAUAAAUAUAAAUAUAUUAUUUACAUUUAAAAAUUUAAAAAUUUAAAAAUAUUUAAAUAAUAUUAAUCUACAAUUAUAUUUUCAUUUAUUAUAAAUAUUUAAAGUCAAAUCUUUUGCACUUCUAUUUUAUUACAAUUAUGGCGCACAAAGAAAGAGCCAUAUAUGAUUUAUAGCGUUAGAAAUUGGUUUAUUUUAAAGCUGGAAACAGAGAGGAUGAUUAGUAUAAGGAUAAAAGAAAAAGGGAUAAAGAAUAUUAAUGAUUAACAAAAUCUCUCUGCAAAUUGAUUGCAGUAGAAAAAAAGUGAGCUGAACAAUCUAGACAUUUAGUGGUAGAGUGAUAUUUCAUUUGUAGCAAAGUACAUCUCAAGGUUAAGGGAAAAGACUUAAGAUCUCGCUUUUGAUUAUAAUACUUUUUUUUAAAGAAAAAAAUUAAUUUUAAUAUUUUAUAAUAAAUAAAAAUAUAAUCUUAAAAUAAAUAUAAUAGUACAUAUUUUAAAAUAAUCUCAUUAUUUAAAAUUGUUUUAAUAUUUUGUAAUUUGCCAGAAAAAUUUUAUUAUUUUCAAGUAAAUUUUAUAAUAAAUACAAACACACUAUUAAGAUAAAUAUAUGAAAAAAUUAAAGUAUUUUGAAUAUUAUACAAAAUAAUUUUAAUAUUGUUAAUAGUGAGAUAAUUCUAUUAAUUUAAAAUGCUACUUAACCUUAAGAUUUAUUUAUGAUAAAUUAAUAAUUACAUUUUUAAAUUAUUUCAAAUAUUAAAAAUAUUUUAAUAUUACUUAUCUAUUAGAUAGACUAAAUUAUUUAAAUUAUUUUGUAUAAAUUAAUUACUAUUUAAAGGAUAUUAUGAUAAAAAGAUCUUAGUGUUUUUAUUAAAAAUUUAAAAUUUACAUGACUAUUUCUUUAAAUAUUUAGGGCAUAUAUGAACCACGGAGGAGAAAAGCUUUAUUUAAUAUUUUAGAAUAGUUUUUGAUCAGUACAAUUGGGUCCUUAUUCAGAAUUAUUGUUCUCUUCCGCAACAGUUUUUGUUUAUCAAAGUCAUCAAUUAAAAUUUUAGAAUUCUUAUCAUCAGAAGUAGUCGUUUUAGAAGUUGGGUCUUGGAUCAAAUUUCUACGAGUGCAUGAAUUAACAAUAAAAAAAUUUCAUUACACACGGUUUAAGCUACAAAACUACUAUUUGCACAGUUGACUAUAAAACUUACCUCCAAUUACACUAAACCUCUCUAUUUGGUAACGUUGAGACUAAAUUAAUUUUAUUAGCAUGAAAAGAUAAUAGAAAUAUAAUUAUAAAUACUAUUGUUGUUAAUCAAUUAGUACAUGUGAUAUAAAGGUUAAAUGUGCACUAUAUUUAAUAAUUAAUUAGUGGAGCAUGUUAAACAAAAUGUUAAUGUAUAUUUAUAUAGUGUUAGGAAUAUGCAAAGUCAAGUCCUCAAUUUGCAUUAUCCUGUAUAGAAUAUUACUCUAAAAAUGUUUUACUAUAAUUGGCUUAGAACAUUUGUAAAGAAAAUAAUAAUAAAAUAAUAAAUAACAUACACCGUCACAUAGCAUCUAGACAAUGAUAGAAAAUUAUUAAAGAGAGUGCAAACAAUUAAUUAGAGAUUUUUAUGAUGACUUUUAAUAUUCAUGAUAAUAACAAAUAAAUACAUGUAUCACUUUUUUAAAAUAUUAAAUUUGACGUGCUCCAUUAAUAAAUUAUUAUUGUAAUUCAGACUCUAUCUAUAUAUCCUUGCACUAAGAAUAAUUAAGGUGGCGUUUGUUUUUUUAACUUAAUGACUUAAAGUGACUUAACUUAAUUAAUUAAGUUAAUUAGAGGUGUUUGUUUUAUAACUUAAUGAGACUUUUUAGAUAAUUUUGACUUAAUAAAAUAAGCUAAUUUUUUUGACUUUUUACUUAAUGGAGAAAUCUGAAUUAAGUCAAUUACUUGCUAAUGUCAAAAAUAUCCUUGUUUUAUAAUUUAUUUUUCAUGUCUAUCCCAAAACUCACCCAUAGAUAUUUACCCCACAUAAAAAUAUCCCUGUUUUUUUCUUUCUUAUAUUAUAUACGAUAAAAUUUGAAAUUUAUAGUAUUUUAUAUAUUAAAAUUCUAAAAUAAUUAUGUAUUCACUUGAAUAUAGUUUUACUUAUAAAUGUUAAAAUAUGAUGGUAUUUAAUAUAUUAUUUAUUUGACAUUCAAAUUUAAUAAGGAUACAAAUGUAAAAGUACAUAUUUUCAGCUUUUUAAGUUGAAAAAAAACAACUUAAUACUUAUUUUCUGAGAUUCAGACGAAAAAAUAAACAUAUUAUUCAGAUUCAGACAUUCAGACCUAUUCAGAAUUCAAACUAAUUCAAAUCUAUUUAAAUUUUAGACAAAAAAAUAAACGCCACCUAAAUCAUAAUAAAAAUUUUCAUAACUACAUCUCGUUUCUUCCUCAUAAUAAUAAUUAGAUUGGUUCGAAUAUUAUAACAGAUUUAGUGUAUAGCCACAUCCAAUUUAAAUAUUGACCCAAUUGGGAUGGUCCCCAAAAAAAAAGAUUCGUUAAAGGAUAAUUCUAAUUAUUUUCACUUCUCAAACGUUAGUGGGACGUUUCUAUUAGCGCACUCGUAAGCCAAGUUGUCAAAUAUUUAUAUUAAACUACAAUUGCUGACAAGAAAAAUCAAGAUCGUGUUGCGCAAGUGGGUCCCGAAUAGGACGUGCCUAAAUCUCUCGUAAGCCAAGUUGUCAAAUGUUUAUAUUAAACUAACAAUUGCUGACUAGAAAAAUCAAGAUCGUAUUAAAAGUGGGUCCCGAAUAGAACGAGACUAAAUCUUUUUAAGAAUAUUAUCAUUUUAUUGAUAUACCAUGUCAGUAUUAAAAUUUAUUAAAAAAUAUAUUUUAUUAUUAAAAUUUUAUAUUGUUAUCAAUUCACUAUCAUAUUAUUUCGUUAAGAAAAAAUUAAUAUUUAACGAAAAUUGAGAUAAAAAUUAAUUUUUGUUCUCUGUCUUUAUUUAUUUAUUUAUUUAUUUGGAUCUUCUGCAAAUCACAAUCAAAUGUUGAAUUAUAAAUUUGCCGGCAUUCCUUUUUUUGUUUUUUUUGGGCCGGGGGUGGUGUUGAAUUGAUGCUCUGAUUUUUGACUUUUUGUUGUCAAAUUUUACUCUGUUUUUUCAAAUUGAUGCUAGAAUAUUUGAAUCAAAUUAAUGCUCUAGUAAAUUUGUCCAGUUGCCGUAAAAAGAUAUAAUUACACUGAAAUGCACACCUAUGGAAUGAAUAGAAUUAAACAGAGAAAACAUUAAGUAUAAUAGCUGUCUUCACAGAAAAUCAUAUGAAAAUAAAUUUUUGAAGUUUUUGUUUUUCCGUGGUCAAUCAUACCCUUUAUAAUUUCUUCUGUUCUAACUACAAUAAAAUUUUUGGUCCAAGGAUUUUUAUUAGGGGUAUUAAUAAGAGUCCACCAAAAGAGUGAACACUUGGAUGCUGCUUGAAGGGUCUCUAAUCAAUAGCUGGAAGCAAUUGAGAAGGCGGUUGCUACUGUGAAUUCAAAUGUAAAAUAUUUGCUAUUCUUCGAUUUGGUUCAUGAUUUCGUAUGAAUAUCGUUGUUCCGUUGAGUUGCAUGCGAAUUCAAAUGCAAAAUAUUCUUCGAUUUUCAAUUUUGAAAUCAAAUUUUUUUUCCUUCUCAAGCAUGUUAUGCAGAAACGAUUUUUACUAAAUCAUUUUUGACAAACUAUUUAAAUUAAACCACUGGAAUAAGAAUUGUAAGGAUUUAUCGUAAGCUUACUAAUACGAUAAUUCUGAAACUAUCACCUUUUUUUUUUUUUUUGAUUUGUUGCAGGGAAACCCAAAUUUUGUAUUUUGUCAGUUUCAUCUGAUAUGGAAUUUAUUUCCUCCCUAAAGAUUUAUCAAACUGCUUCUCUUCCGUGCUUCAAAUAUCUUUAUGCAAUUACGAUCUCAUAGGAAAAGAGAGUUUGGGUUGUAUUUAUUAUAGUAUUUAUUUUUUAUUUUUUGUUAAAAGAAAUUUAUUUUAAAAUAGUUUAUAGCAACAGUUUUUAUUGAACAAUAAUGAGGAAGGAUUAUUAUAGGUUCAAAUAGUUGUUAGAACAUUAUAAAAAAGUCCAUUUACUAUCAAAUGUUUUAAAUUGGUGCAACCUGAUAGUUGUCUCAUAUAAUUUUUUUAGGGUAAAAACUCGUUUAAUUCCUAUAUUUUAAGAUUAGUACUCAUUUAGUCCUUAUAUUUUUAAAAAUGUCUCAAAACAUUCAUACCCUUAAAUUAUUAACAUCUCUGCUGUUACUUUUUAUUUCUUUUGACUUAUUUUUACAAUAUUGCUCUCUUACAAUAAUGUUUCUUUUUAUAAAAUUAAUAAAAAAAAAUUAAAUUAUCAAUUUAACCCCAAAAAUAAAAUAAAAAUAAAAAGAAUAAAUAUUAAUUUUUGUGAAAGCUUACAUGUGUCCAAAAUAAAUUUUAUUGUAAAAAUAAUUAAAUUGCCUUUUUUUUGGACAUUAGUAAUAAAAAAAUUAAUAUAUUAAUUCCUCAGCAGUGUGUUACAAAAAGUAAAAUAUAUUAAUUUUGUUUUUAUUUUAGACAAUGAGAUAGAGAAAAGUACAAGAUAAAGGAAAGGACUUCAAAACUCACUGUUCAUCAUAAUGCCCUUUGUCUUUAAAAAAAAAAUCAUUCUAAUAUUUUAUAACACAUAAAAUAUAAUCCUAAGAUAAAUAUAAUAAUACAUAUUUUUAACUAAUCUCGAUAUUUAAAAUAUGUUUUAAUAUUUUAUAAUCUAUCAGACAUAUUUUAUUAUAUUAAAGUAAAAUUUAUAAUAAAUACAAACAUAUUAUUAAAAUAAAUAUAUAAAAAAUAUUUAUUUUUUAUAUGUUUACACUGAGGACUCUCUUUAAUUCAUUUAUUUUCUCUCUCUCCAAACAGGUACUGUCUUCAGAUAGCAAUGCUAUGAUAGUAAUCCAAUUCUCUUCUCCCCCACCUGAGCGAGAUUUGAAUUUGAAUCCCUUGUUUUUCACCCACUCUGUUUUUUUUCACGCAAGAUUUGACAAUUUGAGUUAAAAAAUAUGGUCCAAAACUUGAACACGUAUCUUUUAAUUGUAAUAAAAGUUCUUUAAGCUUUGGAGAUGGCAUAUAUAUGGCUGGAAGUGUCCUUUUCUUUGACCUAGAGGCAGCACCAAGCUAUCCAGCAUCAUCAUUUUUCAAGUGGGUCUUAAAUGCCUAGAAACGUUGGUGUUUCUUGAUUUAAAGAUGACACAUGCUAUAAGUGUGAAUGGUUUGGCUAAGCCUAAAUUUAAAGUCUACUCAAGUCGCAUUCAGGAUCAUGGAAAUUGGAAAGGGAGAGAUGAUAGCAAGAUUUAUAAUAAACAAUUAACUUGGGUCCUCAGUGUACAAAGCAAAUGCCACGCAAGCGAUAGCCGGCCCGGCCCAGAAAACCCAGUGGCCAUCCCAGAGAUGGCCUCCUCUAACGAGUGCUGGGCCCAAACAUCUUGCCGGGUUGAACCCAGCUCCGGCAUAGCCCUUUUGAGCAGUAACAGUUGUCGAGACAAAAACCAGAAGACCCAACACUGUUCCAAUGACAAUGCAUACGGUAACUCUGCCAAGAGCCUUGGCUUGUCUGGAGUCAAAAGCCAUCCACACAGAAGCAAAAAGGAACACAAACGAGCAAAUUAUCUCAAGCCAAAGGGCCUGCCUAGUCCCCAAGCCGAUCUCAAUAGGCCCAUCUGGCCCAGGUACCACAACAUUCAGGCUGCAGCCUCCAAGUUGUCAAAUAUUUAUAUUAAACUACAAUUGCUGACUAGAAAAAUCAAGAUCGUAUUACAAGUGGGUCCCGAAUUGGACGUGCCUAAAUCUUUUUAUAAUUUUCCCAGUGUAGCGGACACAGGUCAUUACUAAAUUUCUCUUCCACACGCCACAGCAGCUUCGGUUAAUCAAACUCAAUCAAUUUUCUUGGCUUCUCCGCUUAUCAAUAUUACAAGGUAUGGGUAGCAUUUUUCAAAUCACAUGCGCUGGUACUAUUUUCAAUCGUUGCUUAGAUUGCUUUCUUGGAAAAGCAGCAUACAUAAGUAACCUCCAAUUUAAUCUCGUUGCCUUGGAGACUGAACUAAGGAAACUAAUCGCAGCAAAGAACGAUGUGAUGACGGCGGUUGUCAAUGCUGAACGGCAACAAAUGAGAAGGCUGGACCAAGUGCAAGUGUGGGUUUCGAGGGCGGAUGCUGUUAAAACUGUUGAAAAAUUAUGUCUUAGAGGGUUCUGUUCCAGGAACUGCACGUCAAGCUACAAGUUCGGAAAACAAGUGGCUAAAAAGCUACGAGCUGUGGAGACUUUAAUCGCCGAAGGAGUUUUUGAGGCGGUGGCUACGGAGGUGGUGCCUGAGAGAGCUCCAGAGCCUGUAGCAGAUGAAAGACCUACCGGGCGAACAGUAGUAGGCUUGCAAUCACAACUUGAACAAGUCUGGAGAUGUCUUGCAGAAGAAUCAGCGGGAAUCAUUGGCCUAUAUGGUAUGGGCGGUGUUGGUAAAACUACACUAUUGACCCAUAUCAACAAUAAAUUUCUCGAGAGUCCAACCAACUUGAUUGUGUGAUUUGGGUAGUAGUUUCAAAAGACAUGCGACUUGAAAAAAUUCAAGAAGAUAUUGGGAAAAAGAUAGGUUUGGUUAGUGAUUCAUGGAAGAGUAGAAGUGUAGAGGAGAAAGCUCUCGACAUCUUCCGGAGUUUAAGAGAGAAGAGAAUUGUAUUGCUGUUAGAUGAUAAAUGGGAGCGGGUUGAUUUAACAAAAGUGGGCGUUCCACUUCCCGGACCACAAAAUACUACCCCAAAAGUCGUAUUCACAACCCGUUUGAUCGAUGUUUGUGGUAGCAUGGAAGCUGACAGGAAGUUCAAAGUAGCAUGCUUAUCAGAAAAGGCUGUUUCGAAAAAAAGUUGGGGAAGAAACUCUUGGAAGUCAUCAUGAUAUCGUUGAGCUAGC
rnacentral:lncRNA from 1 species